rnacentral:lncRNA from 1 species
AGGCAGAACGGUCGCCGCGUCGCCUCAGCACGGACCUCCAGGGAGCUCCUCAGCAAGAUCCUGCCAGGGCGCCCCUCAGCGCGAUUCUGCCGGGGUGCCUCUCAGCGUGGUCCUCCCCGGGGCUCCUCAGCACGAUUCUCCCGGUGCGCCCCUCAGCGCGGUCCUCCUCGGUGCGUCAGUCAUCGUGGUUCUCCCCGGCGCGCCCCUCGGCGCGGUUCUCCUCGGGGCUCCUCAGCGCGGCGCUCUUCUGGGGGCUCCUCGGCGCAGUUCUCCCCGGGGACUCCUCGGCGCCGUUCUCCUCGGGGCACCCGGGGCUUUUCGGCGCGGUUCUCCCCGGGGGUUCUUCGGCGCGGUUGUCCCCGGGGGUUCUUCGGCGCGGUUCUCUCCGGGGGCCUCUCGCCGCGGUUCUGUUCUCCCCGGGGGCUCCUCAGCAUGGUUCUCCUCCGCGCGGUCCUCCCUGGGCCUCCUCAGCGCGGCACUCUCCUGGGGGCUCCUCAGCGCGGCACUCUCCCCGGGGGCUCCUCAGCGCGGCACUCUCCCGGCGGCUCCUCAGUGCGGUUCUCCCAGACUCUCCUCAGCGCGGCCCUCCCCAUCUCUCUGGGAGGGUUUGAACACGGUCAGCACGGACCUGGGCGGACGGCGCGGGACGGGUGAUCACUGGCGUUGCUGAGGUGAGCUGUGUGCCCCGCGGCCGUCCCAGAUCACAGGCGUCAGCAGUGCAGCCUGGCCUGGGCAGUGCGCUCCCAUCUGCACCUUAUGGACAGCGUGGCCAGGGUCGAGGUCCGAGUUCCUGGCCGCGUCCCAAGGAUCGGAUUCCGGGUCUAUAGUUCUCAUGGUGGUUCAGAGUGGGCUGAAUUGGGAUUGGAGUCUGGAAUCCGCAUCGUGGUUCUGAGUCCGCGCUAUUGGGAUGGAAGUUGGGAAUCCAUGUUGUGGUUUUGAGUCAAAGCCCGAAUUGGGACCGGAGUCGGAAAUCCACUUAGUGGUUCUGAGUCAGGGCCCGAAUUAGGAUCGGAGGUGGGAAUCCCCGUUGUGGUUCUGAGUUAGGUAUCCUAGUUGGGAUCAGAAUUCGGGUCUAGGGUCCACAUCCUGGCUGGGAGUUUGCCUGAGUUGGGAUCUGAGUAGUUGGGGUCCCAGUCAGUCCGGGUCUGGAGUCCGCAUGGUGGUUUUAGGUAGGGCCUCAUUAGGGACAGAGGAUCGGGAGUCUGAGUUGGGGACCUGAAUCCCGGUCUGGAGUCUGCAUCAUGGCUCUGAGUUGAGAUCCAAGGGAGGUCCGAGUUGGCGACUGGAGUCAGGGUCUGGAGUCUGUCUUUGGGUAGAGGUUCUGAAUGGGGGGCUCUGAGUUAAGAGAUUGGGAUUGGGGUUAGAGGUCUCAGUGGGGUAUGGGAGUCAGGAAUUGAAGUCGAAGUUCUGCCUCUAGGUGGGGAUUCUGAGUCAGGAAUUAGGGGGCGAAGUAAAGGUUGCAGUCUGAGUUGGGGGUGGUGAUCACCUGCCAGGUGAGAGGUAGUGGUAGAAGUCUCUUGGUCAUAUUGGAGAUGAGAGUUGAUCAGAUGCAGGUCUCAGUCUGGGUAGUAGGCUUGAAGGGCCACCACUAUGUUCAGAUCCCAGUACCCCACUGUGGUCCCUGAGCAGGUCAAAUAGCCUUUUAUAUAAAAUUGAGAGUAAGAGUGCCUUCCCACAGCACUGUUCUGGUUAUGAAAGAGAAUAAUUCAUCCAGGUAGAAUAGUUCUGUCUUAGAUUAUCACAAAGUAUAAAAACUUUCCUGAUAAUAUCCACAUUUGAUGUGCAUUUACCAGUUCUUUCUUUACUGUGGUGCCCCUUUUGCUAGACCAAAAGCUCCCAACGAGGAACUCUGUUUUGUUUUCUGCUGCCUGCUCUGUACCCAGCCAAGAGCCUGAUACACAGCCUUACUCAGUCAGUACUUGAAGGAAAGCAGGCAGGCAGGAUUAACCAGAUUUCUAUGGUGUCUCAAAUGAUCCAUUUCUGCACCUGUUUUCCAGAUACUCAGUAGGAGAAAAAUUUAAGGAUUGAGUUGCUUGAUUAUGGGUGUAUUUUAAUGUGUUUCCUAACAUGCUGAGGAGAAAAGUGGGUCUGUUUCAGGAUUUAUGCUCCAGCUAGAGGGAUUUUUUAAAAUUGCGAAUCAGAGCAUGUCCAAAUUCAGAUAGAAAGCACAAGAAAACUAUAAAGAAUUUCCCUUAUGAAUGUAGAUGCAGAAGUUCCUUGUACAAUGCUAGCUAACUGAAUCCAAUAAUAUGUAUUAAACAACAAUUCUUAAACAAGUGGGAUUGCUCUUAGGAAUGCAAAGAUGAUCCAAUAUCAGAAACUUUAUCCAUGUAAUUCACAUUAAGAGGCUACAGGAGAAAAACCAUAUGGUUCCCUCAAUAGAGGCAGAAAAAAAUGAUGUGAUAAAGUUUAACGCCUAUGUGUGAUUUUGGGGUAGUGGAGUACACCACUUAGCAAGCCAGGACUAGAGAGGAACUUCUUCAACUUGAUACAAGUUAUAAACCAAAACUUAACUUUUCAGUAAACUUGAUAGAGAAAUUAAAAGUGUAUCAUUCUCUUUAAGAUAAGGAGUAGGCCAAGGAUGUCAUCCUGGCCAUACCCUAAUACAAGAAAAAGAAAUGGGGAUGUGAGGAUCAGGUAGGAAGUGAUAAAACUUAGUGUAGCUCAUAGGGUUGAUGGUCUCCAUAAAGAUUCUCAAACAUUUUGGUGUUACGACUUGUUGUAUUCUUAAAAGUUAUUGAAACCCCCAAAGGGCUUUUCUUGAUAGAGAUUCUAUCUGUUGAUAGUUACCAUCUUAGAAGUUAAAACUAAGAAAUGUUUAAAGCAGAACUAUACAAGCACAUAUUCCACUGGGGUCAUGGUGUGCUGCCUCUGGAAAACUCUUUAUCUUUGUGAGAAUGAAAGAAAAGGCAAAUAAUGUCGAGUAUUAUUAUGAAAAUGUUUUUGACCUUUCCUGAAAGGGUCUGGGGGGCUCUCUGGAAUCCCCAGACUACACUUUGAAAAUUACUGGGCUACAUGGAAAAAAAAAAUUAAGGAACUUAACAACUAAAGAGAGAUUUCAGAUUUCAGAGAGGUUUUGGAUAUAAGAUCAGUGUACUCAAAACAAAAAACAAAAACAAACCACAUUUCUUUAUGCCAAUAGCAACUGACUAAAAAAAAGCAUAAUAGAGAUUAGGACAGCAAUCAGAAUAGCAGCAAAAUUUAUACCAGUCUAGGAAUUAACAAAGACGACGACUUUUAUGGAAAAAAUUUUAAAACUCUAUUGGAGGAUAUAGAGGGAGAUCUUUCCAUAUGCAGAGACAUUUUAUUUUCUUGAACAGGGCAACUUGGCAUUAGAAUGACGUCAGGAUUUUCCAAAUCUGUUAAGUUCAACAGGACUCCACUCAAACUUCCAGUUGGAGGGCUUGAGUAAUUUAACAAACAUAUUCUAAAAUGUAUGUGGAAGAAAAAUAUUUGUAAAUGCCAACUGAACUUUUGAAAAGGAGAGCAGAGGACUUCUGCUGGCAGAUACCAGGGCACACGCCAACUUCAGCAAUCAGAGCGGUGUGGUGACAGAGGCCCAGAAGAGAGCUCAGAGGUAACUCCAAGUCUAGAGGAAGGGGACAUGUGAUAAAGGUGGCACCACAUAUCAGUGGGGACUGUUCAGAAGAUGAUGUUGGAAAGCCAGCCCUAAAAUGGAGGAAUAGGAAUAUGGAUUCCUAACUGAGCCCCUAGGAAAAGUAGACUCCAAAUGGACUAAAUAUUUGAAAGCAAAAGGUAGUUGCCAUUUGUUUAAUAGGAGAAAAAAUGAAUAAUCUCCAGGGCCAGGGUGGCCGUGGGGUUCUUAAACAGGAUCCAGAAAGCACAAACCUCAAGACUAAAAUGUAUGAACUUGAAUGCAUUAAUGAUUAUGGAUUAAGGAUUUCUGUUAAAUAAAUCCAUCAUGGCAAGGGUCAAGACUGUUUUCAUAAUAAUACUAAGGAAACAAUUUGCGUUUUUCACUUUUACACUCAUGAAUGUAACUUUGCCAUGACUCAUUACAAGAUAUUUGAAACAAUUAAAGCUGAGGAGGGAACAACAGCUAAAAUAUACCAGAAAGCACCACAAAUCAUUAAGAAAAAGGUAGGAAGAUUGCCAGUUUGCAGGAGGGUUAACAAACAGAUGAAAAUUUGCCCAAGCUAAUCAGUUAUCAGAGAAAUGUAAAUGAAAGCAACAGCUAUUCUUCAUAGGAGAAGCAUUAGAAAGUAGGAUAAGGCCAAGUGUUGGCAGAAGGCAAGGAACAAGCCUCCCUGUGUGCUGCAGGUGGGGACGGAGACAGGCACAGACGUUCUGAAGAGCUGGCCAACACUUCUUCCUCAAAUAAAAUAUUUUAUACCUGUGGCCCAGCAGUUUCCCUCCUAAGUAAACAUGCUGGAGCAGUUCUCACCCAGAACAACGAGAGGCUGUGUGUGUGCAUGCUCAGGGCAGCAUGGCCCAUAGGGGUGGGCAGUUGGAGCUGGUCACUGUGGUUAGGAGCAGGGGACUAGAUGUACACUUCACAAGAUAGAGACGCGUGGAAACACAGUGCUGAGUGACACAAAUGCCAAACAGAAAGAGGGCCUCAGUACAUGACUGUGUAUUUAAAUUAAAAUUACACACCACCCAGACACGCAGUACUAGGGAGUGCUCGUGAGUGCACACACACACACACAAUGAUAUAAAUAAAUUACCCUGGAGAAGCUGUUUGUGUAGGGAGGAGAGCAAGGAUAGAGGCUAGAGAUGAAGUGGAAAAGCAUGGAGAGGAAGAGAGCGGUGACUUUAUGCAGACCCUUACAGGGUGACAGUGUUUCAUAGGCUGAGGGCUGUGAUCAACUCUGUGCAGAGUCCCAAAAGCCAAGAACCAACGAAUGAAUGUGCCUCCAUGACUCUCCUGCCAGAUACCCUCUAGUGGCUUCUAUUUCUAGGAAAUAAAAUUCAAAUUCCAUCAGGUUUUUACAAGAUCUGCCCUGCUUACCUCUCUGACCACUGUCCUCCCUCACUGAGCUUUGGCUCUGCCAGCCUUCUUCUUCUUUGUUAAAUCUGCCAAGUAUCCCUCCUGCCCCAAGGCCUUCACCACCUCUGCCUGGCUUGUCUUUUCUGGUGAUCUUCCCUUGACAAUUCCUUCUUCUUAUUUAAAUCUCACAGGAAAUUUUGCUCUGACCUGCCAUAUCUGUCAUCCCCUUCAGUCACUCACUAGCUGACGACUACCUUUCGAGUCUCUGCAAAGCACAGGCUACGCUUUUCUAGUUCCUUAGACAUCUACUUAUUUGUUGGCUGCCUAUCUCUUCCACCGGAAGAGAGGCCCCAAGAGAGCAUAUCUGUCUUCCGUAUAGGGUCCGCACAUGGUGGGUGUGUCACAGAUUUCUGUUGAAUGGUUUCAUUCAUUUAUUGAACGAAGGAAGAGGCCAGGCCAGGAAAGUGUGCCUCCAUUUUCACAACUCAGUGAGAAAGCAAAUAGCAUGUCAAAAUCUGACCCCUUGCAACCAGGGUUUCUUAGCCAGCCACACUGGUAAUGCUUGGGACAGGAUGUAUCUUUGUUGUGAGGGGCUGUCAUUUAUAUUGUAAGAUGUUUAGCACCCUGCCUGGUCUCUACCUAGUUGAUAUUAGUAAUUCUCCCAUAGUCAUGAUAGCCAAAAAUAUCUCCAGACAUUGCCAUAUGUCCCCUGGGGGGCACCGCAGAUGACAACCACUUCCUUAGAACAGCUCUUGGGACUGGGAUGGUGUCUCUGCUGUGGCUCUUUAAAGGCAGCAGGCCCUGGCUUGCAUCCUGCCACAUCUAACACCUAUAGCCUCACCACCUCGGUGAGAAAGACCCUGGCCCAGGCCUGGCCAAUCAGAGUACCCUCUUCCCUGGUCAGCAGUAUAAUUUGUUUGGCAAGCACUUCCAGUCCCACAACCUAUGGGCUGCCACCCAGAGGUUUAGUUGGAACUACGUGUCAGCUGCCGUCCCUCAGCCAUCUAUGGCAUGGGCACCUGUGGCUUGACCAAGUUGGAGGUGGCCUAGAGAGGCCGGGCUGGGCCUGCUCACCUUCUCCAGUUAGUGCAGACUGAUGAAUGAGUGGUUCUCAGCGGAUACCGGAUCCAGGUUUGCAGUACACUCCAGGAGGAGGACGAGUAGGGUUUCCCUCAGAGCAGGCCUGGAUGGGAGGGCAAGGGGUGGCCUCUAAUACUGCCUUUCCUUCCGGUGCCUUUAUCAGCCUGUGCCAUGCUCCUCUGAACUGGCCGGCCCCAGCAUGUCCAGGUUACUGGCAGGAGCCUGUAUAACCCAGGGUUCCAGUCACACCAGCCAGGAAGGCCCAUGAGGCUGGAGCGCACCCAGUCUCUGGCUGCUCUGUCUGCGGAACUAAAAGCCUUUCUCCCAGAGCCUUUCCUACGGCUGGGCGAAGCUCUUGUUUGCAAUUUAAAUGUGGCCUCAUUUAUGGAAGAAUCCCUGCUCCUCCGAAAAGCCUUGGGCUCAACCUCCCUAGCAGCCCGGGCCUCAGCCAGGAGAAGAAAUGGAUCUAAAAGGCCUUUCUCCUGCUAAUUGUAGCAAUUAGCAUUAGAGAAUGGGGACUCGAUGGGGGGCCAGCGCCUGGCAAAACAAGCUUAUUCCCAGCUUAGGCCCAGGCCCAGCUCCACACACUGCUGCUUGGCCAGACUCGGCCCCCACCCAGGGUCUGGUUGGCUUCAGGGCAGGGAGAGAGGGCCCAGGCCUGUGGGUGCUAAGAGCAGUUGUGGAGGGUGUGCAUCUGAGUUGUUAAGCCUGGUAGCUGUACAGGUAGCCCUGGGCUAUGACUUGUGGUCCUCUCAGAAAAGGGUCUGACUGGAACGCAGAGCCAGACCAGAUAUUCAUGAGUGGAUCACAGAGUGUAGACUGAGGGCUAUCUGGUGAUUGACAGAAAGUAGUCUUGGGGCAAAUGACUCUUAAAGAGUAAGGAGCCAUUCCCCUCUAUGGCUAACUGGAUGCCUUUCUCUCCCCCUGCUCCAGAAAGGACUUCCUGUUCCUUCACUGAGCGUGCUUGCUUAUGAGGCUUCUGGAAACCAGGAGAGUUCAGUGGGCCUCAUUAUUGAGCGUAUGGGCAGGACAACCUGCUUGGGACAUAGGCCAUGCUACAGUUGAUUUUAGCCAGCUUGCUGCAUCUACACAGCACAGUGCCUUCCCAGGCAGUGAAUUAUGUCUAACAGGCAGGGGAAUGAUCAUUGCCUCAUGUUAGGGAUGCAGUCAUUCAAGAAAUAUUUGUCAAACACUCAGCAGGUACUAGACCCUGGCCCAGAGGGAGGGAUUUGAUAGGAGCAGGGACCUGCCUACCCUCCCAGGGUUAGUGGACAAAGGGGAGAAAGACUAACUAAUGUUGAAGGACCGUUUGCACCCUGAGGGGAGUGCUGAGGCCUGGGAGCACAGCAGGUGUAUAGCAGGAACCCACUGGAACUAGCCUGGGGUCUGAAAAACUCCCUUGGGGAAAGUGGCAGGGGCAGGCCAAGGGCCCUCUGGUGGUAGGGAGCCUGUGAGCACCUGGGAUGGAAAGAAGCCAAGCAUCUGAACUACCAGAAAGGCAGCUGCAGGAUUAAGCAAGACCCACAGGUCUCUAAACUUUGAAAGGAUGUCUGUCCACUGAGUAGAUAAUUGAUUGGAAUGGGGCAGGGGAUGUGAGAAUGCCAGUUAGGAGAUGCCUGCAGUACAGAGAAAUGGUGGCCUAUCAGGACAGUGGCAAUAGGGAUGGAGGGAAGCAGGGAACCUCUAGAACUAUGGAUGGGUGAAGUAAGCCUGGCUUGGUGAUGGGCUUGAGGUGAUGGGCAGGUGGUGAGGAAGCGGGUGUAUCGGAAAUGACCCCAGAACUUCUGACUUGUGCCACUGAAAGGAUGGGUGACACUGAAAGGACAGGGGCCUUCAGUAGAGUGGGCUAUAAAAUGAUGGAGGCUGUGGAGAGGAGGUGGGGGCAGGUGACUGGAAUGUGGGUCUGGCUGGGUUGGAGAGACAUUUGGGGGGUCAGGGCCUCACAGGUGGUCUGGAAGCCCUUGGUGCUGAGGGAACAGCUUAGGGAAAUGGUUUGCAUAGAGAAAGGCACUGGCAUUUAGUGGCCAUGCCAGAAGGGAAAACCUGCCAAGGAGACUGAGGAUAGAGCCAGAAAGAUGGCAAGAAAGCCAGGAGAACUGGAGGGAUGGAAAAGAGGACCUAGGGGUCAUGGUCCUGGCAGAGGUCACAUUGGAUCCAGUGCUUGUGAUUCUCUGAUUGCUGGCAGUGGAUGGCCACUGGCCUGCAAAUGGCCCUAGUGGAAUGUCCCCUGCCUGUGUGGCUCCCUGUGGGCUGCCUCUCCCCUGGACAGAUGGGGAGAGACCCCUUCCCCACCUGGUUCUCUGUUUCACCCUUGGAACUGUGGCGGUAAAGAGGACCUCCCCACAGUACGUGCAGGGAACAAGCUAGGUUGACUCCCUCAGGGAGGCCUCGUCCUUGCUGAGGUAUUUCAUAACCUCAGGAUAGAGAAAUCCCCCCAACUUUAAUGCAAAGCCAAGCAAGCUGAAAAAUGGCCUUGAAUAGGCUGAGAUGAAAAAACAAAGAGGCUGUCAACAUCAGAGACUCAGUGGGGGCAGGGAGCUUCAGUGGACUCCCCACAGACAGCAGUUCCUGGGCUUCUAUGCCCAGACCCAGAGGCCUGAGCCCAAGAUGUCAGGAUGGGUGGUCACUGUAAGUGCAGUGGAUUGUAGCUCAGGGGUGAGACAUCGCCUUUUUCUUGUCAGCUCUCCUUCCUGAUUAGUGGCUCAAACAGCCUUCCGAGACUCAAGGGGUUAACUGCAGAUCCUCUAACUCCUCCACUUGCUAAUUUUUAAACACAGCUGAGCUCUGAGCACCCCUCCCAAGGCUGUGAGAGGCCAGAGGCCAGCACAGACUCUGCACCAGGUCUGCACAGCCUCCACCCCUACUGUUGUCAGGAAUCUGCAGGCAUCUAGAACAAAGGUGCCUCCAUUAUUUCCCUCACCCAGCAUAUCCUGAUACCUGAGCCAAGAGUUCACCCAGAGCUUUUGCCCACUUCAUUGAUGGUCUGGUGGGCUUUUGUUGACACAUACCCGUGACUCCCAAAUGAACCUUUCAGGUUGGCUUAAAGCCGCUGGGACCUACACAUGACAAAACCCAGACGGAAACAGUGGCUUACACUCCUGUGUCCCUAAAGGUACCUGUUCCUAACAGUGGGAGUGCCAGAGCCUGGAAGCUGGAAGCCAAGGAGACAGGGACCUCCCUCCUGCUGACCCCCUGCCAGGCCACAUCCACCUAAGGGAUUUGGGAUCAUACUCCAUCUUCAACCACUGGGAUCAAAUGGAAAGCCCUCAGGAAUUCUGAGAGACAGCCCCUAUACCUAUGUGCACUGACACACAUACACUGACAAAUACGCAUUCUGACACAUAUAUGAACAUGCACAUAUGUGUGCCCCACUCCCUGCCAGGAGGUGGGUUCUGUCCCAUCUUUGACAUGUUACUUCUUGUCCUUCCCUAGGCCCAGUGGCACUUUCUUUGUGAUAGGUGCUGAGACCCCCCCGACUGGGCCCAGUGGCUGUUCCCAGGACCCAGUCUCUGCUCUUAUCUUAACCCAGCUCUAGCUCCCAGGACCCCAGCCUUUCGCAGGGAGAGAGAUAGCUCUUUUGGUCUGGCACAUGUUCCAUGCCAAGUAGUGGAAACAGCAGCUGCAGGGCAGCCUCAGACUUGACAUCAUUUAAUCCUUGUGACAAUCCUACAGGGAGGAAGACACUACACAUAUGUGCAGAUGCAGCAAGGAGCAGCUCAGCCACAUGGAAUGACUUGCUUGAGGUCACCAGGCACUUGACACAGCAGAGUUUAGCCCAGUCUCUGGAGAGACCAGCCUUCCACAUCCUGUCAUGCUGGGGAGGGCUGCCCGCUUUUUGUCCCUGCUCCCCCAGUUCUAACCCCGGAAGAGCGAUUGUCCCUGCUGUGCCUUCAGCCCAGACAGAAGCAGGCUAGGAGAGGGGAGGAGAGGCAGGGCUGGCCCUCGGAAGGCUCACCUUCCUCAACAGUUCUCUGCUUGGGCAAAGGUCUUCCAAGCAGCCAGGCUCUGAGGCUAGUCACUGUCAUCGUUGGGUGAGGCAGCCUGGGAGUACCAGAAGUUGGAGCAGGUGGGAACCUUCCCCAGGGAUGGGGCUGGAUAGGCAGGGGUGGGUGCUAAGUGGCAGGCCACAACCAGGCACCUGGGAGGGCCAAGCACCACACUGAGAACGCAGUGCUUCCCCUCCCCUCCUAGGCUGCUCAGGAACCCAUCAGUCUCCUGUAAACAAAUGAGACUAAGUCUCUGGCACUCUAGGCCCAGGUGCAAAGGACAGCUGCCCCUGCAGCUACUCACUCUGCCCUGGCCCUCUCAGGAGGCUUGUGACCUCUGCACCUGCUGGCUUGUUUUGUUCCUAAAAUACCCGGAUCCUUGAGAAUCUAGAAGACACCACUGCUAACAGAUUUCCACAUCAUUCAUUCUGUUCUUCCUGUGCAAGCUUCAUGCUGGGACAGGGACCAUAAAACAAGGUGACCCAAAACCUUCAGCAGAAUGCAGGUAGGCAGAGCAGAGGUCUCUGGGAGUGUCAUUCCAAGGCAGUGUCUUCCUCCUCCCCUAUGCUCCCCAUUUCCCAAGAGUGGGCUUCUUCCACCCCACUCAAGCACCUCUUCCCAAGGCUGACCUAAAGGCCUCAAGCUCUGCGGAUAGGGGCAGUCCUGAGGUGGCAUUGAGUCUUAGGGUUGGAGUGGGAGAUAUCUGUGCAAAGGCUGAUAGGAACGUCCUCCAAGGGCUGACUUCAAAGCUUGGCCUAAACCACUGCAUCAAAGUCAGCAAGCUGAGCUGUUUGCACAGAAAAGGAGGAGGAGCAGGCCCUUGAGCCACCUGUAGCUCUCCUUAGGGUCUCAGGCUUUCACACCAGGGCAGGCCUUGGGCCAGACUACCCAACUUCCAGGCCGGAUGUGCCACCGGGGAGGAGGAGGUAACUGCCCCUCAAAACCCUGCAGCCCAGGGCUCCAGGAUUCCAACCCAGGGACCUGCAGGCUCCCCUGCUCUCCAGAUCAGACCCCUACUCUCAGAGCCCUAGGCCCAGUGGGUGACAGCCUGUGAGACAGGCCUGUGUGGGGUGGCCCUAGCCCCACCUCAGCUUCCAACCUGACCUUGCUGCAUGACCUCUGGCCCAGCCCUCUCCACCUGGAGUGCCAUCUCUCUUUGUGGGAUGGGCCAGGUGGGCUGUGUGUGGGGGAGGGCAAGUAUAUAGGUGUGGUAUAGGUGGAAACUGCCACAGUAACCAGCAGCAGCUCAGAGCCGGGCCACCCAAUUUGUAUGCCAGCCCCAGCUGGGCCUAGGCACGUGGUGUGUGGAAAUGAACGAAGCAGGCAGCCCUAUGUUUAGGAGGCAGGUCCAGAGCUCACCCAGGCACAGCACAAGAUGAGUGCCUGGCCUCAGUGAGCGAGCACUGGCUGCUAUGAGGCUGUGGUGUGGAACCUUGACACUAGGGCCACUGGCCUGGCUGUGUGACCUCUACCUCAUCACCCAGAGCAGGGCAACCAGAGGCAGAGCCUCAGUGUGGUGUUCUCCUGUGAAAUAGUGAUGGCACAGGCAGGGGCUGGGGCCCAGUGCCUACACAGAGGAUCAGCAAAGGAUGGCAGUUAUUGAAACCUCUACGGGGAAGUUCCCCAGACACGAGAGGAAGACCCCCAUGGAAGCUGUGUGUGUGACGUGCUUAGAUUUUCCAGAGUCUUCAUUUUCCUUGUCUAAACAGAGGUCAUGGCGCCUCCCUCUCAGAUCAAACAGCCCUGUAUGAGUGGCUACAACCUUUGGUGGGCUCAGUGCAGCCCCUCCUGCCCCCUUGCUUGGGAGCUGUCUGCAGAGGCCUAGGGAGCUGCGUGGGGUCUCUCCACCUCAGCCUGUAUCCCCACCCCCACCAGGUCCCCUGCCUGACUCCAGCAUACCCAGGCCCUAGAAGCACCAACUCCAUGGCUGCAGCUGAGUGGAGUGUGUGCCUGCCCAAGCCUAGAGGGGUGCUGACCCCUCCCUCGCACGAGGAGACAUCAAAGGGAAGCAGGAAGCAGCGGCCUGGCUGACCCACAGCGGGUGGGAGAAGUGCAGCCUCACAACUGCUGGGGAUUUUCCAUCCCACCAGGAUUUCCGCGGGACACCCCAAGUCCAGCCUUUGAGGCUCCUCAGGAACCAGAGUUUGGCCUGGAGCCAGUUGGGGCAGAGGAGGGGGGCCAGGCUGGGUGGCUUAGGGGUGUGGUUAGGCCUGCUAAGGGGCUCCUCUUCUCAGUCUCCCCAUGAUUUGCUGGUUACUGGCUUGAAAUCUGGGCCCAGACCCAUUCCAACACUGAACCCUGAGCUCCCUGAGACCUGGCUGGCAAGGACAGGUCCCAAUUUUUACAGGGGCCUGAGAGGAAUGGAGAAGGGAUCUCUGCCCCUUCCUUUCUCAGUCACACCUCCUUGACAGGGGGUCAUCAGAGUGGGCUGUGGUAGGUGCACCAGGGAAGGGACCAUACAGAGGAGGCUGGUCUCAAGUCCUAGGGUGCCUGGGAUGGCCCUAUUGAAAUGCUGCAGCAGCUCUUGUGCAGGCAGGGAUCUGUAUGGACAGCUGGGUGGACACAGGUGCCUACUGACCUCCCAGAUCCUUCAGCAGAGCUCAGCCCUGAGUGACAGCCCAAGGCAGACCUGGCUACCUCAGCCUCUGGCUCACAGCCCUCAGCCAGAGCCCUGAGAGGCCUGGGAUCUCAAAGCUGCAAGGUGGGAGGCCAGAGGAGAGAAGCCCGGAGCUGGUAGUGAUGCUGGCUGAGUGAAAAUUGCACAUUUCCCAACAGUGUGAUGCUCCCUAUCCAGCCUGGGCUUUUGGCAGACUUCUGUGCUUUGUGGAGGAAGCUGGCUCAGAUUCCUCCCCUCCCUGUGCAGUUUGUGUGUCAAGGUGUACUUGUCACACCCAACUCAGGAUAUCUUGCAUCACUUUGUGGGUCCUUGUCCCCCAGAGCUGGGACUGCUGAGUUUUAGCCCUAAGCUCUUGCUCCCAUCUUAGCAAGUCAGGGCCCAGUGUUGUCCUUGCCUCUGCAUCAGGAUGGUAAGCUGGGCAUGCUCCGCAUCACGGAGACCUGCAUGGACCUGGAUUGGGUUGCCUCUAUCUUCAGGCUGGUCACUGGGCAGACACAAACCAGGGCCUCUGGCCAGAGGGGACAGUGGCUCUGAGUUACUUGUGCUGCUCUUUAGGGGUGAGCAGGGGCUGCUUGUGCAUCAUAGUGUAUCACAGGGGAUGCACAUUUACAAUUGAAAGCUACUGGUCCUGGGUAGAAGUGGGGCCGAGUAGGACUUCCCAGCCUUGAACAUGGGUUUGUCAUCCAACUGGGACCCACACUUGAUCCAGCGGCCAUGCUCUGUGCAGCCUGGGCCUGAGGGCAGCCACGCUCAUGUGAAAAGUGCUAGUAGCCAAGCUGCCAUUCUAGUCACCACAGCUGUCCUUGCAGGAGCACAUUGCCCAGGGCUGGGAGCUGUCAUUUCCGUGACGGGAGUGAGACUCAACACUGGGUGAGGGUGGGGGUAUCUGUUGGGAAUUAUUUCAAAACAAUUGUGGAAACUUGGCAGUGGAGGGGCUCUGGGCAUAGGUAUCCACAAUAUCCUAGUCAGGGGUUGGGGUACCCUGGCUCUGCUGAUAAGCCCAAGUGAGCAUACUCCUCCCCCAGCUUGGAACAGGUGGGACGGGCCAGGUGACACUAGUGUGGUCUGUGGUCUGGCCUCCCAAGCCAGUGGCAGUACUGGGGUGGCAGACAUUUGCUGUGUGCUAUCCCAAGGCCUAAAGGUCACACAGCUAGGUUGGAGCAGGGUUUUGGGCAGGAUGAGUAGGCAUUGCUGUGCUCUCAGAAAGGCGAAGCAAACCCCAGAAGCAAGGGGGCGAGACAGGGCAAAGGCCUACACUUUGCCAUCAACUCAGGCCUACUCAAUGCUGGCCCUGUCCUUCCCCUGCCCCUGCCCCAUCAGAUGGUGCGAGCUGGCGGGGCUUAGAGUGAGCCCCCCUGACUCUUCUUGGUGUGGAGUCUGAGGCCCAGAGUGUACAGGCCUCAUCCGUGUGACCCAGCAGGAGGAUGGGAGAGUGGGCCCAGAACUUGGUCAGGCUCAUCCGUGGAGAACAAGUUCUUCCCUAGUCUAGUUGUGGUCUGAGUCCUGGGUGAAGCAGGAGGCAGCCUGGGAAACAGCCUCGUUCUAGUAGGAAUCGCAUUCUCAGGAACGCUGACUGUGCAGGGCCCUUUCUCACUGCCACCUGGGAGGAUGCCUGCCUGCUGGCCAUUUCGGCGGACUGUCAGAGCACCCUCCCUGGGGUCCCAGACCGAAGGCCUGAAGUCCACAUGGGACCCCUGAACUUCUGGUACCUGUGUGGGCUUGUCCCCUCAACCCUGAGUGGAAUGGCAACAGCCAGCUGCAACCCUCCUAGCUUCCUGUCAUGUGCUGUAUGGAAGGGCCAAGAGCUGUAGUCAUCUGCAGAUCCUCCCACUGCACCUGUAGGACUAGCGUCUCCUGUCUGGAUGUGAGCAACUUGCUGGUGGCCUGUGAGAUGGGAGUUGCACUGGGCUUCUGGAUAAGGGCUUCUCGUUCAGGUGACAAUUCUAUGUGAAGGAGACCCAUGGAAACACAUCUAUCCCCUGCCCAUGUACCAGGCAGAGAUGGUACCUGCCCAUGUACCCUCCAUGACAUGGCUGGGUCCCUGAAACAUCAGACAGAUCGAUACUCUGUGUGCAUGUUUGUGGGCAAGACACAGUGGCACGUGUGCCCUGGAGUUUGGUAAUGGGAGGACUGAAGUAGUGCCUCCGUGUGUGAGCUGUGCCAGCCAUCCCCACGAAGGGGGCAUUCCAUGCAGAUGGGGAUCCUCUCCAGGCAGCUUCUUCCACACCUGAUUAGCUCUGACCAUCAGACCCCCCGUGCCAAAAGGGCCCCUUCCCUGGAAUCUGUAAUUCUCACAGGCUGUCCCAUACAUUUUAAAUCCAGGAAAUGUGCUCACCCAUGAGACAGGGAUGGCAAGAAGAUAUGAAUGAAAAGCAACCAGUCCGUAAAAUUGGAAGCCAUUUCACUCCUUACCAGGUACAAAGAUAACAUGCUGCAUGGAUCAGGGACACAAACUUACCUACCUUAUGAUGUAGUGAAAGAAUCUAAAACUUUUGUCUCAGCAGACUCCCUGGAGGAAGCCAAUAACAGGAGGCCUUGACUAGGAGACCUCAAGCCUUGGAAUGUGCCCAGACCAGUGGGGAGGGAAGGCUGGGAGGCAGUCCUCCCUUACCCCUUUUCUCCCAGGCAGACCUACCCUGGGUUCUCUCCAGGCCCCUCCGCCUGAGCAAGUGCUCAGUUGGCCACUAGCUCCCUGCACAUCCAACAAGCCUUUCUUUCCUGUUCCUUCUUCAAGGAAGGCUUAGCCUCAAAUCCAGGGCCACAGACAAAGGACAGUCACUCUCCUCUGCCAGAAAGUCAUUUAUGGGACAUGGAGAAAGCAUCAAAUAUAUUGCUUUUCCAACACCUAACAGUGGAAUAGGAGGAAUAGAAGGAGAACUCAGCCAGAAAGUUCUGGAGCAUAGUCUUUUUGCCAAAAGAACACGUUUUCAAAUGAAAGAGGUGGUGCUGGGGCACUGAGGAAUCAGGGGGAUGGACCCCACUGGAGCUUGUCUCAUGCUGGCAGCAAGUCCCAGGCCUCAAACACAUACCUGGGCCACCUCAGGAGAGAGACUGCAGGGAAGAAAUGAGUUGCAAUGCUCCAGCCUAACCAACUCCCCUUUUGUUAAUCCAAUCCCAGAAGGUACUGGGUAGGGUCAGUUAACAGACAGCUGCCUGUCUCCUGGCAGAGUCUGACCAAGCCCCAGUGGGCGCUUCUCUUCCUAAGUCCUCUGGUGUACCCCAUUCUUCAAGGGAAACGGUCCCCUUAAGAAUCUAUGUGAAAGGGUUCUGAAAUUGCUGUACCAGUUAAUGAAUUAUUUACUCUAAACAAUGUCUUGAUAAAGGGGGAGGAUGAAGUUAGCUGAUGUUGACUAAGGAGAGACGGAGUUGCCAAGGAAAUUCUUCUAAAUGAAAAAAAAAAAAAAGUAAAAGCAGUCAGCUGGUUUUGUCUGACUAUGAAACGUGUCACAGAGCAUGCACCUUUGGCCAUCUUUUGCAUUUAUGAUUUGGAAGAGAGAUGUAGCAGUGAGUGUGGGGCCAGGGAGGGGAAUCCAACAAAGCCAUUCUGCAAGCUAGUGGCUGGGAUUUUGGGGUAUAGAGUAAGAGCAGCCAGCCUUAGAGGCCCAUGUCAUCUGGGCUGCCUCAGAGCUAAAGCUAGGUAACCAGAGGGAGUAAGGAAAGGCCUGAGUCCCAGGCUAGGCUUUUCACAGUUGUAUUGAGAUGGGAAAGUAAGGGAUGUUCCUUGCAGCAGAUGCAGGGCCCAGUUGUCUAGAGCAGUAUUUGAAAUGAGUUGGCAUUUCAGGGCAGUGUUUGUGAUGCCAGUCAGUAGGUAGGGGCUUCUACCUCUUUUUUAGAAAUGUUUACUCUGAACUAAGCUCUAUGCUUUAACAAGUUAUGUUUUAAUAGGAAAACUGUCAUUGAUGGAAUCAUAUGUAAUUCCUACAUUUUUCCAGUUACCCAUUCCUGGGGAAAGCUUAGCCAUUGGACAAACCACCCAGAGCCCCAGGAACCUGCAUUUGCAGACAGCAGUGGCAGGCACAGUGGCCUAGUGUUGAGCGGGGGAAACCUGGCCUCUAUGUGUCUGGUUUUGCAAACUAAAACGCCAUUGCCCAUACUCAGGCUGACAGGUUCUGGAGGUGCCAUGGACUCCUGCUCUGUAUCUCACCUCUAGUUCCAUCACAAUGCAUGAGCUGUCAGUGGGAGCCUUUUAAUGCAGAUGCUAAUACCCAUUCCUAAUGCUAGCCCAUCCCCACACCCUCCUGAGUUGGUGCGAUAUAUCCUGGGAACAAGAAAAUCUGAAGGCUCCUGGUCCUCAGGCUAGCAAGAGCCUUGCCUGUAAGAAGUGGGAGAAGGUCACCUCUCUCAGGAGGCAGAACUAAGGCUGCACAGCACAAGGGAGAUGUCUGAAUGCACAGUCUGGGUGGCAGAAGGACUCCUGUCCUUUCUUCCACACAGACCUGAGCACCUCUCCAGGUGCCACCAUUUUCUGUCUGGGAACAUCUGCUAUCCCCAAGCCUCAGUUUCCUGGUCUACAAAACUGAGAUGGUCUCUUCUAUACAAGGCCCCAGGAGGAUCACUGCAAGUCACUGCAUUUCAUGGUGCCCAGAUUUCCCUGCAUUUCUAGAAUGUCAACAGAGAUGAGUGGGCUCAAGGGGAAGAGAUUCUUUAUGACUAGAGAUAUUCUGGUCAACUUUGGACCCCAGCUUCUAUGGACAAUAGCAUGUGGACAUGAGCCCUGGGGAAGCAGGGAUGACUGAGCCUGAAGAAGAGCUCUCAAGCCUUACACUCUCCAGACCAGCCUUGGGUUGCCUGAACCCCAGCAUAGCCUUAUGGAACCCCUGCCAGGGUCCUAGCACCUGGUUUGACCUGGGCACAAGUACUCACUCACUCACUCACUCACUCACUCACUCGUCAAACAUUCACUGAGGGUCCGUGACAGGCUCCAUAUGGAUUAAGCACUGAAGAUAAAACACUGAAUAGAAACAGCCAGCCUAUACCCUCAUGCUCCUUGAAUGUGAUAGAAGGAGCCAGCCAGUAAACCCUUUACCACAAAUAAACACACAGUUACACAUUAAGAAUGGGAGGGGAGGUAUGUGAUUUUUUACAGCCCAGUCUUAAGCUUUAGAAAUUGGCUCCUCUGAGGAAGGGACAUUUCAGCUAAGAACCACAGGAUAAGACAGUCCUGGCCUGGGGAAGGGGAGAGAAGGUCAGGAGAGAGCUUGAUAUGUUUAAUACUGAAAGAAUAUUUGAUGAGCUGGGACAUCUCCUGCAGAUCCACGGCUCCCUAGCUUUGUGACCCUGGGCCCUAGACUCAAUCCCUCAACCCUUAGGAGAUUAUCUAUAAAACAGGAGUGAUAAUAUUCUUGUGUUAAAAGCUGCUGUGAGGAUUAGUGAAAUGAUGUCUAUAUUUGCCUGGCAAACAGGAAGUGUAAGUAGUAGUAUCAUUUGAAGAUUAUUCUUCAGCCUAAACGUGUGUUCAUUAUGGCCGGUGUGUUUUCUCCCCACCUAGAUGGUAGUGCUGGGCCUCCUUUGGAGUACCUUGAUGUUUGGGGAGCAUGGAUGAUAUGACCAUAACCUGAGAAGGCAGGGACUGUACCCAUUCUGGUCCUCCCAGGUCCCAGGGCCCCCACAGUGCCCUGGUGUGUGAUCAGUGCCCACAAUACUGAAUAGAGGAACAGACACAUGGGAAGCAACGGCAGCCUGGUCUUUAAGGGUGAGGGAGCACCUUCUCCUGAGAGAGGGAGAGAUAGGUUGGGGGAGGUUGGGUGGGGGUGGGGAGAGCGAGUGAGCAAGCAAGCUAGAAACUUCCUGAAAAGGGAAGUUACUCUAGAAAAGGGUAAGUUCCUUCCAGGCAUCAUGGGCUGGCUUAACCUGGACCAGUUUGACUUUACUAAGUCCCAUUUCUCAUCUAGGGAGCCUGAGGCCAUUAAGGUUAUCUGGUCCCAAAAUCCCCUAGAGCUGUCACAGGGAUCCCCAUUCUUUGCCUUUAGUCACCCCAGCCCCAAGAGCCAUCCUCCACAUGGAGUGAGCAGGGAGCUACAAGGAAAAGACGGUCACAGUUGGAGAGAGACAGAGAACCAGGUGGGCUGGUAGGACAGGAAGGUAUAGGGAGAAAGUGAAGCUCUCUCCUGGGGAGGCAGGAAUACUCUCCUGCUUCCUUCUACCCACUCUUCAUAGAACACAAACACUGCAAAAAUGACUUUUUCCAAACCCUCUUAGCAUUCAGAAGUAGAAUUGCUAUGUAAGAAUUUUUUCAUAGGUGCUUUUUUGGGGGGCAUCUAUUUAAAAAAUAACCACAUCAUUAGUGAAAUCUUCCAAAGUCUCUUUUUGGAGCCCACAUUUCACUAAUGUCCACAUCUGAGGAGGCUUUCAUAAUAAAAGAACACAUACCUAUUUCACCUAUGAUGGUCAGUGCAAUCUUGAAAACACUAGUAAAUAGUGUCCAUCAGCUUUAAAAAUACAAACCCAAAUUGGGUCAUACCAAAAUGCAAGGAUACACACAAUAACCUGGGUGAAUCUUCAGGGAAUUGUGCUGAGUGAAAAGAGCCGAUCCCAAAAAGGUGAUUUGCUAUGUGGUUCCAUUUAUAUAAUUUUCUUGGAAUGAUAAAGAAAUGAAGAAUAGGUUAGUAGUUGUCAGGGGCUAAGGACAGGGUAGGGUGGGAGGGAAUUGGGGGUAGCUAUAAAAGGGGGACAUGAGGGAUUCUUGAAGAGUUAGAAAUGUCCUGUAGUGAGACUAUCAAUGCAAUAUCCUGGUCAGAAUAUUGUACUACAGUUUUGCAAGAUGUUACUAUCGGGGGAGACUAGGUAAAGGAGUAUGUAAGAUUUCUCUGUGUUGUUUCUUAGAACUGCAUGAGAAAUGUACAAUUAUCUCAAAAUAAAAAUUUAUUUUAAAAAAUGCCCAAAUUAAAAAAAAAUCAGUAGUCCUCCUAAAAAUACCCAGAAAUGAAUUUUAGAAUGUCCAAAAUCCAUACAAAGAUCUAAAAAAAUAUGGAAGGAUGUUGCAAUGGAUUUGAACAUGUGGGUAAACUGCUUCUAUUUGUGGCUGGAAAGACUUUUUUUUUGAGGUGGGGAAGGCAAUUCUUCAUCAGUUAAUCUAAAUUGAAUGAAGUUUCAAUAACAAAUGCCAAUGGGAUAUGAAUAUACACACAGAUAGACAACUUUUUUUUUUUUUUUUUUUUUAAUUAGGCAAGCUGAGGCCAGGUGCAUUGGCUCACGCCCGUAAUCCCAGCACUUUAGGAGGCUGAGGCGGGCAGAUCACUUGAGGUCAGGAGUUUGAGACCAGCCUGGCCAACAUGGUGAAACCCUGUCUCUAAUAAAAAAAAAAAUUAGCCAGUCAUGGUGGCAGAUGUCUGUAGUCCCAGCUACUAGGGAGGCUAAGGCAGGAGAAUUGCUUGAACCCAGGAGGUAGAGGUUGCAGUAAGCCGAGACUGUGCCACUGCAUUCCCGCCUAGGUGACAAAGUGAGACUCUGCCUCAAAAAAAAUAAAAAUAAAAAAAAAAUUAGGCGUGCUAGUUCUAAGUUUAUAUGAAAAAAAUGCAUGUCCUAUAAAAUUCAGAAGUAGCAGCAGUCUGGCCCCUUGUGCUCCUCUAGCCCUCAACUGGCCUAACAGGCCCUAGUGUGCAGCAGGGACUAUUUUCCCAUCAUCACUGUCCACAGCAUCUGGACAAGAAUACAGAGAACGGCUGAUUUAAAAAAAAUCUAAUCUGGGAUCCUAUGCAUCCUAAAUAAUCUUAUGAGGAUGCACUUGUAUUUUUUCUGAUGCUGAUACUAUUCAUUCCAACUCGCCUCCCCAUCAGCUUUGUCAGGCACUGUGAAUUGCAUGGUACACAUGAUUACAAUGGAUGGAAUGGCCAUCAUGAGGUAUAGCAAUACAUUUAAGUAACACUGUGUCACUACUAUAGGACAGGCACUUUUCUGCAUACUUUAUAUUAUUAAUUUGUGUAAUCCUCCUAACAACCCUCUGAGGAAGGUACUCUUAUGAUUCCCAUUUUACAAAUAAAGAAACUGAGACUAAGUGACUCACUCAAGGUGUAGCAGGUAGAAAGUAGUGGAAUUAGGAUAUGAGUUCAGACUCCAGACCCUGUUAUUAGCCCCUGUCUUUGGCUAUGGAUUAGUAAAGGAGAGCACAGCCAAGGGUGGGACAGGCAGCUGUAGUCCUCUGGACCAGCUUCACAUGGAUGGGGCUGCAUUGUUACAGGUGGCCUAACUCAGACAUGGAAACUGAGUCGCUGCUGCCCAACUCAUGCCAUGAAACCAUUUUGGCCUGCACAGCUUAUAACAGCACUCUAGCUCUAGCUAUGACACUUUAUGGUGUUAGUGGGUUUUUUUGGUGGUUGGUAUGGAGGAGGGGCUGGGCUACAAGUUUUAGAUUAUGUUUCUUAUUGCGGGUUUUUAAAAAUUCUUGAAUUAGGCCUAUUUGCUCUUUUGUUCUCUAUUGAGUUAGCAAAUUCAGUUUUUCCAAGAUGCCCUGAAAGUAUGAUCAUACAUGUAUACGAAAUGGUCCUUGGGUCCAGCUGGCAACUCCUGUGCACCCCCGACCUGGAUUCUGCCUUCCUUGAAGUGAGCCUUGGAAGAAACAAGUGCUCAUGCUCCCUGACAUUAUUAGCUGCCACGAUGAAGCCUCAGUCCCAAACACCCCAGCUUCCUGUCUAACUCAAGAGCUAAUCCUGUGUUUAAAUCUUAAGAGUGUUUAGAUCUUAGGCCAUGCCAUGAAUUCCCCUGGUUGACUGCAUUUGUGAAAAUGAGCUUCCCAUUAUUGGCUCUUAAGUAAUGGAGAUGAGGGGGAGUCCUGCUACACAGAUAAGUGCAUCAUAAAGUUACAUAAUUAAAAUAACUGAGCUCUGGCCUAUCAACAGGCCCAUCAGCAGUCCAGAAUAGAGUCUAGAAAUGGACACAAAUUAAAUGAGAGUUUGAAAUAUGAUAAAGGUAGCAGUUGAAAUUAGUAGAGAGAUGAUGAUGUACUCAAAUAAAUAGUGUUGGACAACUGGACAAAUAUAUGGGAAACCAAAUUGGAUUUAAUUACUCUGUCAAAAUCCCGAUAAAGCAAGGAUUUAAAUGUAAAAAAUGAAAUAAAAAAUGAUAGAAGAAAACAUGGAAGAAUUUAUUAAAACAAUUUCAGGAUGAGAGGUUAUUUCAGAAUUUAAGAUAAGGACCUCAAACCAUAAAAGACUGACACAGCUGACUAUGUGAAAUUAAAAAAAUUCUGCCACCAGAAAAAUAUUAUAGAAAAAGCCAAAACACCUAAGGAAAAUGAGGAUAAAAUAUUUUCAAUGAAUAUGACAAAGCAAGUUUCUACAAAUCAGUAAGACAAGGUAUUUUACAAAGUCCAAAGGGUAUGAAGAAAUAGUUCACAAGAAAGAAAAACAAAUGAUUUUAAGCAUUUGGAAAGAUAAAAACCUCAUUUCCAACAAAAGAAAUGUAAAUUAAAGCUCCAGUGUACCAUUUCUCAUCUAUGAAAUGAAUGAAGAUAAAAACCUGAGUAUACACUUGGUAAGGGUGGGGGAAGAAAGUGCAUUUGUGCAGUCAAAGUGAUGUAAAUGGUACAGCCCUUAUUUGGCAGUAUCUAUCACAACAUAAAUGAACAUUUUAAUCCUGCUGGAAAUGGGGGGAAAGGGAGGAUCUCUUAAAGUAAAUCCACUGAAAACGGAGACCAAAAUUUUACAAUAGAGAUAUUUGAUUGGGAAGUUAAUUUGAAAAAUAACAGUAGUUAAAAUAUUAUUUUAUCUCAUAUGCAAUAACAGUUGUUAGAGUUACAAUUAUGUACACGUUUUAGAAAAAAACAAAUCCAGAGGGGAUUUUGGUUUGUCUUUUGUAAAGCAUUAUAUGGUAACAUCUGAGGGCAUCUUUUAUACUUGGCAGAGGAUGUUGGCAGCACUUCCACAGAGAGGAUCAUUUUUUGUAGAAGUAUGGCAUGGUUUCACUGCUUGACCAAGAGGCCACCUGCAUCAAUUAUCAUCUCCCCUGCUGUCCUCUGAAAUGCUUAUCUAGGCAUCGAUCUUGGUUUCCUCUUCAACUGAUUAACUAACUGGUCUACUCUGCCCAGUCUCUAUUUGAGAAAUCAUUUGACAUCAUUUUCUUUAACUUGAUGAAAUCUCCUAUUUUGACAAGAUUUACAGUUCCUCUUUAUAAGUUCCUCUUUACUUUGUGUGUGCUUUAUAUUGUCUUUGGUUGACAAGAGACAGCCAAAGAGGUCAGUCAGCAGAGAUACAAGUAGGGAUAAGAUGGAUAGGGAGAAACAACAGUGUUCAAUAGGGAGGGAUGUUUCAGGGAAACUAAUUUCAUAAGUGGUCAUUUCAGUAGUGAAUAUAUUUGAAUGGUUAAUGGCUGCUGUUUUUUAGCUGCCCUACAUAUCCAUCAACAGAGGAUCUGUUCCAUAAAUCAUGGCACAAUGAAACUCUGCAGCUGUUAAUGAAAAGGAGAUUUGCUAGAUGUCUUAAUACAGAUCCAUCUCCAGAACAUACCAGUGUCUUCCUUUUAAGUGGUGCACACUGGGGCUGAACACUUACUAAGAAAUGAAAGGGCUCCCCAGUCAAAGCUGACAGGUGUCAUUACAACAUGACCCCUGUGGUAGAUCCCAGCACAAUACACUGGCCAUCACUCCAUUCUCUUCAAAUGUCCUAGGGUUGCUUCAUACAGCAGACCAUCGUACCCAAAGCCACUAUGCAUAUGACUUGGUUAUCUCCUGCCAGGCUGUAGUCCAGUUAGUGCUCCCUUGGAAAUACUCAAGACCUUAAUGAACUAUCUAUCUGUGAAUCUGUGAAGCUACCCAUUUCUUAGAGGCCUCUUUGGAGAGCUGGCUGUUGAAUACCCAGUAUGAUGGUCCUUAGCCUUCUUAGACCUUUCCUGUACCACUACCUCUAUGCCUUUUGCCAAGUCCAAGUGUUCACCAGAAAUGGAACUGAUGCCAGAAAGACUACAGCUAACAAUCUGAGCAGAACAGUGAGCAUGUCCUAUCUGGGAAAAGCCCAGCCCAUUGGGCUAAAUCUCUAGCUGAACACAGAGACUAUGCUCCUUCCAAUUAUACUGGAAGCCCAACCAUGAGAAAACAGCACUUCAACUACACUGUUCAGAGCCAUCACCUGUUCACACGUGUGUCUGUAUACAUGUAAACACACAUUUUGCAAUAAAAAUGCUUCUCAGAUGUACUGCACCAUAAUAAAUCAGCAUUGUAUGUACAGCUCAAAAAGAAGUAUGGCAUACCUAUGGAAGAAGUCAAAGGCAAAGUGUAGAAAAAUACAUACAGUAUGCUACCAUUUGUAUAAAAAGGAGCCGUAUCUACUAAGUACAUGCACACACAGACACACGUAUAUUUGUUUAUAUAAAAUACGUCUGGAAAGAUGCAAUAGGAAAGUGUUGAGUGGUAACCUUUAGGGAAGGAAACUUGGGAAUUAGGGUUGGGUGGGGAGAGUGUUAUUUUUCACCCCUUUUGUACUCUGAAUUGGUUUUACCAUGUGUGUAAAGACUGUUGUAUGAUUUUUGUAGCACAACCCUUGAAUACAUAAAGCACGAUUGGCUCCCCAGAAGGCAGGUGUUGGCCAGGCAGUGGAUGCACGGUAGGGCAGUGUGCAGCCCUGCAUGCACGUGGCUGGUAUGCCCUGCGGGCAGCAGCUCCCCGCACACAGUGCUGUGAGUCUCUGGUUCAUGUCACUCUGUGGAGCAGGGGCUGCUCCAGCACAAAGAGGUUUUUGACAGGGAAAGGCAGAGCCAGAGUCAGGGCAGGCCCUGGGCGGGCUCCUAGAGAGCCCAACCACCCUCUAAUAAGGGGUGCUCUCCACCCUAUCUGAGGAGCAAUUGGGAUCUCCUAGGAAGUGAAACUGUUACGUAUGUCUUAUUACAGAAUUUCCAGUGGAGUGAUUCUGGAAGAAAUGUGUAUGGCAUGUUGUGACUGCUAUGUCUCAUGAAAUAUUUACGUUUUUAUGUAACUUUUUUCCAUUUUCAGAUCAUCUUUUAUUUUAACGCAAAAUGACAAUAUAUUUUUCAAUUAAUUUGCCCAAUAUCUGUGUUUAAAUGUUUUCUAAUGCACACACGUGUUUUAAACUCAUUAAAAAAAUAUGACUUAGAUCCCAUCCCACUUUCAUGUUUUAUAUUGCCAAAACUCUGCUUUUGGGAGAGGUGAGUUAUCUUCACUUCUGAAACAGUACUGCUUGGGAGCUGGUUUGGCCCUGGCUAUUCUGGGGAAAUGACACAAUAUUGACCUAGAGGGGCCCUAAUCUUUCCCCGCUAGAGCACUACCUCUAAUAGGGUGAAGGAUGGGAGAAAGAGGCUAGUGAACCCACCUUCAGGUCUGUCCACUCAGGACAUGCCCACACUAGCCUCUCCAGGGGCUCUGCCCUUGGCAUCCCCGUCCCCCACCUGGGCUCUGGCAGAGAAGUCAGGCGGGAAGAAGCCGGCUGAGUGCCCGCCACUGUAAGAGGAAACGAAGAGAAACAGCUCCAGUCAGCCCCAGAAGCGAGGCCUGGAAAAACUCUGCAGCUGGAGCUAACACAAAGGACUUUUCAGACCCUGCAGCCAAGGUGCCCAGUGAGCUUUUUUUUUUUUUUUUUUUUUUUUUUUUAAAAAACAGCUAUUAGGGUGACAAGCCUUUCCAAAGGCCAGCAGUUGGCGAGAGUUUCCAGGAAGCUGGUCUGGCACUGGGCUGGGAUUGGAGCAACUUUAACGAGUUAAGUUCAGAAGGAAGGAGUCAUCAGGAAAGGUUUAAGGUUCAACAAACUUUUCAAAUUAUUUUGCAAAAAGUUCUGGCUUUCCAAUUCAAAGGCAUGUUUCGCUGUGACUGUUUUAAGCCAGAGCCUAUUUAAAAGGCAACACAACUAGCAUGCUUCAGAUUCACUCACUCGAGGUAUUUGUCUAAAUCCUCCGAAUGGGCUUUGCAAGUGCCAUCUAGUGCCUAGUAACACUGGGGCCAUCUUACACAUCUCGACAGGCAGCCCUCCUCCCCACGUGCCUCCCCCCAGCCUCUGUGGUCGUGUGCGCGCGGGCGCGCACACACACACGCACGCAUGCACCUUCCCUAAGCAGGAAGCUGCUCUUUGCCAAGAGCGAAUGGAAUUCAGAUUUCCAGAGGGUGUCCUUGGCCUCCAGCUCUACGGCUGCAUGAUGAAGAAAGGUCCUAGUGUGUGUGCCGGGGGCUGGGAGAGAGGGGCCUCCAGCUCUGCUCACAUCUAUCUGGGCCCCAAGAAAAACCCACAACUGGCUGUGCUCUCCCCAGCCACACCCAGCCUUGGUCACAUUCCUUCCCUUCCUGAGCCCACACUGGGUGGCCCCGGCAAACCAGCUUCCACACCUCCCUCCCCACCGGCAGGGAGACCUAGCCCAAGCCCCCAUGGGGCAGCCAGCAAGUACAAAUGAGGGGCUGCACCCCAGGCCCAAAGAGCCAGAAAGCACGGAGGGCCCUCCCCCCACCCCACCCCCAAUGCUGGGCAUCCCCUUGUGGCUGCUGUCACUCAUGGGGAAAGAGACACACUCCCUUGUCUAGCACCCGGUGAGCUGAGCUCCCAUCCCUUCCUGUGCCUGCUUUCAGGAAGUCCCUCUUCAUAUCCAACCUUGACUCUCCUGGCUGUGGUGCUUGUGGGCCUGGGAUUGAAGGGCCAUCACUGCCCUUUGCACCAGAGCUUCCCAACAUACCAGCAAGAAGGGACUGUACCCCUUCCCCUGUCCAGUCUGGGCCUUCCAAGCCCUGAGAUUCAGCAACCUCAGGAAUUAAACAUUUAUAGGAAAACACCUAUGCAGACAAGGGACAUGAGUCAGGGUGGUCAUCAGCAGUAGCAAGGUGGGUAGGCUGGUCACGUUUAGCUUCUCUUUAGCCCAAGUAAUAGGGUCUUCCACCUGCAUGGCCAGGGAGGGGAUAGGCUGAGAGCAAUCUUUCUACAGGCUGUCAGCAUCAACAAGUGGUUGUGAUGAGCAGGAGUCUGUAUGGCUUUUCAGGUGUUCCGGCUCAAGGAGGCCCAACACCAAGUUGGAACCUCCAGGCCUGGUGCCUAGGCAGAAGGUGGGCUAAACAAAGGCCAAGGGGAGCUCUGCUCUGUCACUUCCCUUUGUUUGCUAAUGAGACUGUUUCCAAAAGCUGGCCUGGUAGCCUGUGGGAUUGUUUCUCUCAAGAUUUCUUCUAGGGGAGAAGGUGGCUGAGGCUUUGCAGUCUGCAUCACCCAGUCCCCAGAAUCUACAGGGGACUCAGCUUGCCUAGUCACAGUUCGGCUUUUGGCCUUGGCUCCAGGGCCCAUUCUGAUCCUCGUGCUUGGGUCAGGGAUGGUCAGCACCCCUGCCCUGAUGCUGCCUGCUGGGGUCUCCUGCUGAGUACCGUGAAGGCCUACUGUGGCCUGAGAAGCCAACUUCACUGUCCCUUUUGGCCAGCCCUAGACCCUAUAUUUGUUCAAGUAACACAUUGAUUCACUGGCUUCUCCUUUAGGCAAGGCCUGCAGGGGACUCAGCUGGGGUUCAUGAUUCCUUGCCACCUGUGGUGGGCCUGCAUGGCCAGCCCAAGGCCUCAAGUGCCACAUACUGCUCCCCUGACAGUCAGGUGGCUAGGGUAUGACACUCAAGAAAAUGCCCAGGCAGAACCCAGAGUUGGGGUCACUUGGUCCAGCCCUUCUGAAGGGGACUGGUUGGAUCUGUUGCGGGGAGGAGACAGGCCAUGCUGGACCAGCAAAAAAGCAUAGAACUUGGAGUCUGGAACCUGACAUCUGGCCUUGGCUCUGCCAUCAGCUGGCUGUGUCCACUGGGCAAGGUCCUAUCAUAUCUGGUCUCAGUGCUUCCAUUUACCCAGAGUCCUUCCAUCACCUGACACCUACAGGGAUGCUUUCCCAAUCAAAAUUCAGGCCAUGUGGUUUGAUAAGGCCACCUUCCAAUGUGGAAGACAGGCUGGUAAUGGAGAGGCCUGGGAGCACAGAGCUCCUAGGCACUGCCAUGGAAUGUGGGGACCUUAGGGAAGGAUAUCUCAAUUGAAGCUCUUCAGAGCCCCUGGGGUGGACUGUUCUGUACUCUCAUCCCCUAACCCAUACCAGCCUGAGCUCAAUCAUAUCAGCCUGUGAAGGCUGCCCCACCACACUGCUUCUGCACCCACCACACCAGGCCCCCUUGAGCUCCCACCUGGAGCCCACACACCCAGCUGGUGGGGUUCGUGGGGCAGUUCAAAAAGAAAAGCAGAAAAAAGCAUUUGAGUAUUUUGGACUGGAAGGAAUUCAAUUUAACUUAACAAAUCAGGACAUGAACCUAAAGAAAACACUGAAAAACAAGCCCAACUUUGAAAGGCCCAAAGAGGGAGGAUUAGGUGGGAGAAGAAAGGUCCCCUGUGGGCAGAAGACAGCUGCUCAGUCCAGACCAGGGACCAGGGGAGGAUACUGGGCUUGAGUGCAGACCGGGCCAGGGUAGGGAGACAAGCCCAACAUACACUCGAGGACUUGAAGUCAGGGGUGCUAGCUGACUUUUUAGCCCACUCUUUCUACCCCAGAUACAGAGACUAGCUGCCUGAGGAAGCAUAGCGGGGCCCACAGGCUGGCUGCCUGGUGCUGCCCACCUCCUCUCCAGGGCUUGGCUCCCUGGGGCAGAAGGCUCAGACCUAUAACCACAGUGGGGUUGCAGGGAUUUAUUUGGGGGAAGAACCCUGACUGGGUCAGAAUGAUUAUGUGCAUGCAUGUAUGUGUAUGUAGCUCCUUGUUCUCUGAAAAGCCUUGCCUACCACCCUACUUCCCAAGUACCCUCUAUUGCCUUGCAAAGUCACCCCUGCUCUCUGCCUCAGUUUCCCCAGCAGGGCACCACAGGACACUGCUGUGGCAAGGUUUAUACUUAGGGUGCAGUGCAGUCUGAUCUUGUAUAAAUGCUCAGUGCCAAAGACUUAGGAGAUAAGUCAGGCAGAGUCAAAAUUAACCUUUGAAAAAUCCCUUGAAUUGGCCCUAAAAAUAAUCCCUUUCUCAGAUCUUUGUGUAUAUCCCCUGCUGGGUUGCUCUUCUGCCUGCUAAAGUGGGAGAAUCUCUGGGUGCACAUCCAGAGUACCCUGGGAGAGGCAUGCCAGGUGUUCCUGUACCUUUUUCAGGAUAUUCCCAGUGUCAUCUUCAGAGGGAGCCUCUGAGGCUGCAGCCACACAUGGGAAAAGAUUACUUAUGGAGAAGAUCAGAGGCUAAGGGGCUGGGGAUGGUGGGGACAUCGGAUUUUGAGGUCAGACCUGGACUCCUGUCUACCUCUGUCUCUCUACCUUUUAUUUUUCUUUCCUUUUCUCCUAACAAGGCCCUAUUUCUAAGAUGGCACCUCAGGCCUCCCAUGGGACCAACCAGGCCUGACAGACUAACUGCUCAGACUAACUGCCAGACUUCCUCCUGCUAGCCAGUCACUACCAAGGAUGUGUGCCUCAGAUACAGCCCCUGCCCAGGACACCUACGUUGUCCCUAACAGGGCCCACAUAUCUAAAGCAUGAAUGCCUAGCCAGGGGCUCUGGGGCACCAUAAGAAGGCAUGAAGCUGGGCCUGCCAAUUUGCAUCCUGGGAGGGCAGGUCAGCCUUGUCCAGGCAAUCCAGGAGGCUUCCCAGUGGCCCACUGGCCAGUGAGGACCUUUGACCUCCUUGGCUGGUGGCACCAGGUUUAUGAUGCACAUAGAGGCUGAACUUGAAGAAUUCUUAUUGCAGAGGGCAGCCACAAGAGCCACUGGCCAGUGCCCAGAUAAUAUCUGCAGACUGUUCCCUCCUGCUCCAUGGGCCACAGAAUCCCUUUGUCUUGUUACUGCUACACUGCCUUCCUACCAAUCUUCAGGGUUCAUCCUGGCCUCUGCCAUGCAUAUCCAGGCUCCCCCAGAGAUUGUGUGUCUGGGAAUGAGCCCUGGCUUCUGCUCCUAUCUCCCAGUGAUACUGGCAAGUCCCUAUCCUUCUUGAGGCUUCAAUUUCCCCUUCUGUGAGCUGGGAGGACAGGCCCACUAGAUGCUCUCUGAGGGACCUACCAAGGAUGUGGGCUGUGUGUCUCAGCCAACAGCAGUAUCUCCUAACCCCAACACAAGAAAUACACAUAGUAGGUGUCUGGUUAAUGCUCUUGGAAUUUCAGCCUAUACUAACCAUCUGAAAGCCACUGAGUCUGAACUCUGCUACCAUAUUUGAGAUUAUCUCUCCAUUGGGCACCUAUGGGUUGCCUAGAGACAAGCUACCAUGGUCCUCUUCCCUCGCCCGUCAUGUGCAGGGUCAAAGGCAGGUGAGCUACACAGCUCGCCCUGCUCUUCACUCUGCUUUAAUGUGGGUGCUUGCCUUGGCAGAUGGGCCCGACAGUGAUAAGAACAAAUGACAGAUGCAUACUGGGGCACCUGUGACUGCCAUGAGACACAGUCCACUGAUUCUGCCUCCAACCCCCUCCCCAGAGCAGAAUAGUGAGUGCUAGGUUUCCGCCUGUACCUCCACGGGACCCCAACAGCUCCUGAACCCCAUUCCGAGAUUUGAGGUUGUGACUUGGGGACCUCUAGACUUCCCUUCCCUCCACCUGACUCCAGACUGUCCUGGAGCUUGGGACUCUCAGGCCUCUAGGCACAUCUUAUUAAGGACAGCAGCUGACAGCCAUAUGUUGUGACCCCAUUUGUAUCCCAUGGUAACUCAUGACCUGGCAGUCUCAAAAGCUCUCAGGCCAAAUAAGGAAUGUCCCCACAGGAUCUCCCAUCACAAAGAGACAUUCUAUGCUGGCUAAUAUUUUCAGGCAUUUCCCCGAGUCAGGUAUGUGGCUGGAUGCCUAACACCAUCUCCUCAAGGCCUUACACUAAUACUGUGAGAUAUACUCCCAAUGUAUACAAGAGGAAACUGAGGCUGAUAGAGAUUAGGUGACUGCCCCAGUGUCCUGUGGGCAGGAUGAAAUGACCCAAGCUGGCCAGGGCUCCCUGACAGACCUUGUCCCUGGAUUCAGCGAACAUACAUCAAACCAUUAGCUGACAAGGAAUGAAUCUGACAAGCUGUUCAUGACCACCACACUGAAAACUACAGGGCAAGGUAAAAGAUAUGAAAGUCAACCUAAAUAAACAAGGGACACAUGAUGCCAUGUUUCAGGAGCCCCAAAACUAUAAGGAUACCCAUUCUCCCAUGCCCAUCUAGAGGCUGCUGCGCCUAGAGGAGGCUUUCCAUGGCAACUGGCAUAUGUAUGGUGAGGAGAAACCCUGCAAAGACAGCAAAGCCAGUGAUGGGGAAGGAGAAGCAGCCAGAGCCAGCAGGACCAGCUGUCAAAACCUGUUAGCAAACUACAGUGAGAAGGAAGCAAGGUCCUGGCCACAAAGAACAACUUGAAUCUGACCAGUGGCACCCAAUAGGGUCCAGAAACAGAGCCACACGUAGCCAGUGAGCUGAUUGUAAAGACACUGAUACGGCAGGGUAGUUGGGAGAGGACGGGCCUUCCCAUGCCGGGUGCUGAGCUAGACUGGAUAUCCAAGUAGGGGAAGAGUGGACCUUGACCUCGGCCUCACAUUGGACACAAAAAUCAAUCCCAGAUGGAGUGCAGAUCUACAUGGGAAAGGUGAGCUAAUAAAGCUUUAGAAUAAACCAGAAUAUCUUUAUGACCUUGGAGUAGUCAAAGUUUCUUAAAUAGGACACAAACAGCCCUAUCCAGAGAGGAAAUGUUUGAUUAACUGGACCACAUGAAAAUUAAGACCUUCUGUUCAUCAAAAGACACCAUCAAGAGAGGAAGAAGGCAGCCUGCAGAGGGGGAGGCGAUAUUUGCAAUGUGUGUGUCUGUGAGAGAGUGUGAGUGUGUGUAUCUCUCUCUCUGACAAAUGACUCCAGAAUAUCUAAAGAUAUAUAGGACCAUAAAUAAACAUAAAACAGGCAGAAGAUGUAGGCAAUUUAUACAGAAUGAUGUAUCUGACUAAAUGAUAACAUGGAAAGGGACUCAACUUCAUUAGUCAACAGGUUACUGCAAAUUAAAAUCACCAUUUGAUGCUGCUAGACAUUCACCAUCAUGGCUGAAAAGGAAACGACGGAAAAUGCCAAGUGUUAGGAUGUGGAGCAGCCAGAAUGCUGCCUGUGGGAAUGAAAAUUGGAAUGACUCCUUUGGUAGACUGCUGGGUAGUAUUCACUAAGAGUAAACAUAUGCCCACCCAGGACCCUGCAGCUCCACACAUAGGCAUAUAUUCCCCAGAAACGCAACCUGAUGCUCACCAAAAGCAUGUACAGAAUAUUCUUAAACAGCAACCUACACCAGAAACUGCCUGCUGGCCACAGGUGGUAGAAUGGAUGAAUGAUGUAGGCCAUGCACACAAUGGAGCACCAGUCAGCAAGGAGCAUGAGGGAGCACUCUCCCUUCAGCCCCAUAGAGAGGCUGCCAGACAUCAAAUUGAGUGAGGGACAUUGGACACAAAGGUGUAUGAGUUGCAUCAUUCCCACCGCAUAAAGUUCAAAUGUGGGCAAAGCUGGUCCUUGCUGCUAGCAGUUAGGCCUGUGGUUAAUCUCAAGGUCAGUGACAGGAAAUGGGAGCCUGAGAGGCUUUCUGGGGGUUCUGUUGCUUCCUCCGGGUGCUGCACACAUGGGUCCCAGGGACUGAAGAUGCCUCAAGCUGCGCACUUGAGACCUGUGUACUAAUCUGUGUGCAUGCACAUUACCCUUUAACUAAAAGUUUAACACCACCACCCUAUACCAGGGUAGCCCAGGUGAGCCUAAUUAGGUGGAUAGCCCUGGCCUUCAGGGCCGCUAGGCCCAGCCCCAUCCCACUCCCUCACUUAAGGGGACACGGCUUCCAGACUUCCUGACUAGGUCACCUCCGUGCUUCAGCCUCCAGAGGCUCUGCAGUUCAAUCUCCCCUUUCAGGUAUCAGCAGAGCACACAAGAGAUCUAUAUGGGAUGUGCCCCCCGCCCAACCCCGCCCCGACCCCCUGCCCCAACUGCCAGAAGUGUCUCCAUGACAAUAUCAGUGCAGUUGUGAAGUCCUUUGCCCUCCAGCCACCUCUGUGGCGUGAAUGUUCUCUCUGUCACAUCCUCCAACACCAUCUGCUUGGCUGAGGACCUGAGCAGCAUCAUGGCUGGGAGUUCACAAGUGGAGAGGGCUGAGCCUGGCCAGAGUGCACUGGGGCAGGGUGAUUUGGAUGGCCUUUCCCUUGCAGAGGAAAUGAGAAGCCUCACUGCUUUCUUCUGGGCCAUCCACCUAGACAGUGCGGCCCUCUCCCCAUAGCAGCAGCCCUAGGCCAGCCGCUUCUUCCUCACGUGCUCAGACGGAGGAAGUGAAGUUUGGAAAGGUUAGGGGGCCACGGGGGGCCGCCACAGCUGGGCUGAUGGCAGGCUGGAAGCCAGAUUGAGGGCAUCUGAUUCCCAAUCCCAUCUCUUUCCCACUGAGCCAUUACGCCUCGGUUUUAAUUUAAUUAGAAGAACAUUUAAUCCCCCCGUGCAUUUCAGAGACGGGUUUGAGCCUGGCUGGGGCUAUGUGGGGCUCUGACGGGGAUCCUAUGACUCAUGCAGCCCUGUACAGCCCUCCCGGGCGGGCCCCCAGAGGGCUUCCUUGGCAUCUCGUGCAGACAGAGGUGGUCUGGAGCUUUGCAGAAGACAGGACACUGGUCUAGAAAGACAAAAUGGUCUCAUCUGUUCUUGACAAGCCCCUCACUCAUCCUUCUGGACACUGGUUCCCAGAAUGUCCUUUCUGUCCUUUCCCACCAAAGUUUACAGGGAGAGAAAUAUGGUGAGGAGCUUAGACACUCACAGAGCUGCAGUGCCUGGUACCCUGGGGUCUGUGGGAGUAGGUCACAGUGGACCUGGAUGUCUCCAAAAUGUCCCAGGCCAAGCUGGUCCCAUCAAAAGAGCUAGCCCCUUGGUCCAUGAAGCCAAAUUUGGGGCCACCCUUGUGACGUUUGCCCUUAUUUCCAGACAGCACAGACUGGCCCUGUCCUUGCUGACAAAUGCAGAAUUCAGGAGACAUUAGUAGUGAUGUGGAUGAAAGCCAGGCCACAGCGGCCUUGCUGGAAAAGAGCAACUCGAAUGUCUUGGCGUGAGAUUCUGCAGGGUCCAGGAGAAAGUUGAAGACAUGGAAAUUCUAAUUAACGCACACGGGGCUGUUUUUGCUCAAGGAUUUGCGAAGCUGUCAUGUCACAAGAGGCCAGGCAAGCACAUGCUUGCCAGGGAGGUGCUCACAGUCACCUGGUGGGGGUCUCUGCAGCUUUCCCUCUGCCUUCUUUCCACCCCCUCUGCCCAGCCUCGGGGGUCCUGGUCCUCCCCCAUGCCCAUCUCAAUGGGCCGGGUGCUCCCUGAGUGUCCCUCUGGAGAGUGGGACUGAGGGCGGUAUCUGUUAACCUCGAGCUGGGGCUUGCCCAUCUAAGAUGCCAAAACAGAAGAGACAGGGGCCCUUCAGAGAAACCACAUGACUGGGCUGGGCAGAGCCAUAGGCUGCAGGGCUUAUGGGCCUGUCCUCUUGGGCCGUCUAUCUCAGGUAUCCAUGUGCAACCAAUGGGGCAGACGUGUGAAUUCCAGGCCAGUCCUGGCUGGCUUGGCAGUUGGGGAUGCAGUGUGAGGGAGGAUUUCACAAAAAUGAUUUCAGCCUCCCAGGGUUGCUUGGAGAAGCUCACCCAGGCCACACCUGCACACAGCCCCCAAGUUCAGAGCCGCAGAUCCUCAGGCCCCUAGCCCUGUGCCUCAGCACUGGCACAAUGUGUCUGCAGUCCUUGCUUCAUCUUAGGCAGGGUUGAGUGAGCAGCAAUCCUAGGGCUUCUCCAUGCCUGGGGCUUUGGGGGUUCUGGGGAGGAAGAGACCAAGAGGGCUAUACAUGCCCUUCUCCCUCCUGGCACCAUUCGAAAGGCUUAGGGAACUGGUACUGAGGGCUUUGAGAGCCAAAGGAGGACACAGCCGUACAGCCUAAGUGUGUCCUGGGGGGUUUACUGAGCAGACGUUGGAAAGAUGAAUGGAAAUCUGGUGGCUGCAGAUGGGUGACAAGGGCAUUCUAGAUGGCAGGUUACCACACGCAAGGCACAGGGAUGCACACAGGCAUGGCACCGUCCCCACCCACUGUCGUGCCAGUGACCCUUGGUGAGCAGAGGAUAGUGAGUGGGUCAGAAUCCCAGGAACUCAUCCUGGCUCUUGGGGUACAGGGCUCCUCUUGUCAUGGGGGUGCUCCCCAACUGCCCAUGCAGGCCUACAGUCUCUACUUCCCACCUUUCUCUCAGAAGCCCUGUCAUAUGGUUCUGGGUGGGAGACACAGGCUCAGGGAGUUUGAGGCUGGCAGGGACUCUCUUGUGCCCCAUUCAACCUAGGAAGACAGCUUCUGCCUGAAAGGUGUGUUCGAGGCUGAGUCCUGGCCGCCCAGAGCUGGUUGAGGGUCCUGAGGCUGAGCAGUAGGGCCCACCUAUAGGCUGGGGUGCAGCGACGCCACUCUUUAUCUCCUGGGUACCCCGUGCCUCAGCUUGUCAUGACUCCCUAGCUUGCAUCAGGCCUGCUCACCCCCCACCCCACCUCUGGCUAACAGGCCCCGGAAAGAGGAGCUUCGCCCAGCCCCAGGGACCUUCCCGUAAUCAAGGCUAUAGUGACCUCACCUCUCUGGGGCCCUGCGGGCGGGGAGAGCUCGAGAUGGAAACAAAAUGUGUCUUUAUUUAUGUUUUUAAUUUGAAUUCUGGAACUGGCCCAGCAUGGUAAUACAUUUAACAUCAGUAGAAUGCUGAAGAAAAAUGGAAAUGUUUUUUGGUAACUGCCUCCCACCCACUCUGCCCCCUGUGAGACCCCAGCACACAUCCCUGUCCCUCACACACACCAGGGCGUGUGCCUCUCUUCCCAGUUCAGGGUCCAUGGGGCCAGGCUGCCCACAGGAGCUUCGCUGCAUCCCUGAGCAGCUGGAGCCGAAUUUAAUUAUGGGCAUCACUGGGCGGGCUGUGCAGGAGGUGGAGGAAUGCAGCCCCAAUGCGGGCAGAAGACCUGCACGGCCCCCACACCCCUGCCGCCAGGCGGUUUGGGCCCUGAGGAAACAGGGUGCCCACUGCUGCCAGCCUUCUCCCCCAGAUGGAGUGGGGCCUCUACCCAGCCUGUAUCCCAGAGGAGCCUGGGUUCCUAGGCCCUGACACUGUACGUGCCCACUCUCCCCUUCAGGCCUCUCUGGAGGGACCGUACCCUGACUUCUGAGGAUGCAGGAACCCAGCUCCCCUGAAGCCUCAGCCCUGAGUCUUCCCUGACCAGAACACAAUGCCUCAAGGUGGCCCCUUUGCAGCAACCUCCUUGUUUUUCCCUCUCCCAGUCCCCUCUUCAGAUCCCUCACCCCAAGCCCCAUGCCUGGGCUCCUUCCUGCCUUCCCAGGCUGGCUCAUAUCUAGCAGCCACUUUUGGAACAGCCUGCUCUGAGAGAGGCCUUGGUAAGUUACAGGGCAGGGACCUGGUUGGGUAAUGACUGGAGUCUCUGACCUGCCUGGGCCCACUUAUCACUGGAGGCCAUGGGAGUGCCAACCUGAAAAGGCUGCAGGAUCUUGCAGAAUGGUAAUGUGCCAGACCCAAAGUGGGCAGAGAGCUUGGGGAUGGAUGUUCAGGUCUCUCAGGCCCUGUCAUCCUGGAGUGGAACAAGAAACAGCCCAGUGUCCUAGAUGACACAGCCACACUGGCUUGGGGUCACCCUUGGGCAGGUGGGUAACCUCUGGCUCCAGGGAGCUUGGCAUGUGCUGAUACCAGCACUGGCAGCCCUCACCCCCAUAGUGGUGAUUUACUGGGCAGCUGCAAGUUUGGCUGUGAUCCACAUAAGUGCCUGGUCUCUCACCACCUUCACCUGCAGGGGCCUUGCAAGACCCAAGAGUUGGUAAGGCCUGGCUGCCCAGCUAGAUGGACUGUGGGUGAUGGCCCUCUCCUCCCAGUAGGACUUUUUGCAUGUCUGGAUGCUGGUCCGUGACCAAGAGAACCAAGGUGAGCGAGAGCUCCAACAGGAGAAGCAAGCAGCCAGAAGGAUGAGAAGGGACAGUCCCCUCUCUGAGGGGACAGCCAAGAGGCAAUACAGGCACUGCCACCUGUAUUGCACACAACAUGAGCCACUAAACUAACACUGAUCACUUUGGAGGUCCAUCAUAUCCAGGACUUGGUACAGGCCUUGGCCACAGUGUAAGCCAUCAUUCUGCCUUCUGGUGCUGACCUGUACCUGGGCAGCCCAUCUGGCUACCAGCCUGCUCACACCUCUGCUCCUGCCUUUUUACCCAGCCAGGAGGGGCCCAGAAGCUCAGAGCCCUAUUCUCAGGGUGUCCAUGACUAGUCACCCCUGCUUUCCAGUGAUCUGCUGGCUCCCUUGGAGCCUCUUCACACCCUACCCACCAUGAGGUACUGCCAACCUCUCUGUGAACUGGGGGGGCCUGGAAAGACAGUGGGCAGGUCCUGUCUGAUCAUAAUUACCCCUUAAGAUAGCCACUCCUUCCCUGGAGGUGGCCUCAUUCUGGCUACCCAACCCUGCCAGUUCUCUGGUUACACCUGCAGCCCCCAGCACCAUGGGUCCCGAUUUCCUCAGUGAUUUGCAAGGCCAGGCCUUGCACCUGGCUGGCUGCAAAGGCAGGAGGCCCAGGGCCUCACUACGACAAAGACACACAUGGCUCAGGACAACCUCCUGACCCCCAGAGAGUCCAAAGAACAAAACACCCUUUAGAAAAAUGUUGGUAGAGAGAAGGAGAGUUUCCACAAGUGACCCUCAGAAGGGCCGCGAGUGUCACUCACAGAUCUUGACACAAAGACAUUUAUCAAGGGGAAUCCCCAACGGGUUAGCAGCCAGAAUGGGACUGUGGCCAGAAUGGACUUGGGUGCCCCACUGACCCCGCUGCACGGCUGUCACCGCUGGGCACCCCAGCGGGGAGUCACAUGUCGCAGGGGAAUCACACCGUGGCCGGGCACCGGGGAUUGGCCUGGCCAUGCCGUGACGGCGGGGGAGGACGGGCAUGCAUCCCAGGCCAGCUGUGCCUCAGGGGAAGGCCAACUGGAAGGCGUGGAAAAUCAGCCAUUUCCUCCACCUGAAGGAGCCCCUGAGGACAGCAGCAGCAACUGGCAGACUGCACCCGGCAUCUGCCCCAUGGCUUUGGCCAGGGUUCCAUGGGGAAAUGCUAAAAAACAAAGUCGUCUCUUUUUUGGGGGGCAGGGGAGGGGGCUGGGGGAGAGAAAAACAAUCUCAGACUCUCAAAGCAUGAAAACAAGUGGAAAAUGAUCAGUCUGGUUUUCCAUAAGUCAAAACAAGAGGAUCAUGUUCCCAGGCUCAGUGGGAAGUGCCCUUGCUCUCCUCUCUUGCCUGGUGCCUCCGUGUUGGGGCCAGGCAGACGGCAAGUGGUGGGCACUAGGCGAGUAGAUAGCACUCUGGCCAGAGAGCAAGGCUUCCCCAGCACCAAGUCUGACUCCUUGAGCUCCAGUCCCCUCCAGCCCAGCCCUUCACGCACAUGUAGGCACUCACUGUGAGAUGUGGGUGAUGGGUGUCAGCAGAGUCUCCCCUUCCAGGUCCAGGUCCUCGGCGAAGCUGUUGGUUCUCAUGAAAUGGGGCAUGCUCACUUCCAGCAGUGUUGGGCUCUUCCUUACUGAGGAGAAAGUGUGGGGACAGCACGUUAGGCCUCCCACCCAACCUGCCAGUGCUGUGGAGCCAGGCCUGUGAGCUCCCAGGGCCAGGUGAGGAGUGGAGCUUGUGCCUGGAAGCUCCAGCCCUGACAAUCAGUUUUAUAGUUGGGUGUUGGGGUGGGUGGGUGUUUAAGAUGGCCCCAAAGUGCCUGACACCUCAGUGUCUGAGGAGAAUAAAGGCCAGUGAAUCAUCUUCGGAGUGGUAACUGUGCCUGGGGCUGUGCUCAGGUGUCCAAGACUCUCCCCACCUCAGGUUCUGGGCCUCUUCCCAUGUUCACAACUGACACUUGGGUCAAGAAUAAAACAGAGGUGACAGGCACAGGCCUGGUAAGGGACAACAGCUCCCACCACCAUACAUUGUCACACUCAUACAUUGACAGAGUAGUGGGUCAGGAAAGAUGGGGUGAUAGGACCUCUGACCCAUGAGGAAUGGCAAGCCUGGGAGGUGGGGGCAGCCACAGAACUCCUUCCUCAAAACACGAUGCUACAUCAACCAGUUGUACCCCCAAUGAGGCACAGGAGUCCCUCCAACAGCUGGCUUCACAUUAUGAUUCCUGGGCCCACCUCUGCAACUUUGACACAGGAGCUCAGGAUACUGAUCCUUAUCACUCCCCACUCUCUGUUGACACUAUCAGUAUUUGCUCUUGGCUUAUAUUUGUCUUCAUUUAAAUAUUUUAUUGCAAAAGGAUUAAGUACUCAUCUGUGAGAAGUGGAAUAAUUCAAAGAUUCACAAUGGCUUUCCUCCCCCAAGGUCAUCAGUGUUAACUGCCAACUAGAUCCCUAGCCCACCCUCUCUGCUCAUCCGAGCAGCAGAUGCCAGGUGGGAGUUGCUUUUAUGCACAUGGGAUGUCACUGUGACUCUGUUCCUGUCACUCUGUAACAUAAGCUCAUUUCAUUUUUCUCUAGGUAUAUAGGCAUGGAUUUAAUUAUUUUAGUCAUUACAUAAUAGUCCACAGUUUAGAUUGGCCACAGCUAACCAUUCUGUAUAUCAUGGACAUUCAGGCUCUUAUAGUUUUAAGCUGCUUAAUUAUUCAGACUAUGAUGCCAUAUUCAUCUUUAUUCUUAAAAGCUGACAUACUGGAGCAGGGUGAGAGGGUGUGUCCUUAGUAAUUUUAAUAAAUGUUGCUAGAUUGCUUUCCCAAGAAGUUGUAGCAAUUCAGGCUCCCCCAGCUUUCCCACAUCCAUGCCUGAAUGAAGUGUUGAAUGAAGCCCGAAUGAAGGUUGUCAGCACCUUUUGCAGGGACUAUCAAGCAUGGAUGAAAACUGAGGCAUUGCUGUUAUUUCCAUCUGUGUUGAAUACCUUUUAUGGGCUUGGCAUCUGUUUGGGUUUCCUCUUGCAGAAUUGCCUGUUCAUGUCCUUUGCUCACUUUUGCUUAUCACUUUGUAGGAAUUUUCUAUACAUUACAGACAUUAACUCCUUGUUAUAUGAGGCAUAGAUAGCUUCCCCAGUCUGUUUUUUCACCUGAAUUAUGUUGCUUUUAUCCUAGAAAAUGUUUUAUGUUUUUAAAGUGAUACAUCUUUUGCUUUAUAAAAAAGGAAGGUUUUCCCACAUCAGCGUAAUACAAUUCUCUCUUAAAUUUAUUCCUAAUUUCACUAUUUGAAUGUGUUGUAUGUAUACAUAUGUAUGUGUGUAAAAGUUUUAAUGCAUUUAGUAUCUAUGCCUGAUAGGACAGAUGAUCAACAAUUAGAAAAUGAAAAUUUAAAGGGUACUACAUACAAACUUACUGAAAAAAAAUCUAAAAUAAAACAUAAAACCAUAAAAUAUCUUGAAGAAAACAUAAGAGAAAAUCUCCAGGACCUUGGAUUUGGCAGUGAAUUCUGAAAUACGAAACCAAAAGUUUAACUCGUAAGAGAAAAAGAAUCAACAAAUUGGACUUUAUCAAAAUUAAAAGCUUUUGCUGUGCAACAGACACUGCUAAUGGAAUGAAAAGACAAAGCACAGACUUGGAAAGAAUAUUUGCAUAUCACCUAUCAGGUCAAGGACUUGCACUCAGAAUAUAUAAAGAAUGCUUACAACUUGACAAUAAAGUGAACAAUCCAAUUUUAAAAAUGGAUUAUAAAUAAGCACAUGAAAAGAUACAUAAUUAACAUAAAUAUGGAAAUGCAAAUUAGAAUCACAAUGAAAUUCCAUAAAUUAAAAAAAAAAUUCAAAACCUGACAAUACCAACCACUCUUGAGGAUGUGGAACAUGUAGAACUCUCAUAUGUUACUGGUGGGAAUGCAAAAUGGCACAGUGACUUUAGGAAAUAGUUUAGCAAUUUCUUAUUAAGUUAAACAUACACAUACCACAUGACCUAUCGGUUCCUUUCCCACCCAAGUGAAUUGAAUUUUUAUGUUCGCAAAAACCUGUACAUAAAUGUGUAUAGUAACUCUGCUCAUAAUUACCAAAUACUGGAAACAAUGAAGAUGUCCUUCAACAGGUGAAUGCAUAAACAAAAUGUAUAUAUUCAUGCAAUGGAAUACCACCCAGCAAUAAAAAGAAAUUAACUAAUGAUUUAUGCAACAACAUGGAUGAAUCUCAAAUGCAUUUUGCUAAGCAGUGAAAGAAGCCAGAUGCAAAAGAAUACAUAUUAUAGGAUCCCAUUUAUAGGACAUUCUAGAAAAACAAAACUACAGGGACAUAAAACAGAUCAAUAGCUGCCAGUGGUUAGGGGAGAAGUACUUGACUUCAAAAGACUCACCCCAGGGUAUUUUUAGGGGUAUGGAACUUCUGUGAAUGAUACUGGAUUGUGGACACAUGACUCCAGACAUCUGUCAAAACCCACAGAACUGAAUCUCAAAGAGUGGAUUUUACUGUAUGCAAAUUUAAAAAAUUAACCCGGAUGUUGGAGGACCCUACGAUGAAAAGCAGACUAUGAUGAGCGUGUUACAAACAAAUGACAUAGCAGUGAAAGGAAAGGAGGAGGAGGAGCUGGCAUAUGUUGCUUUCAAAAACACUGUUUUGACUGGACACUCUAUGGUUAAAGCAAAAGUCUGUCCUAAACACUCUAAUCUAGUAGGUAAAUUUGCUUCACAUAGGGUACUACGUGUACAAUAGGGUUACACAAAUAAGUAAAUGAACUGUAGGUAAUGGGAGCCAGGUUUCUAGCUGUCAGAGAAAAAGCUAUAAAUAAGUUGUGGGGGAGGGGGCAAGGAUGAACUCUGGUCAGAAAUGUCAGUAUGAACUCAUGGUUAGCUUUAUAUAGAUACAGAUAUGUAAAGAUGUAUGUGUACUCAGGUUACAUACAUACAUAUAUUUCCUAGCUCUGUCCACUGAGAGGAGACUGAAGCAAUGAUACCCUAGUAGCCACGAGCAUACCCCGUGCCUAGAUCCAGGUUUUCUAUUCAUUCUCCAGGGAGCCAGGGCUCUCUGGAUGAAUGGAUGAUUCUAGGGCUAGGGUAGGGAAAAUAAAAGAUGAGCCUGAAGUAUUGUCAAGUGCUAGAAAAGAAAUGCUUAAAAAUAAAUGAAAAGGAUGGCGGGGGGCACAUCAAAAGGACACAUGAACCCACCAGUGGCCACAGCUUGAACAAUUUGAGCAACAAAAUAAAUAAUAUUGGACUAUAACUCAAAAAAUAAAUACUCCCAAAUCCACACUGAUAAAAUUAAAUAAACAAUUGGAGGAGAGGGACAAAUCUUCCUUAUAAAGGAAUUCCAAAUAAAAAAUGUAGAAGGAAUGAGGAAAAUAGAAGUACAUCACGGUAAUAUUUGCUGCAGGAAAACGAUCCAUGAAUGAAUGCUGAAAUUAGUUAGUGAAACUCAGAAACUUCACAGUUUCUUCCUUGAAAUGUAUUUUAAUUGCUGUGGUAGUUUUAACAUAUUUGCAGAUUUUUUUUGAUACUCUCCUGCAGGAGGUAGAGUUGAACCCCUCCCUUCCCCACCUUGAGUGUGGGCUAUACUUAGUGACUCGCUUCUAAAGACUAAGCUAUGGAAAGGGAAAAACAGCUAUUCACUUACAGUGGAGGAGCCUGGCCGACACCACUUUAAACGAGUGGCUCAAGGUUAAUAUUACCAGUGAUAAACCAUGUUGAUGUCAUGUUCCACAAUGAGGAAAGCAUCUCACCUCACUGGCCUCCUUCCCCUAAACCUAUAACCCUGGUCUAGUCCUGAGAAAACACCAGACAAAUCCAAACUGAGGGACAAUGACACCUGACUGGUAUUCUUCAAAAGUGUCAAGUUAAUGAAGAACAAGACUGAGAAGCCCGUCACCGAUCAGAGAUGACAAUAAAUGUAAUGAUCGAUCCUAGAUGGGAUCUUGGAACAGAAAAAGGACAUUAGUAGUUAAACUGGGGAAAUCCAAAUAAAUUUAUAACUCUAGCUUAAUAGUGUACCAAUGUUAAUUUUUUAGUUUUGGUCAAUGUACCAUGGUUAUAUAAGAUGCUAACAUUAGGGGAAGCUGGUGAAAGGGAUGUGGGUACUCGGUACUAUUUUUGUUUCUCUUCUGUAAAUAAAAAAUGUGAGGUAACAAGAGAAAACAGAACCUGUAUACAAUAGCACAAAAGAAUAUUAAUUAUCUAACUAAGUAUAUGCAAGAACUCUGGAGAAAAUUGUAAAACUUUAGUAAGAGACAAUGAAGAAGAUAUAAAUGGAGAAAUAUGCCUUCAUUCCAAUGACUAGAAGACUCAAUACUGAAAAGAUUAUCUCAAAAUCUGAAUAAAUCUCUCCAAAUCUUAAUAAAAAUCUCAAGGCUUCUGUGUGAGAACUUUGGCAAGCUGAUUCUAACUGCGACUUGGAAGUGCAAAAAGCCAAGAAUUGGCAAUAUUCUUGAAGAAGAACAAGGUGGGAGAACUUGCUGUACCAAACAUCAGUACUUCUUCCAAGGCAGUGGUCAUUAGGGCAAUGUGGUAUUGACACAGGGAGAGACAAAUAGGCCAAUGGGACAGGAUUGAGCAUUGGGAAACAGCCCACACAAAUAUGGAAGCUUGCUGUGUAUCAGAGGUGGCCUGCACAUCCUGGGAAGAGCAUGGACUUUUCAAUCAAAUGUUCAGGAGCAGUUGGAUACCCACACUGGAAAAACAUUAAGUUGGACCCUUAAUUACCUCACAUCAUAUACCAAAAAUUCAUUCUUGUCAUUCUAGGGGAUUGAAGACCUAACUAUGAAAAGCAUAACUAUAAAGGUCACAUGACUGAAUAUAGAAGAAUAUCUUAAUGACAUCAGCAUUAGGAUGGUUUUUUUUAAAAGAAGCAAUAACCAUGAGAGAGAAGACUGAGUAAUUUGACAUUAGAGUUAAGACCCAAUCAUCAAAAUACACCUUAAAGAGUGAAAAGACAGUGCCCACAAAAUGCAAAGGACUCCUACAAAUCAAUAGGAAAAAUAUAAAUGACUUAAUAGAAAAUGGGCAAUAGACAAAGUAGCACAUCACAAAAGAGGAAUCCAAAAGGCUGAUGAGCAUGUGGAAAGGUGUUGCGCCUGACUAGCAAUCAGGGAAAUGUAAAUAAACUCAGGAGCUCAUGGCCCGUGGGGGCGAGUGGCAGACUUCCAGCAGGAAACCACACAGACAUUACUUAGUCACAGCCAGGAGAAGGGCUCAGAGUGAAAGGGCUCUGUGCCCAUGACAUCCUUAGAGAGACCAGGGAAGGACCUGUAAGGCUUGAAGAAUGUGCAGAUUUGGAGACCCACAGGUCUGGGACCUGGCAGAAGCAUGUUACUGCCCCCAUUUUAGAGAUUUGGGGCUGAGAUUCAAGUACCCUAGGUUAUAUAAUGCAGUUGUCAAGUGACAGAGCUAAAACUUCAUCCAGGAUUCAAUUUUUUUUAAAGGAAGGAAGAAAGAAAAAACAUAUUUUGAUGUUUGCAUCACUUGUAUGUAGAAGGAACGAUGGAGCACAGGCUAGAACGUAGAGUUGCUUUCCAAACACCCAUGAUGACAAGUGCCCAUCUCCAAAGCCUGAGGGCCAAGGGUGAGCCACCUGACCCCUGAGGAAGGUUCUGUCCUGGUGUUUUAGGAAAUUAAAAUGUGCACAUCAGUUGGCUGCCCAGAGUGGGUGGGACCUGCACCUGCCAGAGAGGAAUGUGUGCUUUUUGGUUUAAUCCUGGGAACGGCAUAUGGGGCCCCUAUAACAAGGGGCAGAGAAGGCCUCCACAGAUUUGUUUUUCCAAUUCAAGAGGAGAGGUUAUUGUCUGCUGGCUUGUGUGUUGGAGACUGUGGGGCGUGCUUUCUCCACCACAGGGAGGCAGUGACCAGAGCUGCCACCUCUUCCCUGUUUUCACCUGUGGUCGUAGCCAGGUCAGGCAUCUAGGAGAGCAUGGAGGGGAGCUGGGGGUGGGUGGGUGGGGAUUCAGCUCUUUCCAGACACACUGGUGCUGCCUCUUUCAGGCCAGGGCUUGAGGGCAAGUGCUGUGCCCUAACAGGUCUUGCUUGUCACCCCCACCUCUGAAGUGGGUAUUUCACAGCCUGAACUCACAGCUGCAGAGAAGGUUGAGCCCAUGGUGUACUUGAAAGGGCAGUUCAUCUGGAUAUCCAGGCUCUGCAGGAGGUACCGGAGCAAUGCCAGGUGCCCUUUGCUGAACUGCCUAGAGUGGCUGGCCCUGGGGACAAAGAGCACAGCAUCCUGGUGACAAUGAAGUCACACUUUCCUAAGACAGUCCUGGUUUUUGAUGCUUUAAUUCUUUGGCUGCCUUUGCUUUGUCAAGGCCAGGAUCUGGGCCUAAAUUUUCAGGGCAGAACAAAACAAUUUUGUUUUCUAGGAAAGUGGGAGGUCUGGGAUGGCAAAGGCAGCCUCGGGCGUGGCGACUACCCCAGCUGGGGACGCUGGCUGCCAAGUCUCACCCUCUCAAGAGAACAGGAAUCAAACUCAGCACAGCAUCCUCCUUUCUAGUCAGUGGUCCUGCUCGAUAGGGGGAUUUGAAUUUUAUUUUUUUAAAAAUACAGGCACAGAAAAAAGACUAGAAGGAAACAGAUCCAAAUGUUAACUUUGUCUUUGGGUGAUUUUCAUUUCCUUCCUUAUUGUGUCUGUGUUUUCUAUUUUGCAUGAUACUUUUCCAAGUCAAGAAACAAUAAUUUGUGGAAGUCUCCUGUAUCUGUGCCUUGCUCUCUGGCCCACGACCUUGCACAUCUUAUCCUAGAGUUGCCAGAAUAUGUCCCUCCACCUGGCCUGGAGCUGCCCAUGAGGCUACAUAGAGCUCUCCUAUCAUGAAAGUCUUUGAGGCUUUCUGUUCCCAAGAAAUUCUGGUCUCACUUCCUCUGCCUUCUCAUCGAGCCCCAGACCCCUCCCUGCCCAGAUUAGGUCAGCAUUCAAGCCCCAAGUCCAGCCUAUGACAAAGCUCAAAGCUCCAGCCCAUCUCUGCUGCCCUCUGCCCUCAAGAGACUCUCGCCAGUGUCUGGGCCCUUCCUAGUAACUUCACCCAACCACUCACCCCCUGCCCUUCCCCUCCUGAUUGAUUAAAAUCCGGCCUAAUCUCCCAGGUGUAACCCAAGCCCUCUUCCACAAGCUUUCCAGGGCUCCGGAGAUUGCCCCCUCCCCUGUACGGCUGCAGGGCUUAUGUGUGCCUGGCGCUCAGCACGGGAACCUUGCCUUCUGCCUCACCCAUGUCUCCCCAGGGUUUGGCACAGGCGAGUUCCCUGAGCCAGCCUACUUCACAAGGAUGAACAGAAGCUCUCCCUAUCCUUUGCAAGUAGAAGCCCCCUCCCUGGCCCCCUCAAGAAAUCUCCCCCUCUCAGUGGAUUCACCAAAGCCCUGCGGAUCCUGCACUGUGAAGGAGAAGCCCUCCCCAGGGGCAUCCGGACAGCUGCAGCCAGGCCCUGCGUGACAUUGCUGAGCCGCAGCCCCACAGCCUGUGCCAGCUGCCCAUGCCCGGCUCAUAGACCCUGAGCCAGAGUGGCCCCGCCACCACCUGUGUCUCCACUCAGAGGCGAGAAGUAAGGGACAUGGAUGGAAAGUGUAAAAGCCAUUCCCACAACAGCUGCCAGGAACAAGGCGAGGAAUGGAGUGAAAAUGUAUAUUCACAGCUGGCACCCAGUUCCGCUUAGGAAAAUACCUUGCUUGAGUGGACACCUGUUGUUUUUGCCUGCCAGCAGCCAGGCCUGGCUUCUGGGAACAGCUUCUCAAAUCUUCCUUAGGGGGCUCUUCCUUUCCCACUCCUAGUGUGCAGUGUUUAGGUACCCUCUGGCCAUCCCCAAAGGGGUCCCUGUGGACCUUGCCUCAGCCAUCGGAGGUACAGCUGCAGGUCCAAGGAUGGCUUGUACCCCAGCUGAGGCCAAUAAGAACCUGGCCUUAGAUUCUGGCAGGAAUCCUGGAAGAGAUGACCUCGUUCUGCUGGGCUUCCUGAGCUGUUGAAUGCAAGCUGGUGGCCAUUUUGCCCCUUUUAGAAAGUAGCUGCCUAAGGAUACAGCCAUCCCAUGGGGCCAAUGGAUAGAGAGCAAGGGAAAGGGAGAACAAAAGAGGGAACGGGAAGGGAGAAGGGGAGUGCAAGAGGGGAGAGUGAGAGCAAGUGAGCAAGAUCAUCUCAGCUCUGGGGUCCAGCUGUGUCUGAAACAGCUGGGUCCAGCUGUGUGAGCCAAAAAAUGUCCCUUUUGUGCUUAAGCUUGUUUGAGUUGGGGUUCCAUCAUUUGUUACCAAGAGAGUCUUCAGGAAUGUGCAUGACAAAGUUGGGGGUGAGGUGUGAGCCUACGGACAUGGGCCUGGGGGCAGUCAAGGUUACAAAAUAGCUAAACUGGUCUGCACUGCCCCCACUAGUUUUCAGGGCAGAGGGCAGGGAGAAGGCUUGUGGGAAAGAAGCUGGCCUGAGGCCAAGGCCCUGGCCCUAGCCCUGCAACAGCACAGGGAACUCUUGGAAAGGGAUUUCCUAAGGUGGGACAUUGGCUUUCUACUGCUGUGAUGCAAGUCCUCAUCUCCCCAAACCUUCAGUGAGCCUCUCUCCACACCCUGCUGUAUGAGGAUGUUUGAUGCAAAUUAUGGAACAUGUUGGAUCUCACAUUGGAUCAAAGGUGUGCAGAAUAGAUUUGCCUCAAGCAUGACAGUGAUGUGACACAGUCAAAGAUGACUUCCGGAAUCCUGAGAAGUCCCAGGGAGGAUGCUGGGCUUUCCAAAACCUAAGUUUAGGAUACUGAGGACCACACCCCACACCCCAAACACUUCUCCUUAGAAUAAGUAUAGCAAGCCUCAGCAUACACAAAUCUCAGAGUGAACGGAAAUGUCUCUGCAGGCCCAAGGGUGGGGUCUGAGUAGCGGGGGCGCUGAGGAAGACAGGCAGUGACAGAGCCAGGACAGGGUCAACCCUGAGCGUGAGUGAGCCCAGGAAACGGAAAGAGAGCAACACAGCCACCCACACAACUAAAAUCGACCCACCCGGGUCUCCAUGCUGCAGGAAGUCACUGUCUAGGUCUCCCAAGACACAUUUUCAGGGGAAGGUUCCAGGCAGCAAGAGCAGCCCUAGGAAACUUUAAUAUACAAUGGAAUCUGGGUUAAGCACUAUCUUCUCCAAGAGUUGAGCUCACAGGACAUUCCCCAGAAACCUCUGGAGAGGUGGGGAGGAAAGUUUCUGGAGGUCUUUGGAUGGAGAAAACAAAAAAGUGGCCUUGAUUUUCAAGACAAAAUUACACAGGAAGAAAAAAAUGUUUUUAAUCUAAUUAAGAGCGAUCUUUUCACCUUCAUCACAACAUCGCGGAAAUGUGCCAGUUCUUAACUUCACACAAUAAUCAAAGCAAUUAGUGAGGGAGAAGCCUUGGAAACCGGUGCAGAUGUUCUCAGAAUGUUUAAUGGGGAAAUGAGUUGCAGGCCUCAUUCUCAGCAUCCGGCUCCAGGCCCUGGCUACCAAAUCCAGACAUCUGCUGGGGCCCCACCCCCAGGCCCCGAGGGCGCGGGCUUGAGAAACACAGGUCCCUUCCCAGGCCACCUCCCAGCCAGGCCAGAACUGGGGCCGAGAGGCUCCCCAUAGCUUCUCAAAUUGGAGCCUGGACACAGUCAGAGCCACCCCAGAACUGGGGGGAGGCUCAACAUCAAAAUUAUGUUAACAACUGAUGUCAAAAGUAAUCAACUCAGCUUGGCUCCCCCACUGCUGCUGGCUGCAGGAGGGCUGUGAGUAGGAGGAGAGCAAGCGGCCCCAGAGGGACCCUCGGCUAUGACCCCCUCAGCCUGAACACUACUUCAAGAAAAGAUGUGGUGGCAUCUGUCUGGUAUGGUCCUGUGGGCUCCAUUCCAAUGCUAAUGGACUCUUAAGGGGCCCAGGAAUCAAAAUGGUCAACACUUGAGGAAUUUCCAGUAAUCAGAGAAAACGUAUAGAAAUGAGGAUGAUGCUUACUUAGGAAAUGGCCUAUUACAGGAAACAGAGGGCCACGUGGCUAAUGUCAGUGAGCUGUGGGAGAGACAGAGACCCCAGGUGGGGCAGGCAGAUCAGCAAAUCUUGGAGGACCUGCUAUGUGGCAGGCACUGGAGACAUGGAGGUAAAGAACACAAUAUCCAUGUUCUCAGGGACACACUCAUAUGCCCUUAGCAUUCACGUUCUUCACACUGACAGCUUCUUAAUGCAAGCCCACCAGAUACUUUCAUAAGCACUACCUCUGACUUCAGGCACUUGCUGAGCUGCACACAGGGCAGGCCAAAAGGAAUGGAAAGUGAGCCACCACCGGGGCAGCACUCACUAGUGAAAGAUAAAUACCCCAGCUCUCUCAGCCGCUUGUAGAACUCUGAGGAGUGUUCUGUGCAGCUUCCCAGCUGCCCACCAUGAAGCUCUUUCUCAAUAAGUGACCAGCACAGCUUAAUUCCUGAAUUAAGCUGUGUGUGCUGUGAGACUGACACAAGACAGGGUGACAGGAAGCUGUCGGAACAUUUGAGUAGGGAAGCAGCAAGAUCCACUGUACAUUUAAAGAACUCCCUUGAGCUGUUAUGUGAAGAAUGGAGUACAGGAAGCAAGAGUGGAAAUCAAGAGACCAGUAAUGAGGUAUGGACAACAAUGUAGGCAGAGAAAUGGUGGUGGUUUUAACCAGGGAGAUAGCUGGAGAGACUAGGUGUGGGCAAAUCCAGAGAGUUGAUAAGACAUACUGAUAGAUUAGAAAGGGGUACUAAGAAAAAAGGAUAAUUUAAAAAAGACUUUCAGCCAGGCUUGGAGAAAAAUAGCAUGCUGCUCCUCAUCCCCUCUGACUAUAAAUCAUCUCACUCAUCCUCCCCUAAAAGCAUAAAAUCAGUAAGUGCAAAUAAAACCACAUGACCCAUGCUGUUAGCAGUAUUAGGAGAAAGAAUACCUUCAAAUUGCCUGUGGGUAGCAAAGUGAGCCAAAUUCCAAUAGCAUUCUAGUCCCCUGCCCAGCACUGCAAAACUGCAUACAGAAUCAGAGAAGAGGCUUAAAAUGCUUUGUCAAAAAGUUUGAAGGUAGUUAGCAACAUCAGCAAAAAUAGAGGAGUAAGUACCUCUAAGGAGCCUUCUUGCCUUCACAGACAUCCUAAGCACCAAGCAGCCUAAGCCACUGAUGAACUUGCAGAUACCACUGAUGUGGAUUAUAGUCUAAUUAAUUGUAGAGACACCACACUUCUGCACUGAACCAGAACCAAAGCCAAAGCACCCUACCCAAAUGAUACUACAGACGCGUGUACAGGAAAAGUCCUUACUAAGGCUACUCCAUAAAAUUGGAAGUCUCUGUUAUUCCAGAUAUGCAGAUAUCAACUUGGGGACACAAAAAACUUGGGGGGAAAAAAACAAGAAAACAUGACUUGCCAAAAGAACACAAUAAUUCUCCAAUAAUAGACUCCAAAGUAAAGGAAAUCUUAAGGAAACCCAAUGAGAUACAAGAGAACACAAAUAGACAAUACAAACAUAUCAGGAAAACAAUUCAUUAUCUAAAUGGGAAAUCCAGCAGAGUUAGAUAUGAAAAAGAACCAAACAAAAAUCCUGGAGGUGAUAAAUUAAAUGAAUGAAAUAAAAAAUACAAUUGAAAGCUUCAAAAGCCGGCUAAGUCAAGCAGAAGAAAUAAUUUCUAAAUUUGAAGACAGGUGUUUUGCAAUAAACCAGACAGAUUUAAAAAAUAACAAUAAAAAAGAAUGAAGAAUGCCUGCGUGACAUAUGAGACACUAUUAAGCUAACAAUAUUUCACAUUUUGGGAGUUCCAGAAGAAGUGUUGGGAUAAGGACCAGAAAAUCUAUUUAAGAAGAUAAUACCUGAAAACUGCCAAAGUUUGGGAGAGAAAGAGACUAACAGAUAAAGGAAGCUCACAAAUCCCUAAAUAGAUUCAACCCUAAAAGGGCCUCUCUGAGGCACAUUUUCAUCAAACUGUCAAAAAUCAAAGAGAGAAUUUAAAAAACAAGAGAGAAGCAUGAAGUCACAUAUAAGGGAAUCAACAGCAGAUUAACAGAUUUUUCAGCAGAAACCUUCUAGGCCAGGAAAGAAUUGAAUGCCAUAUUAAAAGUGCUGCAAGGUGGGGAAAAGCUCACAAAAUUGCUAGCCACAAAUACUAUACCCAGCAAAGCUAUCCUUCAGAAAUGAAGCAGAAUGAGGGAAGAAAUUUUGCCUCCCUCAGACAAGCAAAAACUGAGGGAAUUCAUUACUACUAAAUCAGCCCCACAAGAAAUGCUUAAGGGAGUACUACAUCUGGAAGUAGGAGGAUGAUAUCUACCAUCAUGAAACUACAAAAGCAUAAAACACUAGUAGAGCAGAUACACAAAUGAGAAAGGAAAAGGAAUAAAAGAUUAUCACUACAGAAAACCAAAAAAUUGCAAAGAAAAACAAUGAGAGGAAACAAAAGUAUACAAAUCAGUCAGAAAACAAUAAAAUGACAGGAGUAAGUCCUCACCUAUUGAUAACAAUCUUGAAUGUAGGUAAUUUAAAUUUCCCAAAUGAAAGAUAGAUACUGGCUAAAUGAAUUAAAAAAAUAAAACCCAAUUACAUGCUGCCUAUAAGAAACUGACUUCACCUGUAAAGACACCCAUAGACUGUAAGGGAAUGGAUAGAAAAAGAUAUUCCACACAAACAGACACCAAAAGCAUGCAGGAGUAGACAGACAAAAAAUACUGAGUCAAAAAAAAAAAAAAAAAAAAAAAGAAAAAGAAAAAAGAGACAAAGGAGGUCAUUAUAUAAUUAUAAAUGGAUCAAUUCAGCAAGAAGAUAUAACAAUUAUAUAUGCAACCAACAACACUGGAGUACCCAGGUAUAUUAAACAAAUAUUAUUAGUGCUAAAGAGAUAGACCCCAAUACAAUAAUAGUUAGGGAUGGCAACAUUUCAUACUCAGCAUUGGACAAUUCAUUUGGAUGGAAAAAUAUCAACAAGGAAAUAUUAGAUUUGAACUGCUGCUUCGUUAGCACACAGCACAUUCUCCAGGAUAUACCAUAUGUUAGGACACAAAACGGGUCUCAAUAAAUUUUUAAAAGUCAAAAUCUUAUCAAGUAUCUUCUCAGACCACAAUGGAAUAAAACUGGAAAUCAAUAACAAGAGGAACUUCUGAAAUUGAACAGAUACACGGAAAUCAAACUACAUGUUCCUGAAUGACCACUGUGUCUAUGAAGAAAUUGAUUUUAAAAAUUUAAAAAUUCUUUGAAACAAAUGAAAAUAGAAACACAGCAUACAAAAAUGUAUAGGGUACAACAAAAGAAGUGCUAUGAGGGACAUUUAUUUCAAUAAACACCCACAUCAAUAAGGUAGAAAGUUUUUAAACAAAUAACCUAAUAAACGCAUCUCAAGGAACUAGAAAAGCAAGAACAAAUCAAACCUAAAAUUAGAAGGAAAUAAAUAGUAAAGAUCAGAGCAGAUCUAAAUGAAAUAGAGAUAAAAGGUAAAAAAGACAAAAGAUCAAUGAAAUGAGGCCUCCCCCCCACCCCCCGAGACACGGUCUCACUCUGUCACCCAGGCUAGAGCGCAGUGGUGUGAUCUUGGCUCACUGUAACCUCUGCUUCCUGGGCUCAAGCAAUCCUCCUGCCUCAGCUUCUGAGUAGAUGUGCAGCACCACACCUCGCUAAUUUUUUUUUUUUUUUUUGGUAGAGAUGGGGGUUUGCCAUGUUGCUCAGGCUGGUCUCAAACUCCUGGACUCAAGCGAUCGGCCUGCCUUGGCCUUCCAAAGUACUGGGUUUACAGGUGUGAGCCAACAAACCCAGCCAAAAAACUGAUUUUUUGAAAAGAGAAAAUCAAUAAACCAUUAGCUAGACUAACCAAGAAGACCCAAUAAAUAAAAUCAGAAAUGAAAAAGGAGACUUACAAUGGACACCACAGAAAUACAAAAGAUUAUUAGAGACCAUUAUGAACAACUAUAUGUCAACAAUUAGAAAACCUAGAGGAAAGAGAUAAAUUCCUGGACAUAUAUAACCUCCCAAGAUUGAACCAGGAAGAAAAAAAAUCUGAACAGAGCAAUAACAAGGAAUGAGAUUGUAUCAGUAAUAAAGUCUCCCAGUAAAGAAAACCUCAGGAUUGCACGGGUUUUCUACUGAAUUCUACCAAACCUUUAAAGAACUAACAUGAAUUCUUCUCAGACAAUUCCAAAAGACUGAAGAGAAAGGAAUUCUCCCUAACUCAUUCUGUGAGGCAAGCAGUAUCUUGAUACCAAAACCAGAUAAGGACACAAUAACAGCAAAAAAGAAAACUACAGGCCAAUCUCCCUGAUGAACAUAGAUGCAGAAUCCUCAGAAACAAAACACACACACAGACACACAAACUAGCAAUCUGAAUCCAAUCGCACAUCAAAAAGAUAAUACACCAUAAUCAAGUGGGAUUUAUCCCAGGGAUUCAAGGAUGGUUCAACAUAUACAAAUCAAUAAAUGUGAUACAUCACAUUAACAGAAGGAAGGACAAAAAAAUACAUGAUCAUCUCAAUAGAUGCAGAAAAAGCAUCUGAUAAAAUUCAAAAUCUCUUCAUGAUAAAAAAAAAAGCUCAUCACAUAAUGUCUAGAAGGAACAUAACUCAAUGAAGGUCAUAUAUGACAAACCCACAGCCACCUGGGGAAAAGCUAAACACCUUCUCUCUUAGAACUAGAACAAGACAAGGAUGCCCACUUUCACUAUUCUUAUUCAGCAGAGUAAGAAAAGUCCUCACCAGAACAAUUAGGCAAGUAAAAGAAAAAGGGUAUCCAAAUUGGAAAAGAGAAUGUCAUAUUGUCCUUUGCAGAUGGCAUAAUCUUAUACAUAGAAAAACCUAAAGAUUCCACCAAAAUCUUUUAGAACUGGUAAAGGAAUUCAAUAAAGUUGCAGGAUAAAAAAAUCAACAAACAAAAAUUAGUAGGUGUGGACAUGAUGGCUCAUGCUUGUAAUUUCAGCACUUUGAAAGGAUGAGGCGGGUGGAUUGCUUGAGCCCAGGAGUUUGAGACUGUCCUGGGCAACAUGGCAAAACCUCAUCAGUACAAAAAUGAGCUGGGCGUGGUGGCCUGCACCUGAAGUUCAGCUACUCAGGAGGCUGAGAUGGGAGGAUCACUUGAACCUCGGAGGUGAAGGUUGCAGUGAGCAGAAAUUGCACCAUUGCACCCCAGCCUGGGCAACAGAGUGAGACCCUGUCUGCACUCCCCUGCCUCCCCCAAAAAAUCAGUAGCAUUUCUGUGAAACAGCAAAUUAGCCAAAAGAGAAAUGAAGAAAGCAAUCCCAUUUGCAAUAGCUACAAAAAAAAGCAAAGCUUAACCAAGGAGGUGAAAGAUUUCCACAAUGAAAACUAUAAAAUACUGAUAACAGUAAUUGAAGAGGCUACAAAAUUUUUUGAGACAUCCCAUGCUCAUGGAUUGAAAGAAAAAUGUUAAAAUGAUCAUAUUUACCUAUAGCAAUAUACAGAUGCUAUGAAAUCCCUAUCCAGAUAUCAGCAGGGGCUUCAAGAUGGCUGACUAGAGGCAUCUGGCACUCACCUCCUCCACAAAAUAUAGCAAGUAGGUAACCACAGUUUAUAUAGAUCGCCUCUGAGAGAAUGCUGGAAUUCAACUGAGAAGUAAUAAGAAAAACCCAAUGCAAGGGAUAAGAGGGGAGUCAGGCAGUCUGCUUCUAUGGGACUGGCUGGGAUCAUGAAGAGACUCCUCGAUGUGCAGAAAGGUAAGUAAGUGAGCCCCUAGUGGUCCACAUUCCCACAGCAGACUCCUGAAAUCCUAGUCAGAGAACCCCCUGACCCAUAGAUGCCUUGAGACUAACAAGAGGCUACCUACAGACUGUGAAAUGGCAAUGAACAGCUCCCAGAGAGGGAGAUCACCCUGAAUCCUCAGGCAAUUCACACAUCCCCUGAAUCCUCAGGCAACUUCAGGAAAGUCCCAUUUUGAUAGCCCAACCCCCACCAGACUGCAUCUGCUGUGGGCCCCACAUCCCUCUAUCUCAUCCCUGGAGCCCCAUGGACAUCCCUUACACAAAGCUGGUUGCCACUCCUGACUGCUCCCUCCAGGCCAAAGCAUGAGCCAUUGGCAAUACUCUGCUACCUCCGAAGCAAGGCUGCCAUGAGGAAAGGUGACCCUGCCCAUAGUCACCACCUGGGGCCGAAGCAUGCAUUGCCCAACUGCCUGUUUAUAGCUGCUGCCACUGAAAGCAAUCCCACUCAACUUCCCCAGGAGUAGGGCUGCAAUAGAGUUGCUGCUGCCCCAACAUGAGCAUUCAGCAGGGUAUACAGGGAUCUUCCUGUGCCUGCCUACCACAGUCAGUACAUUCUUGCAUUACUGGAGGGCCUCAGGACAGGCCCACCUGGCCUGGUCCCACCCUCUUUUCUCCCAGUGCCAGCGCAUACCAUCUCUGGGCCUAGGGAUCACCCUGCCCUAUCCAGUAUUGUUGGCACCUGAGCACUCCUGGGGGCUUGAGGACUGCCCUACCCAACUGACCAUUACCACCACAACUGGCAUUCACUUGAAUUUGCCACCUGUGGGCCUUGGGACAAGCUCAUCCAGCUUAUCCCAGCCAUCCCAAUACCAGCAUGGACACCUUGGGAGGCAGAAGAUUGUUCUGCCACUGCUACUGCCAUUGCCCAAGCCAUAUCUGCUGCUCAGAGCUCAAGGACCUACCCACCCUGUGGCCCAGCUCUGUCAUCAUUGGCACCUGAGCAAGUUGCCUGGAGGCCCAAAAUUGGUUUCCCUGGACUUGCUAACACUGGUACCAGCAUACACUACCAUUGGGCCCAAGGAUAAGCAUUCGGGGCCAGCCACUGCUGCCACUGGGGCCUGAGGACUGGCCCAGCUGGUGUCCCUAUCCCCAGCCAGACUUUACCACAGCCUCCACCAACAACUGCAUCCUAAACUACAGAGGAACUCCCAGACACUACUGGUGCUGUUUACAGCUGAAAAAAAUUCCAUGGAGAUCACACUACUGCAGGCACCCAGAAUCAAAACCAAAGUGCCCUGCCCAAAGAACACCAUAGAUAUAUCUUCAGGAACAAGACUCUCUUAGGAAAGACAGAUCAAAAAAUUGGAAGAAACUACUGUUACACCAGAUGUGCAGAUACCAGUGUAAGCACACAAGAAACAUGAAAAGGCAAAACAUGACAACUCCUAAGGAAUGCAAUAAUUCUCCAACAGAUUCCAGUGAAAAAGAAAUUGAUGAAACCUUGAAAAAUUCAAUAUAAUAUUAAAGAAGAUCUGAUAGACUAUACAAAGAAAUCAGAAAAAACAAUUCGGGGUAUGAAUGAGAAAUUUGCCCAAGAGAUAGAUAUAAAAAGAACCAAACAGAUAUUCUGGAAUUGAAUAAUAGAUUGAAUGAAAUAAAAAACAUAUUUGAAAGCUUCAAUAACAGACCACAACAAGCAGAAGAAAGAAUUUCACACCUUGAAGAUAAGUCUUUUGAAAUGACUCAGACAAAAAUAUAGAAAAAAUAGAAAAGAAUGAACAAAGGCUAUGUGACUAUAGGAUGCCAUAAGGUGACACCUUCAGUGUCCCAGAAGGUGAAGAGCAAACCAAAAGAUUAUAAAACCUAUUUAAUGAAAUAAUACCUGAACACUUCCCAAUCUCCCAAGAGAUUUAGAUCCAAAUAUAGGAAUCUCAGAACCCUAAAUAGAUACAAUUCAGAAAGGUCUUUUCCACAGCACAUUAUAGCAAAUUGCCCAUCCCAAGACAAAGAGAGAAUCAUAAAACCAGCGAUAAAAGAGGUUGUAGACACUUACAAGGGAACAACCUGCAGACUAACAGAUUUUUCAGCAGAAACUUUACAGGCCAGGAGGAUGGGAUUAUAUACGCAGAGUGCUGAAAGAAAAAACAAAACCAAAAACCUGCCAGCCAGGAAUACUGUACUUAGCAAAGUUAUAUUCGUCAGAAAUGAAGGAGAAAUAAAGUAUUUCCCUUAAAAGUAAAAGCUCAGGGAAUUAAUUGCCACUACACUGGCACUACAAAAAAUGCUUAAGGGAGUCUUACAGGAAGAAGUGAAAGGACAACUUCAUGAAAGCACACAAAAUAAUCAGAAAUCAAUUAAUGACAGGAAUAAGCCCUCACAUAUCAACAAUAACCUUGCAUAUAAAUAGAUUAAACUUUCUACUUAAAAGACAGACUGGCUGAAUGGACUUAAAAACAUGACCCAUCUAAAUGCUAUCUACAAGAAACGCAUCUCACCUGUAAAGACACAUAGUUGAAAGAAAGGAAUGGGAAAAGAUAUUACAUGCAAAAGGAAACAAAAACCAAACAGGAGUAGCUAUACUUUCAUCAGAUAAAACAAAGGUUAAGCUAAAAACACUAAAAAGAGACGAAGUCAUUAUAUAGUGACAGAGGGAUCAAUUGACCAAGAGGAUAUAACAAUUCUAAACAUAUAUGCACCCAACACCAAAGCACCCAGAUAUAUAAGGCAAACAUCAAAUCUGAAGGGAAAGGUAGACUUCAACACAAUAAUCUUGGGAACUUCAAUUCUCCAUUUCCAGUAUUAGACAGAUCAUCUAGACAAAAAAUUAACAAAGAAACAUUGGAUUUAAACUGCACUUUAUACCAAAUGGACCUAACAGACAUUUACAGACCAGUUCAUAAAACAGCUGCAGAAUAUACACUCUUCUCAUCAGUACAUGGAACACUCUCCAGGAUACAUUAUAUGUUAGGACACUAAGUAUGAUUUUAAAUAUAUAUAUAUUUUAAAUUGGAUUCAUAUCACAUAUCUUCUCAGACCACAAUAGCAUAAAACUAUAAAUAAAUAAGAGGAGCAUUCAAAACUGUAUAAAUAAAUGGAAAUUAACAUGUUCCUGAAUGACCAAUGGGUCAAAGAAGAAAUUAAGGCAGAAAUAAAAAAUUUACUGAAACAAGUGAAAAUAGAAGCACAACAUUCUGAAACUUAAGGGAUACUGCAAAAGCAAUGCUAAGAGGAAAGUUUAUUGUAAUAAAUGCCUCCAUUAAAAAAGGUAGAAAAGAUCUUAAAUAAUCUAAUGAUACACCUGAAGGAACCAGAAAAGCAAGAACAAACCAUACUAAACAUAAAAUUAGUAGAAGGAAAGAAAUAACGAAGAUCAGAGCAGAACUAAACAAGAAACUAAAUAAAUAUAAAGGAUCAAUGAAAUGCAAAAUCGGUUUUUGAAAAGAAACAAAAUAACCAGUGGCUAAACUAUCCAAGAAGAAAAGAGAGAAGACCUACAUGAAUAAAAUCAAAAAUGAAAAAGGGGAUAUUACAACUCAUACCAUGAAAUACAAAAAUCAAAACUCUUCAGUCUGAUCAAUAAAUUGAUUACAGUUACAGGAUUUAAAAAUCAGGCUUAUUUCUAUAUACCAAUAAAGAACCAGCUGAGAAAGAAAUCAAGAAGGCAUUAUCUUUUACAACCACUACAAAAAAUCUAGGAAUGAGUUUAACCAAAGAGGUGAGAAACCUCUAACAAGGAAAACUACAAAAGUCUGAUGAAAGAAAUUGAAAAGAACACACAAAAAACAUCCCAUUCUCAUGGAUUGGGAGAAUUAACAAAAUUAAAAUGACCAUACUACCCAAAGCAAUCUACAGAUUCAAUGCAGUCUCUCUCAAAAUACCAAUGCCAUUUUUCAUGGAAAUAGAAAAAAUCCUAAAAUUCAGAUGGAACCAAAAAAGAGCUGGAAUAGCCACAGCAAUUCUGAGCAAAAAUAACAAAGUUGGAUGCAUCACACUGCCUGAUUUAAAAAUAUAAGGCUAUAGCAUUAAAAGCAGCAUGGUAUUGGAAUAAAAACUGAUAGACCAAUGGAACAGAGUAGAACCUGGAAGUAAAUCCAUGUAUUUACAGCCAACUGAUUUUUGACAAAGAUGCCAAGAACAUACACUGGGAAAAGAGCACCCUCUUCACUUAAUGGAGCUGGGAAAAUAAGAUAUCCAUGUGAAAAAUGAAACCGUUUCUAUCUCUUGCUAUACUAAAAUCAACUCAAGAUGGGUUAAAGACUUAAACAUGAGGCAUGAAACUAUAACAUCACUAUUAAUGAAGGAGACAUUGGGGAAACACUUUAGGACAUUGGUCUAGGGAAAGAUUUUAUGGAUAAGACCUCAAAAACACAGACAAAAACAAAAAUAGACAAAUGGGACUAUAUUAAAUGAUAAAGCUUGUACACAACAAGGGAAACAAUCACCAGAGUGAAGAGACAGCCUGUUGAAUGGGAGAAAAUAUUUGCAAACUACUCAUCUGACAAGGUACUAAUACCAGAAUAUACUAGGAACUCCAAUAACUCAAUAGUAAACAACAAAUUAAUUCCAAUAAAAAGUGAGCAAAAGACAUGGAUAGAUAUUUCUCAAAAGAAAACAUACAAGUAGCCAACAGGUAUAUUUAAAAAAAAAAGCCCAACAUCAGUAAUUAUAAGGGAAAUGCAAGCCAAAACCAUAGUGAGAAUGGCUAUUUUAAAAAGACAAAAAUUAACCAAUGCUGGAGAGGAUGUGGAGGGAACUCUUAUACACUGUUGGUGGGAAUGUAAAUUAAUACUAUAGAAAACAGUUUGAUUUCUGAAAAACCUAAAAAGAGAAAUAUGACAUAAUCCAGCAAUCUCACUACUGGAUAUUUAUCUAAAGGAAAAGAUAUCAGUAUACUAAAAAUGUACCUGCAUCCCCGUGUUUAUUGCAGCACUAUUCACAACAGCAAAGAUAUGGACUCAGGAACCUAAGUGUACAUCAGUGGAUAAAUGGAAAAAGAAAAUGAGGUAAAUAUAUACAAUGGAAUACUAAUUGACCAAAGAAGAAUGAAAUCAUGUCCUUUGCAGCAACAUGAAUGGAGCUGGAGGUCAUUAUUUUAAGCCAGGCACAGAAAGAUAAUUAUCUUAUGUUAUUAUCAUAUGUGGGAGCUAUAAAAGUUGAUCUCAUGGAGGUAGAGAGUAGAAGGAUAGAUACCAAAGGCUGUGAAAGGUAUGUCUGGAGGGUGAAGAGAGGUUGGUUAGUGGGUAAAAAUACACAGCUAGUUAGAAUAAAUAAUUUAUAAUGUUUGAUAAGAGUUGGUUGACUAUAUUUAACAAUAUAAUGUAUAUUUCAAAAUAAAAAAGAGGACUUGAAAUGUUCCUAACUAUAGAGAUGAUAAAUUGAGGGUGAUGGAUACCCUGACUUGAUCAUUACACAUUCGAUGCAUGUAACAAUAGCACAUGUACCCCAUAAGUAUUAUGUAUCGGUCAAAAAAAAAAAAAAAAGGAAAUCCCAGUGCUUUGGGGGGCCAAGGCAGAAGGAUCGCUUGAGCCCAGGAAUUCAAGACCAGCCUGGGCAACAAUGCACGACCCUGUCUCUACAAAAAAUUAAGAAGUUAUCCAGGCAUGGUGGUGCAUGCCUGUAGUCCCAGCUACUUGAGGGGUCAAGGAUGGAGAAUGACUUGAGCCUGGGAGUUAAAGAUUGCAGUAAGUGGGGUGGUUCCAAGAUGGCCGAAUAGGAGGAGCUCCAGUCUAUAGCUCCCAGCGUGAGUGACGCAGAAGAUGGGUGAUUUCUGCAUUUCCAACUGAGGUAGUGGGUUCAUCUCACUGGGGCUCGUCAAGACAGUGGGUACAGGACAGUGGGUGCAGCCCACUGAGUGUGAGACGAAGUAGGGCGAGGCAUCGCCUCACCUGGGAAGCACAAGGGGUCAGGGAAUUCCCUUUCCUAGCCAACGGAAGGGGUGACAGACGGCACCUGGAAAACUGGAUCACUCCCACCCUAAUACUGUGCUUUUCCAAUGGUCUUAGCAAACGGCACACCAGGAGAUUAUAUCCCGCGCCUGGCUCGGAGGGUCCCACGCCCAUGGAGCCUCGCUCAUUGCUAGCACAGCAGUCUGAGAUCGAACUGCAAGGCGGCAGCGAGGCUGGGGGAGCCUGCCAUUGCUGAGGCUUGAGUAGGUAAACAAAGUGGCCAGGAAGCUCGAACUGGGUGGAGUCCACCACAGCUCAAGGAGGCCUGCCUGCCUCUGUAGACUCCACCUCUGGGGACAGAGCAUAGCCGAACAAAAGGCAGCAGAAACCUCUGCAGACUUAAAUGUCCCUGUCUCACAGCUUUGAAAAGAGUAGUGGUUCUCCCAGCACGGAGUUUGAGAUCUAAGAAUGGAUAGACUGCCUCCUCAAGUGGGUCCCUGACCCCCGAGUAGCCUAACUGGGAGGCACUCCCCAGUAGGGGCAGACUGACACCUCACACGGCUGGGUACUCCUCUGAGACGAAGCUUCCAGAGGAACAAUCAGGCAGCAACAUUUGGUGUUCAGCAGUAUUCGCUGUUCUGCAGCCUCUGCUGCUGAUACCCAGGCAAACAGGGUCUGGAGUGGACCUCCAGCAAACUCCAACAGACCUGCAGCUGAGGGUCCUGACUGUUAGAAGGAAAACUAACAAACAGAAAGGACAUCCACACCAAAACUCCAUCUAUACGUCACCAUCAUCAAAGACCAAAGGUAGAUAAAACCACAAAGAUGGGGAAAAAACAGCAGAAAAGCAGAAAAUUCUAAAACUCAGAGCACCUCUCCCCAUCCAAAGGAACGCAGCCACUCGCCAGCAAUGGAACAAAGCUGGACGGAGAAUGACUUUGACAAGUUGAGAGAGGAAGGCUUCAGACAAUCAAACUUCUCCGAGCUAAAGGAGGAAGUUCGAACCCAAAGCAAAGAAGCUAAAAACCUUGAAAAAAGAUUAGACGAAUGGCUAACUAGAAUAACCAGUGUAGAGAAGUCCUUAAAUGACAUGAUGGAGCAGAAAACCAUGGCACAAGAACUACGUGACAAAUGCACAAGCUUCAGUAGCCGAUUUGAUCAACUGGAAGAAAGGAUAUCGGUGAUUGAAGAUCAAAUGAAUGAAAUGAAGUGAGAAGAGAAGUUCAGAGAAAAAAGAGUAAAAACAAACGAACAAAGCCUCCAAGAAAUAUGGGACUAUGUGAAAAGACCAAAUCUACAUCUGACUGGUGUACAUGAAAAUGACAGGGAGAAUGGAACCAAGUUGGAAAACACUCUUCAGGAUAUUAUCCAGGAGAACUUCCCCAACCUAGCAAGGCAGGAUAUUAUCCAGGAGAACUUCCCCAACCUAGCAAGGCAGGCCAACAUUCAAAUUCAGGAAAUACAGAGAAUGCCACAAAGAUACUCCUCAAGAAGAGCAACUCCAAGACACAUAAUUGUCAGAUUCACCAAAGUUGAAAUGAAGGAAAAAAUGUUAAGGGCAGCCAGAGAGAAAGGUUGGGUUACCCACAAAGGGAAACCCAUCAGACUAACGGCGGAUCUCUCAGCAGAAACUCUACAAGCCAGAAGAGAGUGGGGGCCAAUAUUCAACAUUCUUAAAGAAAAGAAUUUUCAACCCAGAAUUUCAUAUCCAGCCAAACUAAGCUUCAUAAGUGAAGGAGAAAUAAAAUCCUUUAUAGACAAGCAAAUGCUGAGAGAUGUUAUAACCACCAGGCCUGCCCUACAAGAGCUCCUGAAGGAAGCACUAAACAUGGAAAGGAACAAUUGGUACCAGCCACUGCAAAAACAUGACAAAUUGUAAAGACCAUAGAUGCUAGGAAGAAACUGCAUCAACUAACGAGCAAAAUAACCAGCUAACAUCAUAAUGGAUCAAAUUCACACAUAACAAUAUUAACCUUAAAUGUAAAUAGGCUAAAGGCUCCAAUUAAAAGACACAGACUGGCAAAUUGGAUAAAGAGUCAAGACCCAUCAGUGUGCUGUAUUCAGGAGACCCAUCUCACGUGCAGAGACACACAUAGGCUCAAAAUAAAGGGAUGGAGGAAGAUCUACCAAGCAAAUGGAAAAUAAAAAAAGGCAGGGGUUGCAAUCCUAGUCUCUGAUAAAACAGACUUUAAACCAAUAAAGAUCAAAAGAGACAAGGUCAUUACAUAAUGGUAAAGGGAUCAAUUCAACAAGAAGAGCUAACUAUCUUAAAUAUAUAUGCACCCAAUACAGGAGCACCCAGAUUCAUAAAGCAAGUCCUUAGAGAUCUACAAAGAGACAGACUCCCACACAAUAAUAAUGGGAGACUUUAACACCCCACUGUUAACAUUAGACAAAUCAACAAGACCGGAAGUUAACAAGGAUAUCCAGGAAUUGAACUCAGCUCUGCACCAAGUGGACCUAAUAGACAUCUACAGAACAUUCCAACCCAAAUCAACAGAAUAUACAUUCUUCUCAGCAUCACAUCGCACUUAUUCCAAAAUUGACCACAUAAUUGGAAGUAAAGCACUCCUCAGCAAAUGUAAAAGAACAGAAACUAUAACAAACUGUCUCUCAGACCACAGUGCAAUCAAACUAGAACUCAGGAUUAAGAAACUCACUCAAAACCGCUCAACGACAUGGAAACUGAACCACCUGCUCCUGAAUGACUACUGGGUACAUAACGAAAUGAAGGCAGAGAAAUAAAGAUGUUCUUUGAAACCAAUGAGAACAAAGACACAACAUACCAGAAUCUCUGGGACACAUUUAAAGCAGUGUGUAGAGGGAAAUUUAUAGCACUAAAUGCCCACAAGAGAAAGCAGGAAAAAUCUAAAAUUGAUGCCCUAACAUCACAAUUAAAAGAACUAGAGAAGCAAGAGCAAACACAUUCAAAAGCUAGCAGAAGGCAAGAAAUAACUAAGAUCAGAGAAGAAUUGAAGGAGAUAGAGACACAAAAAACCCUUCAAAAAAUCAAUGAAUCCAGGAGGUGGUUUUUUUGAAAAGAUCAACAAAAUUGAUAGGCCUCUAGCAAGACUAAUAAAGAAGAGAGAAGAAUCAAAUAGAUGCAAUAAAAAAUGAUAAAGGGGAUAUCACCACCGAUCCCACAGAAAUACAAACUACCAUCAGAGAAUACUAUAAACACCUCUAUGCAAAUAAACUAGAAAAUCUAGAAGAAAUGGAUAAAUUCCUGGAGACAUACACCCUUCCAAGACUAAACCAGGAAGAAGUUGAAUCCCUGAAAAGACCAAUAACAGGCUCUGAAAUUUAGGCAAUAAUUAAUAGUCUACCAACCAAAAAAAGUCCAGGACCAGACGGAUUCACAGCCGAAUUCUACCAGAGGUACAAGGAGGAGCUGGUACUAUGCCUUCUGAAACUAUUCCAAACAAUAGAAAAAGAGGGAAUCCUCCCUAACUCAUUUUAUGAGGCCAGCAUCAUCCUGAUACCAAAGCCUGGCAGAGACACAACAAAAAAAGAGAAUUUUAGACCAAUAUCCCUGAUGAACAUUGAUGCAAAAAUCCUCAAUAAAAUACUGGCAAACCGAAUCCAGCAGCACAUCAAAAAGCUUAUCCACCAUGAUCAAGUGGGCUUCAUCCCUGGGAUGCAAGGCUGGUUCAACAUAUGCAAAUCAAUAAACAUUAUCCAGCAUAUAAACAGAACCAAAGACAAAAACCACAUGAUUAUCUCAAUAGAUGCAGAAAAGGCCUUUGACAAAAUUCAACAGCCCUUCAUGCUAAAAACUCUCAAUAAAUUAGGUAUUGAUGGGAUGUAUCUCAAAAUAAUAAGAGCUAUUUAUGACAAACCCACAGCCAAUAUCAUACUGAAUGAGCAAAAACUGGAAGCAUUCCCUUUGAAAACUGGCACAAGACAGGGAUGCCCUCUCUCACCACUCCUAUUCAACAUAGUGUUGGAAGUUCUGGCCAAGGCAAUCAGGCGGGAGAAAGAAAGAAAGGAUAUUCAAUUAGGAAAAGAGGAAGUCAAAUUGUCCCUGUUUGCAGAUGACAUGAUUGUAUAUUUAGAAAACCCCAUCAUCUCAGCCCAAAAUCUCCUUAAGCUGAUAAGCAACUUCAACAAAGUCUCAGGAUACAAAAUCAAUGUGCAAAACAUCACAAGCAUUCUUAUACACCAAUAACAGACAAACAGAGAGCCAAAUCAUGAGUGAACUCCCAUUCACAAUUGCUUCAAAGAGAAUAAAAUACCUAGGAAUCCAACUUACAAGGGAUGUGAAGGACCUCUUCAAGGAGAAGUACAAACCACUGCUGAACAAAAUAAAAGAGGAUACAAACAAAUGGAAGAACAUUCCAUGCUCAUGGAUAGGGAGAAUCAGUAUCAUGAAAAUGGCCAUACUGCCCAAGGUAAUUUAUAAAUUCAAUGCCAUCCCCAUCAAGCUACCAAUGACUUUCUUCACAGAAUUGGAAAAAAACUACUUUAAAGUUCAUAUGGAACCAAAAAAGAGCCCGCAUUGCCAAGACAAUCCUAAGCCAAAAGAACAAAGCUGGAGGCAUCACGCUACCUGACUUCAAACUAUACUACAAGGCUACAGUCACCAAAACAGCAUGGUACUGGUACCAAAACAGAGAUAUAGACCAAUGGAACAGAACAGAGCCCUCAGAAAUAAUACCACACAUCUACAAUCAUCUGAUCUUUGACAAAGCUGACAGAAACAAGAAAUGGGGAAAGGAUUCCCUAUUUAAUAAAUGGUGCUGGGAAAACUGGCUAGCCAUAUGUAGAAAGCUGAAACUGGAUCCCUUCCUUACACCUUAUACAAAAAUUAAUUCAAGAUGGAUUAAAGACUUACAUGUUAGACCUAAAACCGUAAAAACCCUAGAAGAAAACCUAGGCAAUACCAUUCAGGACAUAGGCAUGGGCAAGGACUUCAUGUCUAAAACACCAAAAGCAAUGGCAACAAAAGCCAAAAUUGACAAAUGGGAUCUAAUUAAACUAAAGAGCUUCUGCACAGCAAAAGAAACUACCGUCAGAGUGAAUAGGCAACCUACAGAAUGGGAGAAAUUUUUUGCAAUCUACUCAUCUGAUAAAAGGCUAAUAUCCAGAAUCUACAAAGAACUCAAACAAAUUUACAAGAAAAAACAAACAACCCUAUCAAAAAGUGGGCAAAGGUUAUGAACAGACACUUCUCAAAAGAAGACAUUUAUGCAGCCAAAAGACACAUGAAAAAAUGCUCAUCAUCACUGGCCAUCAGAGAAAGGCAAAUCAAAAAACCACAAUGAGAUACCAUCUCACACCAGUUAGAAUGGCAAUCAUUAAAAAUUCAGGAAACAACAGGUGCUGGAGAAGAUGUGGAGAAAUAGGAACGCUUUUACACUGUUGGUGGGACUGUAAACUAGUUCAACCAUUGUAGAAGACAGUGUGGUGAUUCCUCAAGGAUCUAGAACUAGAAAUACCAUUUGAUCCAGCCAUCCCCUUACUGGGUAUAUACCCAAAGGACUAUAAGUCAUGCUGCUAUAAAGACACAUGCACACGUAUGUUUAUUGCAGCACUAUUCACGAUAGCAAAGACUUGGAACCAACCCAAAUGUCCAUCAAUGAUAGACUGGAUUAAGAAAAUGUGGCACAUACACACCAUGGAAUACUAUGCAGCCAUAAAAAAAGGAUGAGUUCACGUCCUUUGUAGGGACAUGGAUGAAGCUGGAAACCAUCAUUCUCAGCAAACUAUAGCAAGAAUGAAAAACCAAACACCGCAUGUUCUCACUCGUAGGUGGGAACUGAACAAUGAGAACACUUGGACGUAGGAAGGGGAACAUCACCCACCAGGGCCUGUUGUGGGGUGGGGGGGGAGGGGGGAGGGGGGAGGGAAAGCAUUAGGAGAUAUACCUAAGGUAAAUGACAAGGUAAUCAGUGCAGCACACCAACAUGGCACAUGUAUACAUAUGUAACAAACCUGCACGUUGUGCACAUGUACCCUAGAACUUAAAGUAUAAUAAAAAAAAGGGAGAGAGAGAGAAAAGAGAAAUCUAAAAAAAAAAAAAUACCAAAGACAAUCUUCACCGAAAUAGCAAAAACACAAUCCUUAAACUUGCAUGGAACCACAAAAGACCACAAAUAGGACAAACAAUACUGAGCAGGCAGAAUGAAGCUGGAGGCACUACACUGCCUGACAUCAAAAUACAGUCGACUCUUCAACAACAUAGAUUUGAACUGUAUAGGUUCAUUUAUACGUGGAUUUUCCCCAUAAUCUAACAAGGAUAGAAUGCAAUAUUCACAAAAGUGAAAACUAUGUAUACAGAUGACUGACAUUUUGUAUAUGCGCAUUACACAGGGCUGACUCUGGGACUUGAAUAUACAUGGCUUUUGGUAUAUACAGGGGGUCUCGGAAGCAAUCCCCCUUGUAUACAAAACAAUGGUAACCAAAUUAGCAUGCAAUGGGCAUAAAACAGACAUAUAGACCAAUGGAACAGAAUAGAGAACCCAGAAGUAAAUAAAUUUAUUUACAGACAACUGGUUUUUGACAAAGGUGCCAAGAACACACUCUGGGGAAAGGACACCAUGUUGAACACAUCAUGUUGGGAAAACAGGAUAUCAUAUGCAGAAGAAUGAAACUAUACUAUCUCUCAGCAUAUAAAAAAAUCAACUCAAAAUUGAUUAGAGACUUAAACAUGAGACCUGAAGCAAACAGUACUAGAAGAAAACAGAAGGGAAACCCUUCAGGAUAUGGGUCUAGCGAAGAUUUUAUGGGUAAGACUUUAUAAGCACAGGCAACAAAAACAAAAAUAGACAAAUGGGACUGUAUCAAACUAAAAACCUACACAUAAAAGGAAAUAAUAAACUAUUAAGAGAUAUCCUGUAGAAUGGGAGAAAAUAUUCAUCUGACAAGGGAUUAAUAUCCGGAAUAUACAAGGAAUUCAAACAAUUCAACAGCAAAAAACACCAGAUUAUCUGAUUUAGAAAUGUGCAAAAUAGAACAACUGGCCAACAGGUAUGUGAAAAAAUGCUCAACAUCUCUCAUCACAGAAAUGCAAGUCAAAGCCACAGUGAGACAUUAUUUCACCUCAGUUAGAAUGGCUGUUUUCAAAAAGACAAAACAUAACAAAUGCUGGCAAGGAUGCAGAGAAAAGGGAAAUAAUACACUAUUUGUGGGACUAUAAAUUAGUGAGUCAUUAUGGAAAAUACUGUGGUGUUUUGUCAAAAAAACUAAAAGUAGACUAUCAUACAGUUUGACAAUCCACUACCGGGUAUUGACUCAAAGGAAAGGAAAUCAGUAUAUAAAAAAGAUAUUUGCAUUCUCAUGUUUAUUGCAGUACUGUUCACAACAGUUAAGAUAUGGAAUCAACUUAAAUCUCCAUCAGCAGAUGCAGAGAAAGAAUGUGGUAUGUAUACACAAUGGAAUAUUAUUCAGUCAUAAUAAAGCAUUAAGUCCUGUCAUUCACAGCAACAUGGAUGAACUUGGAUAAUAUGUUAAAUGAAAUUAGGCACAGAAAGAUGGAGGAUUUUGACUGCUCACAAAACAGAGAAAUGAUAUUUGAGUUGAUGAAUAUGCUAAUUACCCUGAUUUGAUUAUGACACAUUAUAUACAUGUAUCACAAUAUCACUGUGUAUAUCCCAUAAAUAUCUACAAUUAUUACAUGUUGACUAAAAAUAAAAGGACAAAGAAAAAGACUCCUAGAAGAAAAACCCACAAGGAGCAUCAUAAUGGUGAAAAGACUAAGAGCUUUUCCUCUAAGAUCAGGAAUAAAGCAAGAUGCGCAUUUUAGCCAUUAUAUUAAACAUAGUAGUGGCUUUCUAGCCAAAGAAUAUGGAAAAGAAAUAAAGGCAUCAUUUAGAAAGGAAGAAUUAAAAUUAUGUUUGUUCAUAGAUAUGAUCAUAUUUGUAGAAAUCCCUGAAAACUCACCACAAAAACUGAAUAAAUUAAUUCAGCAAAGUAGCAGGAUAGUAAGUCAGUACACAAAAUUCAGUUGCAUUUCUUUUUUUUUUUUUUUUUUUUUGAGGCAGAGUCUUGGUCUGUCGCCCAGGCUAGAGUGUAGUGGCGCGAUCUCGGCUCACUGCAAGCUCUGCCUCCCGAGUUCACGCCAUUCUCCUGCUUCAGCCUCCCAAGUAGCUGGGACUACAGGCACACGCUGCUAUGCCUGGCUAAUGUUUUUGUAUUUUUAGUAGAGAUGGGGUUUCACCAUGUUAGCCAGGAUGGUCUCGAUCUCCUGACCUUGUGAUCUGCCCUCCUCAGCCUCCCAAAGUGCUGGGAUUACAGGCGUGAGCCACUGCGCCCAGCUUUCAGUUGCAUUUCUAUACAUUAAUCACAAACAAUCUGAAAGGGAUAUUAUUAACACAACUCUAUUUACACGACAGCAUCAGGACACUCAGCCUUGGCCACCAAGGACCUUUGUAAUGUUUGCCACUGCUGACCUCAGCUGAUGGAGCUGCAAGAAGAGUAUUCCAUUAUAUCCUCAUCUGGGCUACAGCUGCUGCACCCUACCUACUUAACACUCCAUCAAGUGAGCAGAUUUCAAUUCAUUGUAACAAGAAACAGAAAAACCAAGGAAACAUAGCACCCACCUGAGAAAUACAAUAAUUUUCAGGGACUGACUCCCAAGAAAUUGGGAUACAUUAAUUGCCUUACAGAAAAUUAAAAACGACUGAUUUAAGGAAGUUCAGUGUGCUACCAGAGAACAGAGAGACAACCUAAUGAAAUCAUUAAUACACAAAAGGAGACAUUCAAUAAAGAAAUAGAAAUCCUAAAAAAAAAACAAACAUUUUGGAGGUGAAGAAUAUAGUGCAUGAAAUGAAAAGUGAAAUAGAAAGCAUCAGCAGCAGACUUGAUCAAAUAGAAGGAGGAAUUCAUCAACUGGAGGAUAAAUUAUUUGAAAAUAACCAGUAGAGGAGAAAAAUAAAGAAUGAAAAGGUAACAAGGGAAGUUUACAGGAUUUAUGGGACACCAUCAGGAGAGUUAAUGUUCACACAGGAUUUAUAGAAGGAAAGUAGAGAGGUAAAGGGUAGAAAGUUAAUUCAGAGAAAUAAUGGCUGAAAACUUCCCAUAUCUGGGGCUCUUCCCAGAUUGAUGGACAUCUAGGUACAUGAAGCUCAAAGAAUUACAAUUAGUUUCCAUCUAAAAGAGGUUUCACCUAGAUAUAUUGCCAUCAAAAUGUAAAAAAUGGAAGACAAGAUAAUUUUGAAAGCGGCAAGAUAAAUAAAGUUCUUACAUCUGCAGGAACCUCCAUAAGGCUAUCAGUGGAUUUCUGAGCAAAAACUUUCCAGGCCAGGAAACAAUAGGAUUAUAUAUUCAAAGUUCUGAAAGAUAAAAAACUGCCAUCUAAGAAUACUUUACACAGCAAAGCUGUCCUUCAGAUAUGAAACAGAUACAAGACUUCCUCAGGUAAACAAAAGUUGAAGGAGUUUAUCAGCAACUACUCUUGCCUUACAAGAUAUGCCAGAGGGAGUUAUUCAGGCUUAAAUGGAAGGAUGAUAAUUAGUAACAUGAAAACAUAUGAAAGUACAAAAUUCACUGAUAAAUAAAUAUACGGGCAACUUAAGAAUACUCUAAUAGUGUAAUGGUAGUAUAUAAAUCACAUAACUCUAGUAUAAAGGUUAAAAGAAAAAUAAUUAAAAAUUACUAUUGUUUUCAUAAUUUCUCAAUGGAUAUGCAAUAUUAAAAGGUGUACCUUGGGGCAUCAAAAAUAAAAUGUAGCGGGGGAAGUAUAAGAUCAAAAUAUUCCCCCCAAACAAAGAGGGAACAAUCCCAACUUAUUUUACAAGGCUAGCAUUGCCCUCAUACUAAGGCCAGACAAGGACAAUAUAAGAAAAGAAAAUAACUGGCUGAUAUUUUUUUAUGACUAUACAUUUAAAAAUUUUCAACAAAAUAUGAUCAAACUGAAUUUAACAGCACAUUAAAAAAAUCAUAUAUCACAAACAUGGGAUUUAUCCUUAGUACAUAAGGACAGUUAAGUGUACAUAUACAAGAAAUGGGAUACUUUAAUAAAAUCAAAGAUAAAAAUCAUACAAUCAUUUUGAUAAGUGCAAAUAAUGCAGUUCACAUAAUUCAACAUCCUUCCAUGAUAAAAACUAUGAACAAAUUAGGUAUAGAAGGAAUGUACUGCAACACAAUAAAGGCCAUAUAUGAAUAGCCCACAGCUAACAUCAUACUCAAUGCUGAAAAGCUGAAUGCCUCUCCUCUAAGAUGAGGAACAAGAAAAAGAUAUUCUCACCACUUCUAUUCAACACAGUACUGGAAGUCCUAGCCAGAGGAAUUGGGCAAGAAAAAUAAAUAAAUACACUCAAAUCAGAAAGAAGGAAGUAAAAUUGUCUCUGUUUGCAGAUGACAUCAUAUAUGUAGAAAAUGCUACAGACUCCACAAAAAAAACCUGUUAGAAGUAAUAAUCUAACUCAGUAAAGUGGCAGGAUACAAAAUCAGCAUUCAGAAGUCAUUUGCGUAUCUAUACACUAAUAAUAAACAACCUGAAAAACAAAUUAAGAAAACAAUUUCAUUUAAAAUAGCAUCAAAAAGAAUAGAGAGCUCCCAAAUAAAUCCUUUCAUAUAUGAACGCAUGAUUUCUGACAAGCAUGCCAUGUCCAUUCAAUGGCAAAUGGAUUCUCUUUUCAACAAAUGGUGCCAGGAAAACUGGAUAUCCUCACGUGAGAGAAUGAAGUCGAGACCUUUACCUAACUCCAUAUACAAAAAUUAACUCAAAGUGGACCACAGACCUAAAUGUAAGACCUAAAACUAUAAAACUCUUAGAAGAAAACAUGGGGCAAAAACUGCAUGACAUUGGAUUUGGUAUUGACUUCAUUUGGAUAUAAUAUGAAAGGCACAGAUAAAAUAAAAAAUAGAGAAAUUGGACUGCAUAACAUUUAGGCAUACAUUUAACCAAGGAGAUAAAAGACCUAGACACUGAAAACUAUGAAACAUUGAACAAAUUCUAAGAUGAUACAAAUAAAUGGAAAGAUAUCUGGUGUUCAUAGAUCAAUAGAAUAAAUAUUGCCGAAAUAGCUAUACUACUCAAAGUGAUCUACAGAUUCAAGGCAAUGCCUAUCAAAUUUCCAGUGACUUUUUUUCACAGAUAUAGACAAAAAAAAUCCUAAAAUUUGAAAGAAACUACAAAAGACCUUAAAGAUCUAAAGCAUACUUGAGCAAUAAGAACAAAGUGAAAGAUAUUACACAUGCUUAUUUUGAAUUAUAUUUCAAAGUUAUGGUACUGGUAUAGAAAUAAACCAAUGGAACAGAAUAGAAAGCAUAGAAAUAAACCCACACAUUUAUGGUCAACUAAUCUUUGACAAAGACACCAAGAGUACACAAUGGGGAAAGGGUACUCUCUUGAAUAAAUGGCACUGUGAAACCAGGAUAUCCACAUGCAAAAAAAUUAAAUUGGAACCUUACCCUACACUGUAGAGAAAAGUGAAUAAGAUUUAAACAUAUGACCUGAAACCAUAAAACCUAUAAAACAGGGAAAAGCUCCUUGCCAUUGGUUUUUGUGACAAUUUUUUAGAUGUGACAUCAAAAGCACAAGGAAUAAAACGCAAAAAUAAAUUAGAACUACAUCAAACAAAAAAGUGUCUGCACAACAAAGGAAACAACAAAAUGAAAAGGCAGCACAUGUAGCGGGAGAAAAUAUUUCCAACCAUAUAUCUGAUAAGCUAUUAAUAUCCAAUAUAUAUAAGGAACUCAUAUAACUAGCAAAAAAACUUAAUAACCCAAUUAAUAACCUGUUAAGAUGGACAAGGGACUGAAUAGACAUUUAUUCAAAGAAGACAUACAGAUGGUCAACAGGUAUAUAAAAAGGUGCUUAACAUCACUUAUCAUCAGGGAAAUGCAAAUGAAAACCACACUGAGAUAUCACCUCAUAACUGUUAGAAUCGCUAUUAUCAAAAAGUCAAAAGAUAGCAAGUGUUGGUGAGGAUGUGGAGAAAAGGUGUCCCUUAUACAUUUUUGUUAGGAAUGUAAAUUGAUACAGUCAUUAUGGAAAACACGAUAGAUUUUCUUUAAAAAAUUAAAAUUGGAACUGCUAUAUGAUCCAGCAGUCUCAGUUCCGGGUAUAUCUAAGGAAAACAAAGUCAGUAUCUUGAAGAGGUAUCUGCACUCCCAUGUUCAUUGUAGUGUUACAGUAGUCAAGAAAUGAGCAACAUAGUAUUCAUAGGCAUGGUGGCUUGUACCUGUAAUCCCAGUACUUGGGGGUGGCCAAGGUGAAGGAUAGCUUGAACACAGGAGUUUGAGACCAGCCUAGGAAACAUAGUGAUACCCUAUCUCUACAUAAAAUUUUAAAAAUUAGCUGGGCAUGGGGGUGCAUGACUGUGGUCCCAGCUACUCAGGAGGCUGAGGCAGGAGGAUCACUUGAGCCCAUGAGGUUGAGGCUACAGUGAACUGUGAUUGUGCCACUGUACUCCUGCCUGGAUGACAGAUGGAGACCCUGUCUCAAAAAGAAAGGAAGAAAAUAGUGUGUGUGUGUGUAUCACCAAAUUCCCAAAUAAACACAUCACAUACAUAUACAUACAGACACACACACACACAUAUAUACACACACACAAUGAAAUAUUCAUCCUUUAAAAAGCAGGAAAUCAUGCAAUUUAUGACAACAUAGAUGAACCUGGAGGAUAUUAUGCUAAGUGAAAUAGCCAGACACAGAAAGACAAAUACUGCACUAUCCCAGUUACAUAUGGAAUUCUAAAAAGCUUGAACUCAGAGAAACGGAGAGUAGAAGGGUGGUUACUAGGGGUCAGGGAGUAGGGGAAAUAGGAAAUGUUGAAGGGUACAAACAUAGAGUUAUCAGAUGAAUAAGUUCUUGACAUAACGUCCAGAUUGGUGACUAUAGUUAAUAUAUUCUAUACUUGGAAUUUGCUAAGAGAGUAUAGCUUAGGUAUUCUGACCACACACACGCACACACAUGGCAACUAUGUAAGGUAUAUGUUAAUUGGCUUGAUUGUAGUAAUCAUUUCACAGUAGGUCAAAUAUGUUCUUAAAUAUAUGCACUUUUAAUUUGUCAAUUAUACCUCAAUAAAAGCUGAAAAAAGCAUCAAGAAUAACAAACUUAGGAACCAACUUUACCAAGGAGGUGAAAGUCUUGUACAAUGAAAAUUACAAAACAAUGCUGAAAGAAAUUAAAGUAGACAUAAAGGGAAAACACCUCCUAUGUUCAUGGAUUGGAAGGCCAAUAUUGUUAAGGUGUCAGUACCACACAAAACAAUCUACAAAUCCAAGGUAAUCCCAAUAAAAAUCCUAAUGAUGUUAUUUGCAGAAAGAAGAAACCCCAUCCUAAAAUUCACAUGGAAUCUCAAGGGACCUUGAAUAGCUAAAACAUUCUUGAAAAUGAUGAACAACAUUGGAGGACUCACACUUUCUGAUUUGAAAACUUACUACAGGCCAGGUACAAUGGCCUACACCUGUAAUCUCAGCACUUUUGAAGGCUGAGGUGGGAGGACUUCUGAGUCCAGGAGUUUGAGACCAGCCUGGGGAACACAGGGAGACCUCAUCUCUACAAAAAAUAAAAUAAUUGGCCAGGUGUAAUGGUACACACUUCUAUUCCCAGCUACUCAAGAAGCCGAGGUGGGAGGAUUGCUUGAGCCUGGGAGAUUGAGGUGGCAGUAAGCAGUGAUAAUGCCACUGUACUCCAGCGUGGGCAACAGAGUAAGAAUGUCUGAAAAACAAACAAAAACCCCAACUUAUUACGAAGCUACAGUAAUCAAAACUAUGUGGUAUUGACAUAAAGAUGUAGAGACCAAUGGAAUUGAAUAGAGAGCCCAAAAAUAAACCCUUGUAUACAUGAUCAAAUGAUUCCUGAGAAGAGUGCCAAGACCAUUCAAUAGGGAAAGUGCUGUAUUUUCAACAAAUGGUGCCAGGAUAACUGAAGUUGAGACCCUUACCUAAUACCAUACACAAAAAUUAACUCAAGAGAAUGAAGUUGAGAUCCUUACCUAACCAUGUAUAAAAGAGAAUGAAGUUGAGACCCUUACCUAACACUGUGUACAAAAACUUACUCAAAAUGGGUCAAAGUCCUAAAACUAUGAAGUCUUAUAAGGAAACAUAGGGGAAAAACUUUACAUCAUUGGCAGUGCUUCUUGUAUGCGACACCAAAGGCACAGGCAAUAAAAGUAAAAAUAGAUAAAUUGUACUUGCACAGGCAAUAAAAGUAAAACUAGAUAAAUUUUAAAAAUUUACAUUGUGUGCAUUAAAAUAAUAUCAACUAAGCAAUAAGACAACCUACAGAAUGGGAGAAAAAUUUGCAAAUCACAUACCUGAUAAGGGAUUAAUGUCCAGAUUAUACAGAGAACUUCUAAAAGUCAUCACCAAAAAACAAUGCACCUGAAAAAUGGGCAAAAGGGCCAGGCACGGUGGCUCACGCCUGUAAUCCCAGUACUUUGGGAGGCUGAGGCGGGAGGAUCAUGAAGUCAGGAGAUUGAGACCAUCCUGGCUAACAGGGUGAAACCCCGUCUCUACUAAAAAUACAAAAAAUUAGCCAGGCGUGGUGGUGGGCGCCUGUAGUCCCAGCUACUCGGGAGGCAGGAGAAUGAUGUGAACCCAGGAGGCAGAGGUUGCAGUAAGCCGAGAUGGCACCACUGCACUCAGCUUGGGCAACAGAGUGAGACUCCAUCUCAAAAAAAAAAAAAAAAGGGCAAAGGACUUGGACAGACGUAUCUCCAAAGAAGAUAUACAAAUGGAUAAUAGUACGUGAAAAGUUGUUUAACAUCUCUAGUCAUUAGGAAAUACAAGUCAAAACCACAACCUUACAUACACUCAGAUGACUACUAUUAAAAAAAUAAACACAGCCUAGGCAACAUAGUGAGACCCAUCUCUAGUAUCAGCUACGUGGGAGGUUAAGGUGGGAGGAUAGCCUAAGCCCAGAGGUCUAGGUUGAGGCUGCAGUGUGCCAUGAUCAUGCCACUGCAUUCCAGCCUAAGUGACAGAGCCAGAUCUUGUCUCAAAAAAAUCCCACAUAAACAGAAAAUAACCACUGCUGGAAGGGACAUGGAGAAAUUGGAAUCCUUGUGCACUGUUAGUGGGAAUGCAAAAUGGUACAGCCUCUGUGUUAAACAGUUUGGUGUUCCUUCAAAAAUUAAAAACAGAAUUAUCUGAUCCAUCAACUCCACCUCUGUGUAUACACCCAGAAGGAUUAAAAGCAGUCUCAAAGAUAUAUUUGUAUACCCACGAUUGUAGUGGCAUUAUUUACAACAGUUAAAACAUCAAUGCAACCCAAAUGUCCAUGGAAGAAUGGAUAAGCAAAAUGUGGUAUAUACAUACAAUGUAAUAUUAUUCAGCUUUAAAAAAAAUAGAAAUUUUGACACAUGCCACAACAUGGAUGAACCUCGAGGCCAUUAUGUUAAAUGAAAUACAGCAGUCACAAGAAGAGAAGUACUGUAUGUUUCCACUUAUAUGAGGUAUGUAGAAUAGUCAAAUCAGAGACAUAGAAAGUACAAGGUGGUUUCCAAGAGAUGGCGGUGGUGGGGGGGUUGGGGAAUUAUUGUUUAAUGGAUAUAGAGUUUCAUAAUUACAAAUGACAAGUGUUAUGGAGAUGGAUGAUAGUGAUGAUUGCACAGCAUUGUGAACGUAUCUAAUACAUUCACUGAAUUGUACACUAAAAUUGGUUAGGAUGGUAAUUUUUAUGUUAAGUGUAUUUUGCCACAAUAAAAGAUUUGGAAAUCAACAACAAAUAGAAAUCCCAGAAGAUAACAUAGGAAGAAAUCUAGAUGAUCUUUAGUUUGGUGAUGGCUUUUUAGAUAUGACACCAAAGGCAUGAUUCAUGAAAGAAAUAAUUGAUAAGCUAGACUUUGUUAAAAAUAAAAGUUUCUGCUCUGUAAAACAUACUGUCAAGAGGAUGAAAGGACAGGCCACAGAAGGGAGACAAUACUUGUAAAAGAUAUACCUGAUAAAGGACUCAUCCAAAAUAUAUAAAGAACCUUAAAAACAUAACAAUUAGAAAACAAACAAUCUGAUUACAAAAUGGACUGAAGACCUUAACAGACAUCUCACCAAUGAAGAUAUACAGAUGGCAACUAAGUAUAUGAAAAGAUGCCCCACAUCUUACGUCAUUAGGGAAAUGGAAAUUAAAACAAGAAAUGUGAUAUAUCUACACGCUUAUUAGAAUGGCCAAAAUUCAAAACACUGACAAUACCAAAUACUUGCCAAUAUGUGGGGCAACAGGAACACUCAUCCAUUGCUGGUGGGAAUGCAAAAUGGUACAGCCACUUUGACAUAUACCAUUAAUGGGAAUGUAAAGUGGUGCAGCCCUGGUGGAGAAGAGUUUGGUGGUUCUUCAAAGAAUUAAAAAUGGAAUUAUCAUAGGAUCCAUCAAUUCCACUUCUGAAUGUGUAUACAUAUCCCCCGAAGAAUCCAGAGUAUAUCGAAAUCAGUGGUUUCUUAUAAAAUUAAACAUAUUCUUACCAUGCAGUUCAGCAAUCACAUCCUUGGUAUUUACUCAAAGGAGGUGAAGACUUAUAUUCACAUAAAAAUCUGCACAGAGAUGUUUACAGAAGCUUUAUUUGUGAUUGUUGAAAUUGGAAGCAACCGAGAUGUCCUUCCAUAGGUGAGUAGACAGAUAAACUGUAGUACAUCCAGGCAAUGAAAUAUUAUUCAUCACUAAAUAGAAAUGAGCUAUCAAGCCAUGAAAAGAUAUGGAGGUAAUUAAAAAACAUAUUACUAUGUGAAAUAAGGCAAUCUGAAGAAACUACAUACUGUAUGAUUCCAAUCAUAUUGCAUUUUAGAAAAGGCAAUGCUAUGGAGGCAGUAAAAAGUUCAGUGGUUGCCAAGGGUUGUUGGGGAAGAAGGGUUGAAUAGGCAGUGCACAGAGUACUUUUAGGGCAGUGAAAAUGUACAAAUAUAUGUAAAUAUACGUAUCUGUAUGAUACUAUAAUGGUAGAUACAUGCAUAUUAGUCCGUUCUCACAGUGCUAUAAAGAACUACCUGAGACUGGGUAAUUUGUGAGAAAAGAGGUUUAAUUGACUCACAGUUUUGUAGGCUGUACAGUAAGCAUGGCUGGCAGGCCUCAGAAACUUAAAAUCAUGGCGGAAGGCAAAGGAGAAGCAGGCACAUCUUUACCAUGGCAGAACAGGAGAGGGAAAGAAAGUGAGAUGGGAAGUGCCACACACGUUUAAACAACCAGAUCUCAUGAGAACUCACUAUCAUGAGAACAGCAAGGGGGAAGUUUGCCCCCCACCAGGCCCCUCCCCUGACACAUGGGGAUUACAGUUCAAGAUGAGAUUUGGGUGGGAACACAGAGCCAAACCAUAUCAACAUGUUACACAUUUGUAGAAACCCACAGAAUGUACACCCCAACAGUGAGCCCUAAUGUUAACUAGGGACUUUGAUAAUAAUGUGUAAAUGCAGAUUCAUAAGUUGUAACAAACGUGCCACUCUGGUGGGAGAGUUGGUAAUGGGAAAAGCUCUGUAUGUAUGGGUGCAGUGGGUAUACGGGAAAUCUCUGUACUUACCUCUCAAUUUUGCUGGAACCCUAAAACUGCUCUAAAAAUAUAAAGUCUUUAAAAUACACAUACACACAUACAGACAAUCGAAUAGAGAAUCAUAAUGGUACACUAUCAGAAAAUCAUCAAACACAAAAAAAGGCAGUAAGGGAGGAAAUGUUGUAUUUAAAAAAUGUAAGGCAAAAGAAAAGGCACAAAAUGUCAGAACUUCUUUUUUAUAAGUAAGUACUUUAAAUGUAAGUCGAUUAAAUUCUCCAAAAAGCAGAGGUUGGCAGAAUGGAUUUAAAAGAAAACCAUCAACCUAUGCUGUAUAUAACAAACUCACUUUUGGUCUAAAGACACAAGUAGAUUGAAAGUGAAAGAAUGAAAAAUGAUAUUUCAUACAAAUAGUAACCUAAAGAAAGCUGGAGGUAAUUAUACUAAUAAAAGAAAUAAACUUGAAUUUAAAAAUUGUUAUAGGAGACAAAGGAGGACAUUACAUACUGAGAAAAUGGAAAAUUACUCAAGACUUCGCAAUUGGAAACGUAUACACACCAAAAUAUAGAGCCCCAGAAUAUAAGAAAAUAUACUGACAGAAUUGGAGUGAGAAAGACAGUUCUACAAUAAUACUUAGGGACUUCAAUAACGUACUUUCAGUAAUGGGUAGAGUCAAAGAAGAAAUGAAAACAGAAACUUAAAAAUAUCUUCAGACAAAUGACAGUGGGAACACAACAUACCAAAAGCAAAACAUGCAGCAAAAGCAGUUCUAAGAGGGAAGUUUACAGCAAUAAAUGCCUUGCCUACAUUAAAAAAGAAGAGAUAUUUCAAAUAGCCCAAAAUUGUACCUCAAGGAAUUAGAAAAAGAAGAACAAACUAAAGCCAAAGUUAACAGAAGGAAAUAAUAAAGAUCAGAACAGAGACAAGUUAGAAAGAAAAACCAUAGGGGAAAAAAGUCAGUAAAACUAAGACUUCAAUUUUUGAAACAAAGAAUUGAUUUUUGAAAAAUAAAAUCAACAAACUCUUGGACUAAGAAAGAGGACAAAAUCAGAAAUGAAAAUGGAGAAUAUAUUACAACAGGUACUUCAGAAAUAAAAAGGAUCAUAAGGGACUUUUAUGAACAAUUAUAUCCCAACAAAUUGGAUAACCUAGAGGAAAUGGACAAAUUCCUAGAAAAAAACCAACCUGCUAAGAUUAAAUCAGGAAUAGAAAGCCUGAACAGACCAAUAGCAAAGAGAUCACAGUGGUAAACUAAAGAGCUUCUGCAUAGCAAAAGAAAUUAUCAACAGAGUAAACAGACAACAUAUAGAAUGGGAGAAAAAAUAUUUGCAAACUAUUCAUCUGGCAAAGGUCCUAUGUCCAGAAUCCAUAAGGAACUUAAACCAAUCAACAAGCAAAAAACGAAUAAUCCAAUUGAAUUGGCAAAGGACAGGAACAUACAUUUCUUAAAAGAAAAUACAGAAGUAGCCAAACAAAAAAACAUUCUCAUGAUCACUAAUAAUCAGAAAUGCAAAUAAUGAGGCCAGGCACGGUGGCUCAUGCCUGUAGUCCUAGCACUUUGGGAGGCUGAGGUGCGUGGAUCAUCUGGGGUCAGGUAUUCGAGACCAUCCUGGCCAACAUGGUGAAACCCCGUCUCUACUAAAAACACAAAAAUUAGCCAGGUAUGGUGGCGGUCACCUGUAAUCCCAGCUACUCAGGAGUCUGAGACAGGAGAAUUGCUUGAACCCAGGAGGUGGAGGUUGCAGUGAGCCGAGAUUGCGCCACUGCACUCCAGCCUGGGAGACAGAGCAAGACUCUUUCUCAAAAAACAAACAAACAAACAAAAAAGCAAAAAACAGACAAAAAAAAACAAAACAAAACAACAACAACAAAAAAACACCAAACCAUAAUGGGAUGCCAUCUCACACCAGUCAGAAUGGCAAUUAUUAAAAAGUCAAAAAAAUAAAAGUUGCUGGGAAGGCUGCAGAGAAAAGGGAACGCUUAUACACUGUUGGCAGGAAUACAAAUUAGUUCAGCCACUGUGCUAAGCAGUUUGGAGUUUUCUCAAAUAACUGAAAACAGAACUACCAUCUGACCCAGCAAUCCCAUUACUGGAUAUAUAUUCAAAGGAAAAUAAAUUGUUCUAUCAAAAAGACACAUGCAUUUGUAUGUUCAUCACAGCACUAUUCACAACAGCAAAGACAUGGAAUCCACUUAGAUGCCCAUCAGUGGUGGAUUGGAUAAAGAAAAUGUGGUACAUGUACACCAUGGAAUACUAUGCAGCCAUAAAAAUGAAUGAAUUCGGCCAGGUGCGGUAGCUCUCACCUGUAAUCCCAGCACUUUGGGAGGCCAAGGCGGGUGGAUCACCUGAGGUCAGGAGUUCGAGACCAGCCUGACCAACAUGGAAAAACCCUGUCUCUACUAAAACUACAAAAUUAGCUGGACGUGGUGGCGCAUGCCUCUAAUCCCAGCUACUCAGGAGGCUGAGGCAGGAGAAUCACUUGAACCCGGUAGGCGGAGGCUGCAGUGAGCCGAGAUCAUGCCAUUGCCCUCCAGCCUGGGCAACAAGAGCGAAACUCCGUCUAAAAAAAAAAUAAAAAAAAAAAAUAUAUAUAUAUACAUGAAUGAACUUACGUCCUUUGCAGCAACAUGGAUGCAGCUAGAGGCCACUAUCUUAAGCAAAUUAAUGCAGGAACAGAAAACCAAAUACUGCAUGUUACCACUUGCAAGUGGGACCUAAACACUGAGUAAACAUGGACAUAAAGAUGAUCAGUAGACACUGGGGACUACUUGGGGGAGGAAUGGAGAGGUGGGCUGAAAACCUACCUAUUGGGUACUAUGCUCACUACCUGGGUGAUAGGCUUAUCCACACUCCAAACCUCAUCAUCAUGCAGUAUACUCCAUAUACCAUGCAACAUAUAGACCUGUACAUAUACCCUCUAAAUCAAAAAUAAAAGUUAAAAAAACCCCAAAACCUCAAACAAAGAAAAGCCCAGGACCAGAUAGCUUCAUGACUGAAUACUACCCAAUAUUCAAAGAAUACCAAUACUUCUUAAACUCUUCCAAAAAAAUGCAGCUAUAGGGAAUACUUCCAAAAAAAAAAAAAUGCAGCUAAAGGGAAUACUUCCUAACACAUUUUAUGAGGCCAGCAUCACCUUGAUACCCAGGUGAGCCAAAGGCAUCACAAGAAAAGGAAACUACAGGCCAACAUAACCCAAGAAUACCGAUGCAAAAAUCCUUAAUAAAAUAUUGGCAGACUAAAUUUAACAAUACAUCAAAAAGAUUAUAUAUCAUGUCUAUGUGGAAUUAAUUUCUGGCAUGCAAAUCUUAUUUAAUAUACAUGUAGCAAUCAAUGUGAUACUAACAGACUGAAAGAUGAAAACCACAUGAUCAUCUCAAUUGACACACAAAAAGUAUUUGAUGAAGUUGAACAUCCUUUGUUGAUAAAUUCUAACAGUUCAGGUAUAGAAGGAACACUCCUCAAUAUAACGAAUGCCAUUUAUGAAAAGCCCACAGCUAACGUUAUAAUCAAUGAGGGAAAACAGAAGCCCUUCUACUAUGAACCAGUACAAGGCAAGGAUGCCCACUCUAGCUACUACUACUCAACAUAGUACUGGAAGUACUAGUACAACCAAACAGACAAGAAAAAGAAAUGAAAGACAUUCAAAUCAGGAAGUAAGAAGUAAUAUUAUCUUUAUAUGAAGAUGACAUGAUCCUACAUAUAGAAAACCCCGAAGACUCUGACAAAGCAACCUGUUAGAACUAAUAAAUGAGUUCAGUAAAGUUGUAGGAUAUAAAAUCAAUAUAAAACAGUAGUUGCAUUUCUAUACACAAAUAAUGACCUGGCCAAAAAAGAAAUCAAGAAAACAAUCCCAUUUAUGAUAGCAUCAAAAAAAUUGCUUAGGAAUAAAUUUAGCCAAAAAGAUGAAAGACCUGUACACUGAAAACUAUGAAUCAUUGAUGAAAGAAAUUAAACAAGAUACAAAUAAAUGGAAAGAUAUCCCAUGCUCAUGAAUCUGAAUAAUAUUGUUAAAAUGUCAAUAAUAUCCAAAUCAAUAUACAGAUUGAAUAAAAUCCCUAUCAAAAUCCCAUGGAAAAUUUUUUUAAAUUCUAAAGUUCAUUUGGAAUAGCAAGAACCUUAAGUAGCCAACGAAAUUCUGAAAAUUCUGUUCUGAAAAACAAAGGGAGACUUCAUACUUUCUGGUUUAUUUUACAAAACUAUUGAUCAAACAGUAUGGUCCUGGCAUAAAAAACAAACAUGUAGACCAGUGGAACAGAAUAGAGAGCCCAGAAAGAAAUUCAAAGAUAUAUGAUCAACCAAUUUUCCACAAGAACACGAAGAAAACAAUGCAGAAAGAUAGUCUCUCUCAUAAAUGACGUUAGGAAACCCAGUUCUGUGGCUUGUCCAACCCAUGGCCCACAGACCACAUGUAAGCCCAGGAUGGCUUUAAUGAGGCCCAACACAAAUUUGUAAACUUUGUUAAAACAUUGAAUUUUUUUGCAUUUUUUUAGCCCAUCAGCUGUUGUUAUUGUUAGUGUAUUUUAUGUGUGGCCUAAGACAAUUGUUCUUACAGUGUGGCCCCGGGAAGCCAAAAGAUUUGAUAUCGCUGCCUUACACCAUACAUAGAAAUAAACUCAAAAUGGAUAAAAGACCUAAACAUAAGACCAAAACCCACAACCAGAAGAAAACAUAGGGGAAAAGCUCGACAUGGCUCUGGCAGUGAUUUUUUGGAGAUCACACCAAAAGCUCAGGCUACAAAAACAAAUAAUUGGUAUACCAUCAAACUAAAAAACUUCUGCACAGGAACGGAAACAGUCAACAAAAGGAAAAGGCAACCUAUGGACUAGAAGAAAAUAUUUGCCAACCAUAUAUCUUAUAAGAGGAUAAUAUCCAAAAUUUAUAAGGAAUGCAUACAACUCAAUAACAAGAAAAUAGAUAACCCAAUUAAAAAAUGGGCAGUGGAACUGAGUAGACAUUUUUGCAAAGAAGUUAUAAAAAUGGCAAACACAUAUAUGAAAAGACAUUUAACAUCACUAAUCGUCAGGGAAAUGCAAAUCAAAAUUACUAUGCGAUAUCACCUCACACUCAUGAGAAUAGCUAUUAAGUGUUGGCUAGGGUUAGGGAACUCUUGUACAGUGUUGGUGGGACUGUAGAUUGGUGCAGUCAUAAUGAAAAACAGAAUGGUGGCUCCUAAAGAAAUUGAAAAUAUACUAUCAUCUGACCCACUAAUCCCUCUUCUAGGUAUAUUCCCAAAGAAAAUGAAAUCUCCACCUCAUAAAGAUAUCUGCGCUCCUAUAUUCAUUGUGGCAUUAUAUGCAUGAGUCACGAUAUGAAAACUUACGUGUCCAUUGAUGGAUGACUAAACUGUGGUGUGUAUGUCUACAAUGGAAUAUUAUUCCGCAUUAAAAAAGGAGAUCCUGCCACUUGCCACAUGGAUGAAACUGGAAGACAUUGUGCUAAGUUAAAUAAGCCAUAUACAAAUGAAAAGUUUUAAAUAAUCUCACCUAUAUGUAGAAUCUUAAAAAGAAAAAAGUCAAAUAUACAGAGAUAGAAUAAACUAGUGGUUACCAUGGGCAAGGUGUGGGGGAAGAAAAUGGAAAGAUGUAGGUCAAAGGAUACCAAGUAGCAGAUAUAUAGGAUGAACAAGUCUAGAGAUCUCAUGUAGAACAUGAGAAUAGUUAGUAUAUUGCAUUUGGAAUUUUUGCCAAUUGAGUAGAUCAUAGCUUUUCUCACUCAUACACACAAAAGAAUAACUGUGAGAUGAUGGACAUAUUAAUUUGCAUCACUAUGUUAACGAUUUAACUGUAUGUUUUAUACACUAAAUAUGCAUAUUUUUAAAAUUAAAAAAAAAAAACACAACAAGAUAAUGUACAGCCAGACAGAAGCCCAAUAAGAAAAGAGAGGACUUGAACAAUACCAUAAACCAACUAGACCUACAAACAUAUAUGGACACUCCACCCAACUACACAUUCUUCUCAAGUGCACAUGGAACAUUCCCUAGGAGGGAUGAUAUGUUAGGCCACAAAAGAGUCUCAAUAAAUUUUAAAAUAUAGAAAUCAUACAAAAUAUCUUCUCUAACUACAAUAUAGUGAGGCCAGAAAUCUGUAACAGAAGAAAAACCUAAAAAUUAACAAAUUCAGGGAAAUAAAACUACACACUCUUUAAAAAUUAUUGUGUCAAAGAAGACAUCAGAAGGGAAAUUAUAAAAUACUUUCAAAAAGUGAAAAUGACGACACAACAUACUCAGACUUAUGGGAUGUAGUGAAAGAAGUGCUCAGAGGAAAAAUUAUAGCUGUGAAUGCCCACACUGAAAAAGAAGAAGGAUCCAUAACCUAAUAUUAUACCUUACGUAACCAGAGAAAGAAGAACGAAGUAAACCUAAAGUUAAAAGAGAGAAUGAAAUAAUAUGUAUGAGUGGAGAUAAAACUGAAUUCGAGCUUAAAUAAACAACAGAGAUAAUUUAACAAAACCAAAAGUUGCUUGUUUUUGAAAAGAUCAAAGUUGAAAACCUUUAACUAGAAUGACUAAUAAAAAAUUAGAGAAGUUGCACAUAUCUAAAAUCAUAAACAAAAGUAGGAACACAACAAAAAAAAACAAAAAUAAGAAAAAAAAACAAAAGUGGGAACGAUAUAACUGAUCUUACAGAAAUAAAAAGUGUGAUAAAAGAAUACUAUGAAUAACUGUAUACCAACAAAUUAUAUAACCUAGAUAAGAUGGACGAAUUCACAAAAUACUAAUACAGACCAAAACAGAAAUUGAAAUUAUGAGCAGACCCAUAACAAGUAGAAAGUUUGAAUCAGUAACCAAAAACCUUCCAAUGAAGAAAAUGCUACACAGAUGGCGUCACUGUUGAAUUAUACCAAACACUUGAAGAAUUCACACCAAUCCCUCUCAAACUCUUCCAAAAAACAGAGGAGAAAAAACUUUGCAAUACAUUCUAUGAGGCCAGUAUUACAUGGAUUCCAAAGCCAGACAAAUAUACCACAAGAAAAGACAAACUAGAUACUAAAAUCUUUUAUUUAACAAAGUACUAGUAAGCCAAAUUCAGCAGCAUAUUAAAAAGGAUUAUAUAUCAUGACCACAUGGAAUUUAUCUCAAGAAUACAAGGGUGGUUCAGUACAAGAGUAUCAAUCAAUGUAAUACACCACAUUAAUACAAUGAAGGAUAAAAAAUCCAUGCAAUCAUUUCAAUUCACUCAGAACAAGCAUUUGACAAAAUUCUACAACCUUUCAGGAUAAAAACAUGGAACUUUCAAAAUGUGUUAAAGAGGAUUUGUGAAAAAUCCACAACUAAUAUACUUAAUGAGAAAAAAAACUGAAAAAUUUCUCCCAUAACAAAGAGUAAGAUAUGGCUGUAUGCUUUACCCAGUGCUAUUGAACAAUGUACUGAAAGUUUUAACCAUGACAAUUAGGCAGAUAAAUAAACAAACAGGUAAAUGAAUAGCAUCCAAAUUGGAAAGGAAGCAGUAAAACUCUUUAUUCAAUAAUGACAUCUUCUAUCUAGAAAAUCAAAGAAUCCACAAACUAGUAGAGCUAAUAAACAAGUCCAGCAAAAUUGCAGGGUACAUGUUCAACAUUUAUUUUAAGAAAAUCAUUUGUGCCUCUAUAUACCAGGAAUGAACAGCCCAAGAAGGAAGUCAAUUUUUAAAAUUCCACUUACAAUAGCAUCAAAAAGAGUAAAAUAGCUAGGAAUAAAUUAAAACAAGAAGGUGAAAGACUUCUGCACUAAAGACUACAAAACACUGUUGACAAAAAUUAAAGAAGACUUAAAUAAAUAGAACUAUACAUCCUGUGUUCACAGAUUGGAAGAUUAAAUAUUGUUAAGUUGGCGAUAUUACCCAGUGAUCUACAGAUUCAAUGCAACCCUUAUCAAAAUCCCAAGGGCCUUUUUAUUUGCAGAAAUGUAAAAACUGAUUUUAAAAUGUAAAUGGAAUUUUCCCAGGGCCCCAAACAAUCUAAAAUCAUAUUGAAAAAGAACAAAGUUGGAAGACUCAGGCCUGCCAUUUUCAAAACUUUUACAAAGCUGCAGUAAUCAAAACAAUGUGGUACUGACACAAUGUGGUCUCUAGGACACAAGGAUGGACAUAUAGACCAAUGGAAUAUAAUAGAGAAUGUAGAAAUAAACACUCACAUAUAUGAUCAAUUCAUUUUCAACAAAUGUAUCAAGAAUUCAGUGGGAAGAGUAGUCUUUUAACAAAUGGUGCUGGGGCAACUGGAUCCUCAUAUAUCAAAGAAUGAAGUUGGACCCAUAACUCAUAGCAUAUAAAAAUUAUCUCAAAAUGUAUCAGAGACCAAAAAAUAAGAGUUAAAGGCAUAAAUUUCUUAGUAGAAAACAGGAGUAAAUCUUUAUGACUUGAGAUUGGAAAUAAAUUCUUAGAAAAGACACAAAAAACACAAUAUUGUAAAUGUACUAAGUGACACUGAAUUGUACAUUUUGAAAUGGUUUCUGUUACUUAAAAAAUUUAAAGGGUGCACAGAAGACUAAAAAGCAGCACAGACAGAAUUAUCACCAGAAAAAGAAGACUCUAUAUUAAAUGUCAACAUGGAGAACACAUGUCAGAAAUAGGUAGUCCAGAGCAGCAGCUAUAGUGGAGGCUCUUGCAAAUGACUAAGAUUUGAGGUGGCACCCUCAGAGAAUCACCUCUUGGGGGUAGAUUCGAUUUAUGGAGUAGAUGUAUCUCAGAGACAUGGUAGGAAAGCCAAAGAAUGGUGAGCAUAGCUGCCAUCUAGAAACCACCUACACAUGCAAGCAUAAGAGAUUGGUUGAAAGGUUAUAGCACAGUCACACUAAGGAAUACUAUGCAACUUUAGCAAUGCAAUGAGAAAGAUCUCUGUGAAUGGAUGUUGAGUGAUUUCUAGGAGAUGUUGUUAGGUGAGAAAAGCAAAGUUCAAAAGGGCAUAUACAGAAUAGUACUUUUUUGGGAAAUGAGAAAAUAAUCAUGUCUUAUAAAGAGCAAACACACACAAACUAUAAACUAGAAAACACUGAAACUGGUUACCUAUAAUGGGUAGGGGGAAUUAGGAUGGAAGAGAUAUGGGUGAGAGGAAGAUUUCUCUCAGUAGCUCCUUUUGUUUAGUAUUGACUUUUGGAAGUAUGUUAAUGUUAUAUGUAUUCAAAAAAUAAAAUUAACAAGAUAGGGACCACUUCUGAGGUGGUGGAAUGAGCACCUUGAUAUAACCACUCCCUGAAAAGCAAUGAUAAAACUGGACAAAGAAAUAUAAAAUUGAAAAGUGCUAAUUAAAGAAAAAAUAUUAAGCCUUCCUAAGAAUAGCAGGGUUAUGAUUUAACGUGGGGCUGCCAUCUCCCCACCCAAGCUCAGGGGCACGGUAGGCUUGAGGACCAGCAACAAAGAAGGCUCAUCUGAUUUUGAAUUCCAUAGAAAACCCUAUGCACUAUGUUAAGCAACAAGGAUUUCAGUGGCAAAUAAUUGGAGGCAACCCACAUCACAGCAACCUAAUGUUUCAAUACUGGUUGGGCAAGCGACAGAUUAAGAAAAAUUUUAAAAGGAAUUCUGGAGAUAUGGAAGUUGUACAUGCUUGCAGGAGAGAUCAGAGAGGUUUCCUGCUAUCUACUUAUCCUUGGCUGACUGUGAGACCUUUUGCAAGCAGACAGUAAAAUACAGGACAGAGUUAUAAAGUGCCUGAACUUUGAAUGUCCCAACCCACACAUAGAUCCCCUCAGCAGAGGGUGGAAGAUUCACUGGCUCAAGAUGUUUAAACAAAUGUCUGACUAAUCAUGGCUUGACCACUAGGUUAUGCUGAUCCAGGGGUGACACCAAUGAAGCCAGGCUUACAAAACAAACAUAAGAAUUAAAACAAACAAAACUGAGCAAAGACACCAGUGGCUGCACACUGCAGGAGAACACAGACUCUGCAGAAUCCAUGCAGAGAAGGCAUACACAAGCGAGCAAACAAAUAAAUGAGUAACAGAAAUCAUCCCUGGUUAGGGAGAAGAACUAGAAUCCAGAGUUUCUACGAUAUAUUAUCUAAAGUAAGUUUUUAACAAAAAAAAUGAGAUAUGCAAAGAAACAGAAAAUUGUGACCCUUGAACAAGAAUAAUGAGCAAUAAAUAGGAAUUAUCUCUGAAGGGCCCCAAAUGUUAGGGCGCGAUUUCAAAGUAAGUAUUAUAACUAUGUUCAAAGAACCAAAAGAAACCACAUUAAAGAAUGCAAGUGUGAUGACAAAGACUCAUCAAAUAGAUAAUAUCAAUAUAGAGAUAGAAAUUAGAAACCAAAUAGAAAUUCUGUAGUUGUGAAAUAUAAUAACUUAGGUGAAAAACUCACUAGUGCGGCUAAGCAAAUUUGACCUGGCAGAAGAAAGAAUCAAUGAACUUCAACGCAGAUCCAUAAAGAUGAUUCAGACUGAAGAAUAGAAAGAAAAAUAAUGAAGAAAAAUGAAGAGAUACCCAUUGGAUACCAUAAUAUAGUGGUCCCCAACCUUUUUGGCAUGAGGGACCAGUUUUGUGGAAGACAAUUUUUCCACAGCCAGUUGGGGGAGGCUUUAGUUAGAUUCUCAUACGGAGUGCACAACCUAGAUCCCUCACAUGCUCAGUUCACAAUAGGAUUUGCUCUCUGUGAGAAUCUAAUGCCAUCACUGAUCAGACAGGAGGCAGAGCUCAGGCAGUAAUGCUUGCUUGCCUGCUGCUCACCUCCUGCUGUGUAGCCCAGUUUCUAAUAGGCCACAGACUGGUACCAGUCCAUGGCCCUGGGGUUGGGAACCCCUGUCCUAACAGGAUGUGUAACAAUGUAUGUGUAAUUAAGUUGUAACAUAUAUGUAAUUAAGAGUAGAAAACAUAUGUGGAAUUAAGGAGUAACAACAUAUGUGUUAAUAAGAGUACUGAGAAGGAGAGAAUAGGGCAGACAAAAAUAUUUGAGUAGAUUAUUAACCUGAAGCAGAUUGUUUUUGCUUAAGCUGCUUAUUGUAACCUCCAGAUUACACUUUAAAAAUGGGGGAAAUAAACUAACAAAGGAAUUAGAAUGGUACUCUAGAACAUAUCUAUUCAACCUGCAGAAGGCAGUAAAGGAGGAAGAGAGGAACAAAAGUGAUAUGAGACAUAUAGAAAAUAAAUAACAACAUGGUAGAUAUAAAUCCUUCCAUAUCAAUAAUUAUAUUACAUAUAAGUGAAUUAAAAACUCAAUAAAGAGCAGAGAUUGCCAGACUGCCUUAAAAGCAGGAUCCAAAUAUAUAUGGUCUAUAAGAGUCACAUUCUAGAUUCAAAGACAUAGUUGAAAGUAAAAUGAUGGAAAAAGAUGACAUGCAAACAGUAAUAAGAAAGCUAGAGUGACUGUACUAAAAUCAGACAAAAUUGGCUGGGUGCAGUGGCUCACACCUGUAAUCCCAGCAUUUUGGGAGGCUGAGGCAGACAGAUCACUCGAGGUCAGGAGUUCAAGACCAGCCUGGUCAACAUGGUGAAACUCUGUCUCUACUAAAAAUUAGCUGGGUAUGGUGGCAAAUGCCUGUAGUCCCAGCUACUUGGGAUGCUGAGGCAAGAGAACGGCUUGAAUCCGGGAGGCAGAGGUUGCAGUGAGCCAAGGUCACGCCACUGCACUCCAGCCUGGGCAACAGAGUGAGACUCCAUCCCAAAAAUAAAAUAAAAAUAAAUAAAAUCAGACAAAAUAGACUUUAAAAACAAACCAUGUUAUUAGAGAUACUGAGAAGCAUUUUACAAUGACAAAAGGGAAAAUUUAACAGGAAGAAAUAGAAAUCAUAAACAGAAGUCAUAAAGAAAUAAAAAUUUAUAACAGCUAAAAACACAGCCCUGAAGUAUAUGAAAUAAAACUGUCAGAAAUGAAGAGAGAAACAGACAACUGAACAAUAAUAGACAACUCAACAAUAAUAGUACUAACUCUUGUUGAUUUUCUGUCUUGUUGUUCUAUCAAUUAUUCAGAGUGAGUUAUUGAACUAUUACCCAACUACUAUUCUUGGAUGAAAUGGUGGGAGGUGAGGCUAUGUGGCACUCUGCUUAAUACCCUCCCCUGUUCUGGUGUCAGGGAGACAAAUGUGGAGCUGACUUUUCGUCAGAAACAGUGGUACCCAGAAAGUAGUGGGGUAACAGAUCCCAAGUGCUCAAAGUAAAAAAAAAAAAAAAAAAAAAAAAAAAAAGCCAACCAAGAAUACUGUGUCCAGAAAAGUUUCUUUCAAAAAGAAGGCAAAAUAAAAGCAUUCCCAGAUAAACAAAAACAGAAUUCCUUGUUAGCAGACCAGUUUUGUAAGAACUACUAGAGGAAGUUCUUCAGGCAAAAAGGAAGUGCUCCCAGGAAGUUCACAUAUAUCCAAAAGCAAAGAGCAAGGAGGUAAAUAGGAGCAAAGCUGUUCUAGAGUAAGGAAAUACCACCAGUUGGUAACUCAAAUCCAUAAAAACCAAAAAAGUGGAUCAAAUAUAUGAUAUAAGGAGGUUAAUAAAACAGAAACUAGAAAUAUAUACUUGCUCUCCUUUCAGCUUCUUUAAAGAUAUAUCAUUAUAUAGUAUGAUCAUUAUAAUAGCGCAUAAUAAAGAUGUAAUAUAUGUAACAAUACCACAAAAAGUGGUAAAACUGAAUAAACUCAUACAGGAAUAACUUCUGUAUCUCACCAGGAUUAAUAUAAAUAUGAAGUAAAUUUUGAGACGAUACAUAAGGUAAGCCCUAGAGCAAACACUAAUAACAAAUAGAAUAUUGAAGAAUCAUAAAAGAAAUGAAAAUUUAUAUUAGAAAGUAGUCACUAGAUGGAAAAGAAAGCAGCAAAGGAGAAAUAGAGGAACAAGAAAUAGUACAUAGAAAAGACCAAAAGUAAAACUGUGGAUAUAAAUCUAAUUAUAUCAAUAAUAAUAUUAAAUGUGAAUGGAUUAAACAAUCUAAUCAAAGGCAGGAAUUAUCAGACCAGAUUUGAAAAACAGGAUCCAUCUGUAUUCCAUCUAUAUGAGGCACACUUUAGAUGAUAAAUGCCAACUGAAAGUAAAAGGAUGGAAAAAGAUAUAUCAUGUAAGCAGCAACCAUAAGUAACCUGAAGUGCUAUAAUAAAGUCAAAGGAGAUUUUAAAUUAAGAAUGUUACUGAAGUUAAAUAUGAAUAUCUCAUAAUGAUAAAAUGUCAAUUCAUGAGAAGAUACAAUGAUUAUAAACAUAUAUUCACCUAACAAUAGAGAACUAAAACAUAAGAAGCAAAAACUGACAGAACUGAACAGAGAAAUAGCCAAUUCAACAAUAGUAGUUGGAGACUUCAACACUCCACUUUCAAUAAUGUGUAGUACAAGAAAGAAGAUCAAUAAGGAAACAGAAGAUAUGAGCAACACCAUAAACCAACUAGACUCAAAAGGUAAUUAUAGAGCACUUCGCCCAACAACCAACAUUGAAUAUACAGUAUUUUCAAGUGCACAUGAGACAUUCUCCAAGAAGGACCAUAUGCUAAGUCACGAAACAAACCUGCAUAAAUUUAAAAGGAUUGAAAUAAUACAAGGUAUCUUUUUCUGAAUAUAAUGAAAUAAAAGUAGAACUCAGUAGCAAAGAAAUUAGGGAAACAUACACAUGUGGAAAUUAAACAACACUACAUUCUUAAAUAAUCAAUGGGUGAAAGAAUUCACAAGGGAAAUGGAACGUACUUUGAGAUUAAUGAAAAUGAAGAUACAACAUAACAGAACUUAUGGGAUACAUUUAAAGCAGUGUAAAGAUGGAAUUUUAUAGCUAUGAAUGCCUAUAUCAAAAAAUAAGGCUUCAAAUCAGUAAGCCAACUCUCCACCUCAAGAAACUAGAAAAAGAAGAGCAAACUAAACCUAAAGCAAGUAGAAAAAACAAAAUAAUAAAUAUUAGAGUAGAAAUAAAAUAUAGAAUAUAAAAAUAAUAAAGUCAACAAAUCCAAAAUUUGGUUCUUUGAAAUUAACAAACCUUUGAUAGAUUGGUAAGAGAGAGGGAGAGGGAGAAGAAAAGAAGGGGAGGAAGAAAGAGGGGGAGGAGGAAAGACAGAGAGGGAAGUGCAUGAGGCAAAGGGGGAGAGAGAAAACUCAAAUUACUAAAAUCAGAAAUGAAUGACAGUUUUACAAAUUAAAGCAAAAAAACGAGGCUAGCUGCAGUGGCUCACACCUGUAAUCCCAGCACUUUGGGAGGCCAAGGCAGGAGAAUUGCUUGUGGCCAGGAGUUCGAGAAUUGCUUGUGGCCAGGAGUUCAAGAAUAGCAUGCACAACAAAGCAAGACCCUAUCUCUACAAAAUAUUUUUUGAAUAACAGCUGGUGUUGUGGUGCACACCUGUCAUAGGCUAAGGGGCAAGGAUCACUUGAGACUAGGAGAUCGAGGUUACAGUGAGCUAUGAUUACACCACUCUAUUCCAGCCUGGGCAACAGAGAGAGACUCUGUUUCUCAAAAAGAAAAGGAAAAAGGAAUGAAUGAGGGAAGUAUACUACCAACCUGACAGAAAUAAAAAGGAUUAUGAAGGAACACUAUGAACAAUUUUGUGCCAAUAAAUUAUAAAACUUAGAUGAAAUUGACAAAUUCCUAGAAAGAUGAAAACUAUGAAAACUGACUAA